rnacentral:lncRNA from 1 species
UUUUUUUUUCCUUCUGCAGUUUAAAAAGGAGUCGCCCACGAGUAUUGAAAUAAUUUUAUCAGAUUCGCUUGAAAGUAGUUUUACGAGCAAGCAGUUUUUCCCUCUUGAUCCCCGUAUUCGUCAGCUCCUACUCUUUGCCUUCAAUUCUCAGUCAAGAAAACCUCUCCUGAUUUUCGUCUUUUGAUCUCAUACACACUUUGCUUCUAUUUAUCGUGGUCACUGCUCAUGCUAGCCGUUUUCUUAUUUACCUUCGUUCCCUUUCGCCAUCAGCUAUUUGCAUUUUCAUUGGAUCAAGCAACCCUUUUAUUGAUUCAAUUUUCUGAUCUAAAAAACACUUUGAUUUCCCUUGUUUUGUACAAAUAUCAUUUCUUUUUUCAACUUUGCCUUGUUUUGCUUCUACUUGAUUAUCAAUUGCGCGGUCGUUGACCCUGUUCUAUUUCUAUUCCGUUCACUUCCUCCCCCCCCCCCCCCCCAACAAAAAAAAAUGGACAUUUUGAAAAGCAUUGUUCCUGGAGUUGUAAACUGCUUGUCUCCGCGCGCACAACGCGAAUUUAGUUAUUGGUACAACUCCGCUGCCAACUUUGAGAAUUUCAAGGCAGAACUCGAUAGGCUCAAGGAUGAAAGAGAAAGCAUUCAGCACAGAGUUUCGGAGGCUGAAAGAAAAAGUGAAAAGAUUGAAAAGAAGGUUGAGAAAUGGGUGGUUAAUGCGAACAAGAGCAUUGAGCAGGCAGCCAAAUUCAUUCUAGACGAAGAGAAAGCAAAUGAACGAUGUCUCAUGGGGAUGUUUCCUAAUUGGAUUACUCGCUAUCAGCAUGGAAAGAAAGCAGAAACAGAGAAGGAGGCCUUUUUUAAGCUCCGAGAAGAAGCUGGGAGAUUUGAUGAUAGAAUUUCCUACCGUACCAUUCCGGAGGAGAUUUGGCUCAAGUCUCACAAAGGCUACGAGGCCUUCGAAUCAAGACGUUCUACUUUGGAGGCUAUAAAAAAUGCAUUGAUCGAUGUUGAUGUCAGCAUCAUUGGGGUGUCCGGCAUGGGCGGCAUUGGAAAGACGACACUGGUGAAGAAGGUCGCCAGGCAAGCUAUGGAAGACAAGCUCUUUGAUAUGGUGGUCUUUUCAGAGGUUUCCCAAAUCCCAGACAAAAAAAGGAUUCAACAGGAAAUUGCCGAGAAGUUGGGCCUAGAGUUGGGCGAGGAGGUUGAAUCCAGAAGAGCAAGUAGAAUAUUUGAGCGAUUGAGAGAUGAGAAGAAGAUCCUAGUGGUUUUAGACAACAUCUGGAAACACCUUGAUUUGGAGACCGUUGGAAUUCCUUGUGGAGAAGACCAUGAAGGAUGCAAACUACUGCUGACAGCAAGAGAUCGUAGUGUCCUCUUAAAAAUGGGAUCUAAAGACAACUUCUUGAUUAACAAUUUAAAUGAUGAAGAAGCAUGGAGAUUGUUUAAGAUGAUGGCCGGUGAUGAUGUUGAAAAUCGUGAGUUGAAAUCUACAGCAACAGACGUCGCCAGGGCAUGUGGAGGUUUGCCCAUUGCCUUGACUACAGUGGCAAAGGCACUGAGAAGCAAGAGUCUGCAUGAAUGGAAGAAUUCCUUGCGAGAACUCCGAACGCCUUCAAUGGUAAACUUCGAAGGAGUAUCUGCAGAGACUUAUUCAAGUAUUGAGCUGAGUUUCAACCAUUUAAAAGGUGAGCAACUCAAGAAAAUUUUUCUGCUCUGUAGUCUAAUGGAUAACCGUAUUCUUACUUCGGACUUGUUUAAGUACUCCAUGGGUUUGGGUAUAUUUAAAGGAGUCAAUAAGAUGGAAGAUGCACGAGACAAAUUAUAUGCAUUAGUCCAUGAACUUAGACACUCUUGUUUGUUGCUUGAGGAUGAUAGCAAUGAACAAUUUUCAAUGCAUGAUGUUGUUCGCGAUGUCGCAAUAUCGAUUGCAUGCCGCCACCAACAUGUGUUUUCGGUGAGAAAUGAUGAGGAUGUGUGGGACUGGCCAGAUGAGGAUACACUUCAAAAAUGCAAUGCUAUCUCUUUAAUAAAAAAUAGUAAUUGUGAAUUUCCUGAAGGAUUAGAAUGCCCAAACCUUGAAUUUUUAUAUAUCUCUCUCAAAGAUUCUUCUCGUGAAAUUAAUAUUCCUGGGAACUUUUUUGUAGGGAUGAAAAACCUUAGAGUUCUAGAUUUCACUCUAAUGCAGUUUUCUUCUUUUCCAUCUUCAAUUGAUCUUCUAGUAAAUCUUCACACACUAUGUCUGGAUCAAAGUUCGUUGGGGGACAUAGCAAUCAUUGGGAAGUUGAAGAGUCUAGAAGUCCUUAGCUUUGUGAGGUCUGAUAUUAAGAAGUUGCCCGAAGAGCUAGGUCAACUGUCUAAGCUAAGGCUGUUUAAAAGUCGGCGGCGCUUUUCGGUCAACAGUGAUCGCAAGAGUUUAAGAGCAUUGAAGCUCAAGCUUGAUUUUAUGGACAUUUGCUCCAUGAAAUUGCAGGGCAUCAAUAACGUAGAAUGCUUAUGGUUGGACAAGCUGCAAGGCAUCGAGAAUGUUCUUUUCAAUUUGGACACAGAGGGCUUUUCACAAUUGAAGCUUCUCUGGGUUCAAAAUAAUCCUGACAUCUUUUGUAUCGUCGAUUCAAGGGAGAUGGUCGCUUGUGAUGCCUUUCCUCUUUUGGAGUCACUUGGCCUUCACAAUUUGAUCAACAUGGAGAGGGUAUGUAUUGAUCGGCUCAAAGUAGAGUCUUUCAACAAACUCAAAACCAUAGAAGCAUAUAGUUGCGAUACGUUGAGUAAUAUCUUUUGGCUCUCUACUACAGAAUGCCUUCCAAGACUUGAGAGAAUUGCAGUUAUUAAUUGCAGCAAGAUGAAAGAGAUUUUUGCAAUUGGGGGAGAAGUUGAUAAUGCAAUUGAGAAGAUAGAGUUUGCUCAAUUAAGAUCUUUGAGUCUGGGGAAUCUUCCAGAGGUUACAAAUUUCUGCCGUGAAGUAAAGACUCCUUCAGCAUCACCAAACAGACCAGUGUCGCAAGAGGAAUCGACGACUAUGUAUUGCUCCAGCGAAAUCACUUUGGAUACUUCAACCCUGCUUUUCAACGAGAAGGUGCGUAAGCUUACAUUUUUUUUAUUCUAUCAUGCGUUCUCUUUUGAUGUCAUACGUGGAAAAUAAUUAAAUCAUUUAAAAAAUGGAAAGAAAAUGGAAAAAAGGAUAAAAAGAAUCUCACGCGCUCACUAAUUGAGCUCUUAACAAGUAGUAUGAAUUAGAAUGCAUCAAACUCAGCUGUCAGUUGGAAAUUGAUUCUGACUUGCAUUAUUCUGUAAUCAAAGAAGAAAAUUUCAACAAGUGCUUCCCAUAUGGAUAUUGGAUCUAACGAGAAAUUCUUUUUUUUUUAGGUUGCGUUGCCUAACUUGGAGGCUUUGGAGAUAUCUGCAAUUAAUGUCGACAAGAUUUGGCACUACAAUCAUCUUCCGGUCAUGUUUCCUCGCUUUCAAAAUUUAACACGAUUGAUUGUGUGGCGUUGUCACAAACUAAAAUACAUAUUUUCAGCGUCUAUAAUCGGAAGCCUUAAGCAGCUCCAACACCUACGUAUACGCCACUGUGAGGAUUUACAGGAGAUCAUUUCUGAAAACAGAGCAGAUGAAGAGAUCCCUAAUUUUGUCUUUCCACAGCUCACCACUGCAGAUUUAUCGCAGAAUAAUGAGAAUGAUCAACUUGGUAUUCCUGCACAACAGCCCCCAUUGCCGUUGGAAAAGGUAUGAAGACAUUUUCUAGAUUUUUUGUCUAUAGCUUAUUUUUAGCUUUGAAAAAUAUGGCAAAGCAUCCAUAAAUUAAUACUCAAUAAAUUGAAAACUUUUAUUAUACAAUAAUAUUUGCUAGUCUAGAUUAAGAGAUCAAUGUAGUAGAUUAAUAAUUAUAUGAACUUUUUUUGGUAUAGCAUUUAUAAAAGAAUCCUUAGUCUUUCCAUAUAGAAGAACUUACAAAAUAAAUUAGUAAUUUAUUAUUGUGCAAUAAAAUAAUUUCGAGCCAGUAUGAAUCAACCUUUUUCCCUAAUUUCUUUCUUACCUCUAAAAUUAACAUAUAAAAUAAAUUUUAUCAAUAAUUCAAUUUUUUUAAAAAUAUAAUAUAAAACAAAUACUAUAAAGUCACUGCGUGUGACCGUAGAUCAUCAAUUGACCUCAUUAGUUAUUAUGAUUGAUGAUGAUCAGAUCGUACCCAACUUGAAGGAACUAUCACUAAGUGGAAAAGAUGUGAAGAUGAUUUUGCAGGCCGAUUUCCCACAACACCUUUUUGGCAGUCUUAAACAACUAGACAUUGUUGGAGAUGACUCAGCUUGUUUUCCAAUCUGGAACGUACUGGAGAGAUUUCACAAUCUCGAAAUGCUCAUACUGCGUUAUUUUUCAUCCCACGAAGAGCUAUUUUCGAUGGAAGGAUGCUUAGAGAAACAUGUGGGGAAGUUGGCAAUGAUAAAAGAAUUAGAGCUGCACGGGCACGAUCAUCUGAAGCAGCUGUGCAAACAAGACUCCAAACUUGGCCCCAUUUUUCAGUAUCUUGAAAUUCUAAGAGUAUAUUAUUGUCAAAGUCUGUUAAUUCUAUUGCCAUCAUCAUCGGUAUCUUUUGGGAACCUAACAAAACUUGAAGCUUUCGGUUGCAAGGAAUUGAUACACUUGGUAACAUCCUCCACAGCAAAAACUCUAGUGCAACUCGUCACAGUGCGUAUAUAUGGAUGCAGAGCAAUGACAGAGGUGGUAAUAAAUGACAAAGGAGUUGAAAAAGAAGAGAUUGUUUUCAGCAAAUUGAAGACAUUAGAACUUUGUGAUUUAGAUAGCCUCACAAGUUUCUGCUCUGCCAAUUACACCUUCAGAUUCCCAUCUUUGGAAUAUCUGGAAGUGAUUGGUUGUCCCAAGAUGAAGAUUUUUGCUACAGGAGAAUCAAUCACGCCUCCAAGAGUAAAUGUCUGGUAUGGAGAGACAGAGGAUCGAUGGCUUUGGACCAAUAAUGAUCUAAACACAACCAUACAACAAUUACACGCUGAAAAGGUACGGAUAUACAUAGUACUCUCUAUCUCCCAUGGAAACAUUUUACAAAAUUUUUUUUUUUAAUAAAAUAUAGAUAAGAUAGUUGUUAUAAAGUAAAAGUUUAAAUUGAUGAAUAAGAAUUUUAUUUUCAGCUGUUGGCGGUGCCGUCGAUAUUCUCUACCCAGUACUAAUUUCAUAGGCUUCUUAUGACUUGGGAGUUGUGUAUUUUUAGAAGAAAGCCUCAGCUGGUAAUUAAUUUUUAUUUCAUUUAUUUGAUCUCAUGGCUUGUUUCGCAAUUUCAUCUGAAUUAUUUAGAAUGGGUCAAUCGGCUUACUGUUAAAUUUGGAAUGCAAUUUUAAUGAUUCGUUCAGACUUUUGUGGACAGAUUUUGCAUCAUUGAAUGUCUUCUAGUCUAGUUUAAUUUGAGUUUUUUUUCUUUUUUUUGAGAGUUCCCCUUGUUUUCUAAAAUUUUAUAAUUCCUUGCAUACUUUGUAUGAUAAAAUUUCAUUAAAAGCCUUCAUAUUUUAUAAUUCCUUGAAAACAUCAUUGCUGUUCUGUUAUUUUAGUUUGGUUUGCUUCACACCUAUCUUUCUUUGGAAAUUUUUUUUUUUUUUUUUUUGAUGAUCUUUCGAAAUGCUCUUCCCUAUGAACACAUAAUUAAGACCAGCUGAAAAUCAUUCAUCGGAUAAAAAAUUAAAAAUAAACAAAAUCUAAUCAGAGCAUUAUGCCUAGAACAAAUCCUUAAACCAUCAAAGCAAAACUCUUCGCUAUGAAAAAAUAUACUGUGGAAAUAUUGUUUGAAAACGUUGGAUACCAAGAAAGGGACUAAUUUGGUCUAGUUUUAUGAGAAGUAUAGAAGAACGUUGUUUUCUCUGUUUUUCCUGUUAGAACUCUUUACUCUGUGAUUGUAGAAUGUCUGGAUACUGAUGAAGAUUCAAGUAACUCUUCUCCUAUGCAUCAUUUGAAAUAAGGUUUUUUUUUUUGGGGGGGUAAUAUCUCCUACUGGGUUAUAGUUCAUACAAAGAGAUUCUUAAAUCAAGCCGGAUACUGCUAGAAACAAGUGGGGAAGUAGGCACUGAUAAAAUGGUUAAUCCUGUCGAGACUUAAUCAUUGAAGCAACUCCAAACUGGACUCCAUUUUAAAUAUCUUGACAUUCUAAGACUAUUUUACAAGCAUUUAAGUCUAUUCCCAUGAUCAUCUAUAUCUUUUGGGAAUCUAACAGAACUGUUAGUUUUCCAUUGCAAGGAAUUGUAACAUCCGUCCACUACAGCAGAAAGUCUAGUGCGGCUCGUAUCAAUGAAGGUAGCUGGAUGCAGGGCAAUGACAGAGGUGGUAAUAGGUGACGGAGAAGAAGAUGAAGCACCAAAUUUAAAUUCAAAACAAGAGAUUGUUUUCAGAUAAAGAUUCUUGAAAUUGUCCUACUUACUGCUGACAUUUCCACAAGAAGUUAGAGAAUAUAAAAAAUUCAUUAAUCGUUAGUUUUUAAUUUCAUUAUUCAAUGAAAAGCCCUGUCAAAUUAAAUUGCAAAUCUCAAUGUGCAAGUACCUAAAUUUACAAAAUUUACUUUAAAUUAAUGAAUGAAAGAAUUUAUAUUCUGCUGUUGGAGGAGUCGUCAUCUCUCUCGACAUAGUAUACGAUAUGUUUUGAUCCCAUAGGCUUUUUAAUAUAUUACCUUGUGUUGUUUGAUCUCUAGGUUUAUUUUAUCGUUUCAUCUUAUUAUUUGCAAUGCGUCAGUUGGUUUAUUUGUUAAUUUUGGAAUGAAGUUGAUGCAGCUGAUGGUUGCAUAGGAUGAGUAGGAUAUCACUCCUAUAUCAUAACUUGAGCGGGUAUCUAUUCGGCAAGAAAUUCUGUUUAUUUCGUAGUUAUUUUACAAAGUUUAAGUUAUUUUCUUAUUUUUCUUAUUAUUUUCAAUAUUUUUAUAUUUUUUCUCUAAAUAUAAGAUUUUAAGUAUGAUUUAUUUUAUUUUUCUUAUUUCAGUUAGGAGAACGUUAUUAUGUAAUAAUAUUUCAAGUUUGUCUAUUUUGAUAAAUACAUAAUAUUUAGAAUUUGUGUAAAAAGGGUCCAAUACCCUAAUUUUGUUAUUCAAACUUCUAUUAAUAAAAUUUCAGACUUUUUAAAAAAAUUUCUCUAUGUUUUCAAUCUCAACAUCUAUGUUUCCCUUUCAUCAUAAGUUCUAAUGUCUGGUUCUGAGCUAGCUUUAUGUGCAUAUUAGACAUCAUUGAAGGUCUUUUGAUCUGAGUUAUGAUCAAAAAAUUAUGCUCGCUUCUGUCUGGUUGUAUGAAAAUUGUACAAAAUAAUAUUCUUAUAUAAUUUUUAUCCUCCAUUGUUACAGAAUCCCCAAGCUUCGAAUUUGUAAACUUUGAAAGCAUGGCAGAAAACUUAGUACUUAAUAAGGCUCUGGAAUAAGACUCUUUAUGGCUUCAAUAUUUUACUUAACAUGAAAUUUUCUUUCUAGCUAGCAUCAUUGUGAAGAUAAAUUGUGGUAGUUCUGACAAGUACUGCACAAUUAAUGUUACCAGCAAUCAAUUGGCGUGAGCACCAACAACCAUUUUCAUAUUUAAGCCUUUAGAAAAGUAACACAAAAUAUGGCAAGUGGCAACCACAUCAAACAAUCAAAUUGUUGAAAGAUUUUGAAAGCUUUAAUUUGCUUGAUAUAUAUUUGAAUAUUUCAACAGAUGCAUCUUUUCUCCACUCAUGGGGCACGUUGAGUUAGAAACGGUUUGAAUGUCAAUAUUACUCCAAGUGCCUCCACCGAAUUCAGAAUGAAAAAAAUCAUCUGGUUACCUGCACUUUAGUUUAAGCAGCUAACUAAGCUAAUUAGCACCAAGUAAUUCACAAACUAGUGAGAAAUUUCAUUAGUUAAUUAUCAUACCUGUUAUUAUACCAUAAACCAACCAAUUAAUUUAAACUUUGGCACAUACAAAAUUUGAAAAAGCUGAAAGCAUGGAAAUGUACUAAACAAACAAAAGAAAAUAUAUUUACCACUGCUCUAUUUUGCAGAAGGAACAAUCCAGUUAUUGUAGACACCUGAUGUUACAAUUCAGGAAAAGUAAAAAAGAAUUACAGCAAUUCUAAUAAAAAAGACAUAAAAUAAUUUUAUACAUACUUUCUGGUGGAUAAUAUAACCUAAGUAUAUGGAUCAAUGAUUAGGAUAUCCACUUACAGAUAAAACAUUCUUCAUCACAGAAGCACAGUUUAUCAAAAAGGCAAGGCUGAACCCAGAUAGCAUUGCUAUGUAAGUGUAACUUGUCAAAAGCGGUAUCGAUAAAACCUGUACAUACAUAGAAAGUUAUGGGACCAAAACCAUGAAGAAAAGUAUUUUAUAAACAGAUAUGUUUGAAACAAACUAUCAAAUGGUCCAAAUGCCGCAUGAGGUGUUCAAAAUAUUACCCCCUGCAAUUCAUGUUAUGAUUAUUGGCCCAAUAAUCCUCUCGACGUAAGGGUACAGAGUAAGUUGAAAAACAAGGAGAAUGAAACCUAUAGUAAGUUCAAAAUGAGGACAAUCGACAAUCGUCAAGCAGUUUUGUGGGGGUGAUGCAUGCGAAAGCAAGUACAGAAAACAAGUAACAUUUUUAGUUUCGUAAUAAGUUUGGUGCUGAUCGCGCAAUAUUUCACAUGCAUAUGCCUCGUGGUGUAAGAGAAGUUUGAGCACAAAUAUUUACAGGAACUAAAUUGGAAUUAUCAAUAAAUACCCCCAAUCAACACCUUUAUUGGUCCAAGUAAACCAUUCAAUUGAAAGAAAUUGAGAGAAAAUAUUGUUUGGUUGCUGAGAAAAUAUCUCAGAAAAUUUCCAGAGAACUUUCGGAUUUCUUGUAUUUAUUUUUCUUAGAAAGAAAUGUUAUGAUUACAACUUAUUUAUACUCAAAACUCAAGGAUUACUAAAGCUAAUGACUAACUAAUUCAGUAGAAUCUCCACAUGCAUAACCACAGCUCGAUAUACAAAGUAAUCACACCAGACUGUUAACUACUUAAGCUGAGGUGGCAGCUGAGCUGUCAUUCUGCUUACAUUCAUCUGACAUCACCAGCUUGCUGGUUUUCCUUAGCUUGUGCAGCUUCCUCUUUUCUGCACAAUGAGCUUCUCUAACAGCCCCCCUCAAACUCAAAGGACAAGAGUGAACAUUGAGUUUGGCCCUCAAGUAAUUAAACUGUAUGAAGGAAAGAGGUUUAGUCAUUAUGUCUGCAACUUGAUCUGCACUUGCUAUAUAUUGAAUGCUGAGCUCCUUAUUAAGAACCUUGUUGCGAAUAAAAUGUAUGUCAAUCUCAAUGUGUUUUGUUCUGGAAUGGUAAACUGGGUUCUUGGCCAAUUCAGCUGAACUAAUGUUAUCACACCAAAUAAUAGGUUUAGCUAUGCAGCAUACUCCAACUUCAGCAAACAAGGACUGUAACCAAGUUAAUUCUGCACUAGCUGAUGCCAAUGCCCAGUACUCACUCUCGGCACUUGACCUAGCUAUUACUCCUUGCUUUUUAGAAGACCAUGAUAUAAGAUUAUUACCCAGGUAGAUACAAUAUGCACUCACUGAUUUCCUGUCAUCUAAAUCACAUGCCCAAUCAGCAUCUGUAAAUCCAGUAAGCUCUAUAUUGCCUUCUUUAAUGAUCUUUAAACCAUAGUCCUGAGUGGCCUUUAGAUAUCUUAAAACCCUUUUACAUGCCAUGAGAUGCUGUAGUGUAGGAGCAGAUACAUACUGACUGAGUUUGUUAACUGCAAAAGCAAUCUCAGGUCUUGUCAAAACCAGAUACUGCAUGCUUCCAACAAUGCUUCUAUAGUAUGUAGGAUCUUCAAGAUAAUGACCAAGCUGUCCUUGAACAGACUUCUGUAACUUCAGACCAGUGCUUAAAGGAGUAUCAAUGCCCUUACAAUUAAUCAUAUCAACCUUAGCUAACAAAUCUCUGAUGUAUUUCCUCUGAGACAGAAAUAUGCAAUCUUCAUCAUAUAAGACUUCUACCCCAAGAAAAUAAGAUAAAAUGCCAAGAUCUUUUAAAGCAAAAGUUGAGCUUAGUGUUGCAAUAAAAUGUUCUAAUUCAGCACUGCUAGGACCUGUAACCAAGAUAUCAUCCACAUAUAUCAACACAAGAAUCAUGGAAGUAUGACUCCUUUUCAAAAACAGAGAUGUAUCAGAAGUAGUAUUAGUGAAUCCCCACUGCAGCAAGCAGCUCUUAAGUUUAUCGUACCAAGCUCGAUGAGCUUGUUUAAGUCCAUAAAGAGACUUGUGCAAUUUACACACAUAACCAGGCUUUGUGUUGUCAAUAAAACCUGUUGGCUGAGACAUAUAAACUUCUUCUGUCAAAUCCCCAUUGAGAAAUGCAUUAUUGACAUUAACUUGUCUAAUUUUCCAUUUGUUCAUCACUGCUAAGCUUAAUACCACUCUGACAGUUGCUGGUUUAAUAACUGGACUAAAGGUUUCAAAGUAGUUUACCCCUGCAAUUUGUUGAAAACCUUUGGCAACAAGCCUAGCUUUGUAUUUGGCUACACUCCCAUCAGUGUUGUAUUUAAUCCUAUACACCCACUUAUUAUCCACAAUCUGUUGAUCAGUCUCUUUAGGAACCAAGGACCAAGUAUUAUUGUGAACUAAGGCAUCAUACUCAUCUUGCAUAGCCUUCACCCAUCUAGAAUCACUCAAAGCCUCUUGCACUGAAUCUGGUUCUUUGUGAGUGAGAAUGGUUGUAUACACUUUUGGUUUAAAAGUGCCAGAUUUGCUUCUGGUGCUCAUAGGAUGAAUGUUGGAUUGUAUUUGAGGUAAGUCAACAGGAGGAGUUAAUGAUGUUGUAUUAUCAGAAACAGAGGCAGAUAAGAAAUAUUGUGUAUUAACAGGUAGAUGAGUUUGAGAACUUACUUGCUGUGAAUUUUGAUCAUUUGUUGUUUGUGCAGGAUUUUCUGAGUGAGUUGAGUUGCUGCUAUCAGGGUUUGCAGAUAAGGAAUAACCAGUGCUAUUUUCAGUAAAUGAUUGAACAACAGGCAAAGUGGAAAGAUGAUAUAUUUGCUGAGGAGAAAAGGAAGUAGAAGAAAGAGGUGAUGAUGAUGACUCCGUGAAACAAUGAAAGCUAGAAUCAGUAGAGUAAGAAAAAGUGAGUUCAUCAAAUAUGACAUGUCUUGCUAUGUAAAGAUGACCUGAAGGAUGUAAGCACUUGUAACCUUUGUGUGAUGAACUAUAUCCUAGAAAAAUACAUUUACUGGAAUGAUAGUCAAAUUUGUGUUGGUUAUAAUCCCUCAAGUAAGGAUAGCAUGCACAACCAAAACACUUAAGCAUAUCAUAGUUGGGUUGGUGUUUGAAAAGUUUCUCAUAGGGAGACAAAAGUUUGAGAACAACAGAAGGCAAUCUAUUUAUGAUGUACACAGCUGUAUGAAAUGCUUCCCACCAAAAUUUAAAGGGUAAUUUAGAUUGAGCUAGCAGUGUAAGUCCCAUUUCAACAAUAUGCCUAUGUUGUCUCUCAACCAAUCCAUUUUGAUGAUGAGUGUAUGGGCAGGAGUGUCUAAAAAUGAUACCACACUGAUUUAAGAACUCAGUGAAAGGUCUGUACUCACCCCCCCCCAAUCAGAUUGUAACUGCUUAAUGGUGGUUUGAAACUGAUUUUCAACCUGUGUUUUGAAAAGCUUAAAGACACUUAGAGCUUCAGACUUAAACUUUAGAGGGUAGAUCCAGGUAAACCUGCUAAAAUCAUCCACAAAACUGAUAUAAUAGUGAUAUCCAUCUCUAGUGUAGACAGGUGAAGGACCCCAGAGAUCUGUAUGUAUCAGUUCUAAAAACUUGGUUGUUUUGGUUGUGGAUGAAGGGAAAUGAAGCUUAUGGCCUUUGCCCAUUUGACAAGCUUCACAGAUGUAUUGCAGUGCUUGUAUUAUUUGAUUAUCAGAAAAAUUUGCAGACUUGAUGUUUUUGAGAACAAGCUUUAAGAUAUAUUGAUUGGGAUGACCAAAUCUAUUAUGAAACAAAGCAAUCUUAUUCACUGAUGUUGUACAAGAUAAUGCAGUAGAUGAAUAACAAGAUUUUGAAUGGCUACAAUCUGCAUUAUUAACAUCAGUUACAGAAUUAAAAUGAAAACAUCACAACAUUGACAUUGGCUUAUUUGAACUGAUCUGAGAUAGAAAAGAUGAUUUAGAGAAUGAGUAUGGUUUGAAUAACAGCCUGUAUAAUCCUCUUUCAGCAAUACCCUGUAGCAGAACUUCCCCCUUCAGAGCAUCCUUCACAUAACAAAUAUUUCCAAGAAAUUCAACAGACAAAUGGUUAUCAGAUGUGAGUUUAGAAAUACUCAAUAAAUUUUUGGUAAUUGAAGGGACAAGAAGAAUAUCUUUCAGUACUAUGUGUGGGUGUUUGUGUUGAGCAAAUGAAGUUUUAAAAACAAAUUUAGCAUCACCAACAUGAGUUAUGGGCAAACCUUGUCCAUUUCCAAUGAUAAGCUGAUCAGAACCAUUGAAUUCCUCUCUGACCUGUAUAUUAGCCAUGUUGUUGGUUAAGUGAUGAGUUGCUCCACUAUCAAGAUACCACCCUUCAUCAGCAGGCCCUUCAAAAUUUGCAAGAUAAGCAGCUCCAGGUGCAGAAGACAUUUCAGAUGAACAAUGAGGCAUAGAAGAAUAUGUCACUGGAUCCAGAUUGUAAGACUGAUAAUUUAAGCAGUUCAUAGCAUAAGAAUCAUCAAAAUAUGGUGCAAACUCAGCAUGUGAGUUAAAUGUAGUCAUAUAAGCUGACUUAGGUCCUCUUCCUCUACCAAAAUGCCUUGACUGUGGCACAUAAUUCUCAAUAUAUAUGUGCCAACAAGCAUCAGCUGUGUGCCCUGACUUAUGACAUAUCUGACAAACAGGAAUGUUAUCAUCUGAUUCAGUUCCAGCUAACACAAAACCUUGACCAUAAGGCUUAGGAUGUGAUAAGACUUUGUGAAACUGCAUUGGCAUAGAGUUGCCUCUUCCAAAAUUAUGACCACUGUUAUUAAAGCCUCUAGGAUAUGUAUUAAACAUCAUUCCUCUUCCAGCAUUUCUGUUUCCAUUAUGAAUUUGUCCACGAUAUCCUCCAUAACCAAAACCUCAUCUUCUAUUAUUCCCUCUGACUUGAGAAUAAUUGGAAUUCAUCACUCUAUAGUUAGCAUUGAACAUGACUUUAGUAUUCUGAUUGGUCUGACUUUGUUCUAAUCGUGCCUCAUGUGUUAACAGUAAGGCAUAAGCAUCAUCAUAAGACAUCUUAUUAGCUGUGAUAAUAGAUGCAAGAUCUAAAUAACCAGUCCCUAAUCCAUUUAGAACUUGCAUUAACAAAUCCCUUUCUGACAUAGGACUACCAGCACAGGCAAGUUUAUCAGCUAAUAUUUUGACUUUUAAGCAAUAUUCUUCAACAGACAUGGAUUCCUUUCUAAGUACAUUCAAUUCAUAACGAAGUUGCAUUAUUUUAGCUUCAGACUGAGCUCCAAAUUGUUUCUCAAUAGAUCUCCAAGCAUCUCGUGAAUUGUCACAGUUAAGAAUAGAACUGAGAAUACCUUCAUUAACUGAUGGUAACAGCCAGCCAAGUAGUAUUUGAUCUUGAGCUCUCCAAUUUAUGUAUGCUGGAUUAUCCACUUUCUGCACUGAUCCAUCAGCUGUUGUUUGAAUGAUAUGUUGCUCUGGUAUGAUCUGAUUUUCAGAUAUGAAAUCUUCAAGCCGAUUUCCUCUGAUUGAUGUAAGAACUUGUUUUCUCCAGAUUAGGAAAUUAGAUCGAUCUAGUUUUAUUGGAUUACUGAAUGAGAAUGAGAUCUGUGAAGGUUGAUUUGCAUUUGUUGAAUUUGAAAGUGUUGUUGUGUUGCUGGAACUAGCCAUAUUGGCUCUGAUACCAUGAAAUAAAUUGAGAGAAAAUAUUGUUUGGUUGCUGAGAAAAUAUCUCAGAAAAUUUCCAGAGAACUUUCGGAUUUCUUGUAUUUAUUUUUCUUAGAAAGAAAUGUUAUGAUUACAACUUAUUUAUACUCAAAGCUCAAGGAUUACUAAAGCUAAUGACUAACUAAUUCAGUAGAAUCUCCACAUGCAUAACCACAGCUCGAUAUACAGAGUAAUCACACCAGACUAUUAACUACUUAAGCUGAGGUGGCAGCUGAGCUGUCAUUCUGCUUACAUUCAUCUGACGUCACCAGCUUGCUGGUUUUCCUUAGCUUGUGCAGCUUCCUCUUUUCUGCACAAUGAGCUUCUCUAACAAAAGCCCCAAGGAGAAACCUUGUAGCUAUGGCCAUCCAGAAAUUCACACUAAGCCCAAAAAGAGUGUUAAAAAUAAACCCUGUGAGCAUUUUAAGACAGACAAGAAAUCCAGAAAUUGCCGAAGUAUCAUCAAUUUCAAGCUUGAUCAUAUGAAAAUAGAAGUCACUAACACUGUGAUGCUUCCUAUUAUUAUUACAGGCUUUCGACCACAGCGGUCAGCCACCAUUUCUCACAAAACAGAUGUUAGAGCUCGGCCAAGCAUGUAUGAAGACCCUUCAAUUUCAUCAAGGUAUUAAGAUGUUUGUUAGGAUAACUUCUUGAGGAAUUUGAACUGUUAUAUUGGUCGUACGUACAUACACACACACACACAUACAUACAUAUAUACAUAUAUACAUACAUAUGUAAAUCGUUUCCAGGUGCGAACAUAUGUACUUUUUAAAGCAUAGACUUGGCCCUUUAAAGUUGUAAAGACGCGGGUCCGUAUUGUAAAGCUCUUGUACAGUGCGUUUACAGUGAUGUAAAGUCUCGGUAGAAUGUCUUCCCAGAGUUGUAAAGGCGUGAGUCAGCACUUUAUAAGGCGUGGACAUUCGUACCCAAGACGGACUCCAUACUGUGUGUCAGAAUUUGUUAUACCUUUUUUCUCUUCGUGUGAACGCAAGUUAGAGUGACAUCUAACAAACCACUGCGCAACUUCAAUUUCAUCAUGGUAUUAAGAGGUUUGUUAGGAUAACUUCUUGAGGAAUUUGAAGUGUUAUAUUGGUCAUACACACAUACAUACACACAUACAUACAUAUAUACAUCCAUACAUGUAGAUAUGUAAAUCGUUUCAGGUGCGAACAUAUGUACUUUUUAAAGCAUAGACUUGGCCCUUUACAGUUGUAAAGACGCUGUGAAGCGUUUGUACAGUGCGUUUACAGUGUUGUGAAGUCUCGGUAGAAUGUCUUUGUAGAGUCGUAAAAGCUUGAGUCUGCACUUUAUAAGGUGUGGACAUUCGUACAAAAAACGGACUCCAUAUUGUGUGUCAUUUAUUAAAUACAAUAAAAAAACAUAGAAUAACUCACCCACGUAACCAGCAUAGAAUCCAAUAUCUUGAUCCUUUUUGCAAUGUGAAAAUUCCUAAACUGAAAAAAAAUCAUAAAUGACUGCUGUGAAAAAGCAAUGAAUUAUUUGAAAUAUAAAACUUGUCUUUUCUUAUAUUUCUCAGAAAAUCACCAAGCAUGAUAGGAAAAUAUAAAUUUUCUCACUAAUAACCACUACGCUGAAGGCAAUAAUAAUCCACUCACCAUAAAAUAAAGGAAGGGAAAGAGAGAUGCGACCGGCAGAACUGAAAAAAAAAAUCACAAAAGAAUUGAAAAUCAUUGUAAAUGGUUCUCUCCAAAAUCAUUAUAUCGAGUUGAAGUUGAAAAAUUUUCCAGUUGCAAGCACAACAAUCCAAAUAAUUAAAAGCUUACGAAUUGGUAAGCCUCGUUCCGACUCUUUAAGCUUAUCAACCUUACAGCCUGAGCAGUUCUUAUAAUAUUUCUUCUUCAAUAGCGGCUCUCUCACUUUCCCCUCCGCCAUACUUGAAAAAUUUUCAGCUCAAGUAAUCGUCUUUGUCUAUUCAAUCCUAUUUCAAUGCUUAAAUAUAAGUACUUAGAAAAGAAGUAACAAAAUCAAUACAAAAGAAUCAAUGAGCUUAAGGAUAUAAUCAAACUAGAGAUAUAGUGAUCAUUUAAAGAAUUUUCAACAGAAUUCUAAAAUCAGUUGAUUUUCCAGCUGGGUCUGUCACCACCAUGGUAAUUAAAAUUAUUGGAUCCCAUGCAAAACAAAAAUUUUUCAUUACAUGCCCUCAUAGCUGACGUCCAAUUAAUCAUUACUCUUAUGAGAAUAAUUUUUGGUGACAAGAACAGCGGCAUCCUUGGACGUGGCAAAAUAAUCACAAAAAUCCCUUAUUUUAAAAAAUGAUCAUGAAAAUUUAUUGAGGAACACACAAAUUCAGGAUCUGUGUAACUAUUGUUAAAUACAAAAAAAGGUCUAUAUGCAUUAAAAAAGAGUUUGUAUGUUCAUUUUUUAAAAAUAAGGGAUAUUCAUGAUUACCAUGUUAAGCCACGAGAUGUCGUGUUGUUUUCUAAUUUUUCAUUAAAUCGUUGUUACACAAUUCGACAUGUAAAAGUAAUUUUUUUUUUUUGAGAGAUGGUAACAAACAUAGUGACAAAACUAUCAUAGUACCGUCUAAUGAUGAAACUAAUUGUUAAUUAAUUAAUAAAAAUACUAAGUGAUUGUAACGGUUCCGGUCACAGUCACAGUCAAAUAUAAUUAGGAUAAUUUAAUUUAAAUAAUGUGUAAUUAAAAAAAAAACCCUUUUUCCUUCGCCGCCUCUAUAAUUUAAUUUUGGGUUUGAUAUCUUUAGUUUUAAGAUUUUUGAUUAUUGGGUUUCUUUUUAUUGAAUUUUCUUAGUAUGAAUUUAUUUUGUAAAAGAAUUUUACAAUGAAAUUUGCUCUCAAGGAUUUUGGUAUCAUUAGUUUAGGGUUUCUUUCUAUUGGGUUUUAUUUGUUUUGGUGGGAUUAUUGGACUUAUUUUGUAAUGUACUGAUGAAUGUGUGUUUGAUUUUUUUCUUUCACAUUGGAAUCAUGCUUUGCCUCUGAUUUUGUAAUUUACUAGGUUUAUAAUCUUGGGUUCGUAAUCCGGAAAAAAAUCGUUUCCAUAUAAUUUUAAAAAUAUUAUAAUAAAUUUUUACUUUUUGAUUUAAAUUUUAUUAGUUGUAAGGGUAUGUUAGUACUUAUAUACCCAAUUCAUUUCAAAAUAGGGGUAGUAUAGUCUUUUAAAUUUAUAACAGCCUAAACAGUUAGAAUUAGUUGAUUUUUUUAACAGAAAUAGGGGGAGGUGCAUAUGGUCAAAAGAUGUGGGUGCGCUGUGUGAAAUACUGAACAAUUGGGAGCUGAUGCUUAAUGGAAGGAACAAAAUUCAGGAAAAGAGGAAUCAAAGUGCAAAAUGAAUUAGGAUACCUGAAAAGAAAGAAUGAAAAUAACUUUUUUUUUUUAAAUUAUUUAUUUGGACAUUGUGACAAACAAGUGAUGUGCAUUGUUAAUUCAGAUUGCCCAAAAUGUCAAGUCUUGAAAAACGACAACAUUACAUGAUUCAUGAGAAGCCUAUCACUUUGAGAUUAAUUUAAUUAAAAAAAGUUCCGUUUGCUUAAUACUAAAAUGUCACGCGCAAGUUGUCCUGGACUAGAGAGUCGUUCACCCGUACUUACACCCAAAAGUCACGAGGAUCAAAACCAGAUCUGUCACUGCAUUUGCUUGAAAAAUGAUUUUACUAAUAUAAAAUAUUAGUAAAUAUAUAUUUUGAAAAAUUAAUAUUCGUGUUUCGAUAGCUUUCUAAGUGGUUUAUUUACAGGUAUUCAAAAUAUAUAUAUUUAGUAAUUUCUAUUAAAAUUUUGCGACAAUUGUUUGGCUGGAAUAUUUUUUUAUAAGAAAAAUAGCGAUCUCACACUGAUCCACAGUUGAGCCAAUUACCUAGUUAAAAGCUACCUCAAUAUUUUUUAUUUUUACCCUAAUGCAUGUCUGAUUCUUUUAAAAUUUUACGUUAUAUAUAUUAAACAAAAAUUAUAAUUUUAAUCAUUGAAAAAUUAAUGACAGACAUCUUUUGAAUAAUUUUUUUUUGAAAAAUACAGAGCUAGAGAUAAUGCUAUAAUUGAUUGAAUAAGAAGGCUACAACUUGAUGAUAACUUUAUUGCAAUGUUGCGUGAUCUCAAUAUAUUAUUGGCUUGUGUGAGUAAAAGCUGCUGGCUCUUGUUUUACUAAUUUGCCUUUGUAUUUGACUGGCUCGACAAAGAAUCGAUUUACCUCAUACUCAAAUUACAAACAUCGAAACCGGAUCUGUCAUUACGUUAAUUGGCCUCCUAAAAUAAUCAAUCACUUUCUCUUUAGUCUACCAUCCACUCUUUCCAGUCGCUUAGUUUCAUUCUAAUCAUCUAAACGCUCUUUGCUACUGUUUCUUCUAUUCGUCAUUGUUCUUGUUCUGUUAUUAUUUAGCUUUGCUCACUCCUCAGUCUCAUUUCUUAUUCUGUACCCAUCAGCUCUUUUAGCUCUUUACGUCGUGAUCGAAACCCUUUUCUUGUUUCCUUCAUUUCAUCUGAAAAACACGAACUGCCUGUCCUAUCGCUGUCUCUUUGUUUUUACUUUCCUUUGGCUUUCUUAGCUUCUACGUUUUUGUCAGGAUUCGAGAUGCUGGAAAUCAUUGCGACUAUCGUCUUGGAACUUGUAAAAUGCUUGGCUCCUCCAACUGAACGCCAACUUGUGCAUUUGCGAAAGCGGAACUACAAUGCCAACUUUGAGAAUAUCAAGGCGGAAAUGGAGAAGUUGAAGGUUGAACGUGCGAGCAUUCAGCGCAGGGUUUCAGAGGCGAAAGAAAAAGGGGAAGAGAUUGAAGAGAAGGUUGAAAAGUGGCAGGUUAGUGCGAACGGCAUCAUUGACCGGGCAGCCAAAUUCAUUGAAGAUGACGAGUCAACGAAUAAGCGCUGUGUCAAGGGCUUGAGUACUAUUUGGAAGAGUCGCUAUCAGCUUAGCAAGAAAGCAGAGACGGAGGUGAAGGCCAUUAUUGAACUUGGAGAAGAAGUUAAGAAGUUUGAUACUGUUUCCCACCGUACCAUUCGGGAGCAGAUACGGCUUAAGUCUAGCAAUGGUUACGAGGCCUUCAAAUCAAGACUUUCUACUUUGCAGUCUAUAAAAAAUGCAUUGACGGAGGCGAAUGUCAGCAUUAUUGGGGUGUACGGCAUAGGCGGCAUUGGAAAGACCACACUGGAAACAUCUUGAAUUGGAGAAGAAGCUGUUUUAUCGGGUGGUUUUAUCAGAGGUUUCAUAAACUCCAGAGAUAAAAAAGAUUCAAGGGGAAAUUGCAGAGAAGUUAGGUCUGGAGUUGUCCGAUGAAGCUGAAUAUAGAAGAGCUAGCAAGCUGUAUGACCGAUUGAAGAGUGAGAAUAAGAUUCUUGUGAUUCUAGAUAAUAUCUGGAAACAUCUUGAAUUGGAGACGGUUGGAAUUCCUUUUGCAAAUAAUCAUAAAGGAUGUAGACUGUUGCUGACAGCACGAGAUAAUACUGUGCUUUUAAGUAUGGGCUCCAAAGAUAACUUUUUGAUUGGCAAUCUAACUGAACAAGAAGCCUGGAGAUUGUUUAAGAUAAUGAAUGGUGAUGAUGUUGAAAGUUUUAAGUUCAAGUCUACAGCAAUUAAUGUAGUUAAGGCAUGUGGAGGUUUGCCCAUUGCGUUGAGGGCACUGAGAAACAAGAGUCUCCAUGAAUGGAAGAAUGCCUUGCGAGAGCUCCGAACGCCUUCAAUGGUAAACUUCGAAGGUGUGUCUGCAGAGACUUAUUCAAGUAUUGAGCUGAGUUUCAAUUAUUUAAAAGGUGAGCAAGUCAAGAAAAUUUUUCUGCUUUGUCGUCUAGUAGGUAACAGUGUUUGGUUUUCAGACUUAUUUAGAUACUCCAUGGGUUUGGGCAUAUUUCAAGGAGUCAACAUUCCCUUCAUAUUUACCAAAGGUAAGUGAUAAAUCCUACAUAUCCCACUCAAGAAUGCAUAUGUUUUUUCAAUCUCAAGUACCUAAAGUUUUCUUCUACGUUUAUAAAAAUUUCAGCACCAUCUCCCUAUAAUUCUCCAAGCUCACGACACAGCUAUAUAAGUGUUUAUGCGUUAUGCCAAAACAACACAUGACACCCAUUCACCUAGUACGUACCCAGAGAACACGAGGAGCAGCUACCGAAAAAGCCAUUUUUACGUGGGAAGAAAACUUCAGCUACUAGCUACCAGAGAGAACUAUGCAUUCCCAAACUGUCCAAGCCUGGACAAUUCAAGAAUUAUUAAUAGACAUAUGAUCCUCACUAUCAUCCAAAGAUGACACUAAUACAACAUGUGUCUAUUAAUAAUUUCUUAAACAAGUCUAAGCUUUCAAUGCACGUAUCAAAAGUUUAAAAUUGAAUCUGAAAUUUGAAUAGCACAUAAAUAUCAUAAAUCUCUUCAAUUUAUUCCUGAUACAAUGUAGCAUUAUUUCACAUAUCAUUUCUUAAGCAAAACCAUAAAAAAUACAAACGAUAAAUACAUUUUCCCACUGAUGCAGAUUAUGUUUACUGAGCAAUAAGUUUUAAGCCAUUCAUUUUGAAAUACUUCUGCCUAUUCUUUCAACAUAUAACUAGUACGUACACACAAUUAAUAAAUUAAAAAAAAAAACCUUCUGGUGAAUCUUGCAAAAUCUUCCUUUUUUCUUUUUUUUUUCUUUUUCUUCUUUUUUUUGGGGGUGGGGGGGUGUGUUGGGGGAACUAUGAAUCUUGCAAAUCCUCAAGAAGCUAUGUUAAGACAAGGCCAGCUUACUAUUAGGGUAUGAAAGAUAAAACCUUUUAUUUCCUUUUCAGAAUAAAAAGAACAUUGACAGUGUUAAAAAAAAUCUAGAGGAUUUCAGGCCUCCAGAUCCUUACAAAUCAAGGAUAUUAAAAAAAUUUACUUAGAGGAGAAAGGUUAUGCUCAUUUGUAUCUUGUUAGAAGAAAUUGAUCCAAAGCCUCAGUUUUAAUUAACUUCAUAUAGCCAAUGAUUAGGUGUUUAAAAACCAAUGAAUAUUUUUAUAAGAAAUCGACAAUAUUGUUGAAAGAAAAACCAAAUAAAAAUAAUAAAGCCAAUGAAUAGAUCAAGGCUCUUUGUGGUCUAAAACUAAUCAAACUAAGUUGUGGGCAAAGGCGAAUAUGUUUGUUUGGUCAAUAAUAAGCUCAACAAAUCACUAAUAAUCACCUAAUCACUAUUCCUUAUGCUCUGCAAUAUAAUGGCCUGGGUAAUGGCGCCAAGGCAGAUAAUAACUAGCUAGCCAGUUAUGAUAGUUGAUUAACUUAACCUACUGGAAAUCUGUAGACCAAAACGAAGAAGCUUUGCCUAGAACUAGAAUAGGAACAUUCAUACCCAAAACUGAUAUACACGAUUAAGAAACUUGAUUAUAUGGAUAUUUCUGGUGGCCACACUUAAAGAGAAUUUUCAAAAGAUGCUAAGGUACACCAAAUCCCACUAUUUCAUACUCAUAAACACAAAAACCCAUGGCAAAAAUUAAUGACUAUAUCAAAUAAAAUCAGUCAUAGGACAAUGAGAUUAGGACAACUUGAUUUGUAUACCAUAAAUCUGCAUAGUGAACUAUAUUUCUGUUAGAACUCUGAAGUUUUUCUAUUAAAUUUUUUUCUCUGCUAGGUAAACCACUUUUAACUGAAAUGCUUAAGCCAAUAUUGACAAUCAUAGACAUAAAAGUAUUAAUAGGCUCAUUCAAGUGAAAUGAGCAUUAUUUCACACAUCCUUUAGGUUUUUAAGUUAUUUAGAAGUCAUUCAUGUUAAAAAAAAAAUCAUAUACUUUCAAUAUAAUUAGUACAUACACAAUUAAUUAAUUAAAUAAAUUUGUUUCAGCUAAUAUAGGAACUUAAUUAAUCAAAGCUAGUAGUUAUAGCUAGGACUUGAACGAGGCACCUUUCAAAGUUCAAGAAGAGCAUCUGAACAGAAUGAAAGCAAUUUGUAGAAAUGGUAAUGAUGCUUUACAUCUACAUGCUCUUACACAAUAUGAACUUUCAUUUACUCCAAGCUCUUAUUCUACAAGUCAAUUCAGUUUGUAGACGCACGCCAUUGUAAAAACUUUUGUAUUAUAAUUUCUGAAAAUAGAAUGUAACAUUAUUAAUAUAGAAUCAGCAAUGUAUAUAACUUAUCAGACAAUAUAACAAGCACUUGGUGAGCAUACAAGAUAAACUAAAACAAGUUAUCUAGAAAAUGAAACUAAAACCCAAGCUCCGCUAUUCAUUGUAGAAGCUUUAAACAUAAAAUUAAAGUAAAUCUAAUAGCAAAACAUUAGAAUGGAUAUUGAAAUUAAAGCUAAAUUCAAUAGUAAUUCAAAUGAAUCCAUUUGAACUUUGUAAAUUCCGCAGAACAAAAUUAAUUUGAGUGAGCAAACUCACCAAUGGAACAAGAACACAGGGGCUUCAACUUGUAGGAAUAAAAAAAUAUUGCUGGCGGGACAAAAAUUGACAAUAACAGCUACAAUACGAAUUUUAAAAAAAAUCAAAAUCUAUAAUUACAAGCUAAGUAAGAGAAGAAACUCAUAAUCACAAGCUUAACUCAAAAGAUGAAGGGAGAACACGAUGAAGAAGAAGAUGGCUGGUGUUUUACGCCGUUCGCCGGCAACCAGUUAGGUUUACGAUGGUGGCUAGUAACACGGAGUCCAGCGAAUAGUUUUCUAACUGGAAAUAAAUUUAAAAUUCUAAAAUAGUACCGAACGGCUCAAGCUCUCUAUAUAGUUACUAAUUCAAUUCUCCUUCGAAAGGUUCUCUCUGUCCUAGAGAGAACUUUGAAUGGAAGAGUAAAAGGGUCCUCAUGACUCGAGUAGUCACUCACAGGUGAGUGAAGUAUUUCAUUUCGUUACCUUACAUCCUAGUUCAAGUAGAUAUUCAGGUCCUUUUAUUGGGGUGAGCAGAGUUGGUGAGGGGUAUAAAACACAGGGUAUUAACAACCAAGGCUGUACAUCAAUUUCUCUAUCUGUUAAAAAGAGAGCUUCCAUAAAUAUGGAUACUGAGGAACUGAUUAGGAAAUGCAAAGCUAGGGGAGGAUAAAGAAAAGAUAGUGAACUUUGAGGGAAGCAUGAGGAGCAAAGGAAGACAAGUAGUAGCUGGUUGUUUGGUGGGUAAAAUCCUACACAACAGGAGUGUUAAUCAAGAAGGAUUGAAGAGUGCGCUACAAAUGGUGAGGCGGACAACCAAAGAAGUUCGGAUUGAAAGCUUGGGAAAUAAUGUCUUUUUGUUCAAAUUUGCGCAAGAAGCAGACAAGAAAAGAAUCCUAGCAGGAGGUCCUUGGCAUUUUGACAGAGCAUUGAUAAUCCUCACAGAGCCAAAAGGAAUUGGGGAGGUUACUAGACAAGCCUUCACACAUACUUCAUUUUGGGUACAACUUCGGAAUGUACCAAUCAUGUGUAUGGAAAAGGACAUCCUAAAAGUGUUGGGGGAGCAAAUCGGGACUGUGGAAUAAGUAGAGACGAACGGAUAUGGAGAAUGUAUUAGUGAAAUUGCUAGAAUACGAAUCUCUGUUGAUAUAACACAACCACUGCCCAAAAUGAUUUUUCUCAGACUAGAAGGGGAAGAAAAAAUCCCAAUGCCAGUUGGCUAUGAGCAUCUACCAGACUUUUGUUUUUGUUGUGGACAUAUUGGUCAUAGCUUCAAAGAGUGUGCUCAGUACAAGGGGCAAGCUAAAGAGCAGCUACCAUAUGGGGUCUGGAUGAAAGCGAUCAAGAUAAGUGAAAGAGCAAAACUGAACCGCAGUAGAGUAAAUUGGAGUAGAAACCAUGGGAAAACCGACGGUAAUCCAACAAGUUCAGAGCAAAUUGACAAUGGGAAAUCGCAACAAAGGCGGGUUGAACCAAACCCAGAUAUGGUGCACGGGUCGAAACCAGCAAAUGAGGAAACGGGUCAAAUCAUUGAACAAGCUCGAGAUGCUGAGGUGGAGUGGAAAGCUGAUGAGCAUUUAAUGCAAGAUAUCGGAGGAUCGAAAAAGAAGCAAAUCAGGGACAGUAAGCACGAGGUAGCAGCUGACAAUGGAAAAUCUUUUGGAAAUUCGAGAUUUCAAGCGAGAAAGGAAAAUACGAAAGAGAGGGAAAAUGGAGGAGCUGAUUCAAUUGAAUUAGAUUCGGGUACAGUGGGCUCAGAACACCAAAUUCAAAAAACCAAAAAUCAAGCAAAAAAGGGAACAAAAAAAUAUGGUUUGGAUAAAGGGCCACGCAUGAACUACUCGAGGCCCAAUAGAAGGAAAUGGAAGCUGCAGGCUCGGGCAACAUGUAACAAGAGUGGAUGCAAGGCUAGUCCAAAGGUUUCAAAAAGCUCAAGUUGUCACCUAAUUGGACCAAGCCCAAAACACAAAAACAUAAAGCUUGUUAGCCCGAUUAAAUCAGCAAUGAAGCAAAAACAAGAAGGCUCCCCAGCAGCAAAGCUCAAACUUACUUGGGAGCCGUUGGCAGUGGAAGAAAUGGAGAUGGCAAUUCCAAGCUUAGAAGAGAUAUCGGCGGAGGCUAGUGGCCAGCCCCGCCGGAAGCCAUGAGGAUCCUUAGUUGGAACGUUCGGGGUUUGGGGAAUACCCGAACGUUUCUAGCAUUGCAAAAGAUUCUCUAGUUGCAUAGGCCUCAUCUUUUAUUCUUGUGUGAAACGAAGUUGUUGCCUGCGCAAAUGAACGGGAUUAGUAGGAAGUUGAACUUUGAAAAUUGCUUUAAGGUGGAUAGAAGAGGUAGAGGAGGAGGAUUAGUGAUGUUGUGGAACUCUGAAAUUGAAGUGCAAAUUAAAUCUUUCAGCAACCACCAUAUUGAUGCUAAGGUUCAAACUGAAAAUGGGAAGCACUUUCGAUGCACCGACGUUUAUGGCCAUCAUGAGGCAGGGCAAAAGAAACAUACUUGGACACUUCUGAGGCGGUUGGCAGGAUUAUACCCUUUGCCUUGGUUAUGUUUUGGCGACUUUAACGAAGUAUUGCAUCCUUAUGAAAAAACAUGAGGUAAUGAAAGAGAGCUAAGCUUGAUCAGAAACUUUAGAGAAGCUUUGCGAGAUUGUAACUUAGUUUGACGUGGGAUACAAAGGAUACCCAUUUACCUGGAAUAAUGGGAGAUAUGGGCCUCAUUACAUUGAAGAACAGCUUGAUGGGUUCUUGUGUAACAGGAGCUGGAGUGACAUUUUCUACGAUUGUGCAGCAGCUCAUCUAUCUACUUGGACUUAUGAUCAUUGUCCGUUGUUGAUAGAAGUUCAAGAAAGGGGGAGGGAUUAUGUUGGAAGAGAAAAAAAUCCACUCGAAUUCAUUAUGAGGAUUUAUGGAGCCCAUAUGAAGCUUGCAAAGAAAUAAUCAAGACUGAUUGGAGUAGUUACGGAAGCUAGAAUGAUGCAAAUCCCAUACCCUUAUUUCAAAAGGUGGUUAAAGAAUCAAUGGCUAGGCUGCUUGUGUGGAGCAAGGAAGAGUUUGGAGAAAGAGAGAAGAUGCUGAAGCAGAUUAUGAAUCAGCUGGAGAGGCUGAAACAAAGCUGCGUGCAAUAUGAUAAUGGGGAGGAGAUUAAGAAGUUAGAGGGGCAGAUUCAAGAUAUCCUCAUUGAUGAAGAAAUAUUUUGGAAGCAGCGAUCGAGGGCAGAGUGGUUGAAAGCAGGGAACAAAAAUACCAAAUACUUUCACUACAAAGCAUCAUCGAGGAAGAAAAAGAACCAGAUUUGGGGAAUUGAAAAUGGGUCAGGAAGCUGGACUGAUAAGGCAGAAGAGGUGGAGUAUGAGUUUUACGAAUAUUUCGCAAAACUCUUCACUACAUCAAAGCCAAGUCAAGAAGAAAUUUCGGCAGCAUUAGAAGGCAUCACGCCAAGAGUCUCAAAAGCCAUGAAUGAGCAUUUGGAGCAACCUUUUACACCGGAGGAUAUUACGGAAGCCUUAGCUCAAAUGUCUCCAAUAAAAGCUCCGGGACCAGAUGGUUUUCAAGCAGCCUUCUAUUAGAAGCACUGGAACAUGGUGAAGAAAGGGGUCAUCACAACCUGCCUCCACAUUCUAAAUGAGCAAGGUACUAUGGCUCCUCUUAACCAUACCUAUAUUGCUUUAGUCCCAAAGGUCAGAAAGCUUAAGAGAGUAACAGAUUACAGACCAAUUAGCUUGUGCAAUGUGAUCUAUAGAAUUGUGGCUAAAACGAUUGCAAAUAGGCUGAAACAUAUCCUCCAUCAAGUUAUUUCCCCAACAUAAAGCGCUUUUAUUCCUGAUAGGCUUAUAACAGACAACAUCAUAGUAGGAUAUGAGUGUCUACACAAAAUUAGGCAUAGUAAGGGAAAAAUAAAUGGGCUGGUAGCUUUGAAACUUGAUAUUAGUAAGGCUUACGAUAGAGUCGAGUGGAGCUUCUUAGAACAAGCCAUGACUAGGUUGGGUUUUUCUCCAAAAUGGGUGAAUCUAAUUAUGAGAUGUAUAACUACAGCGUCUUUCGCUGUGAUUAUAAAUGGAGUACCACGAGGAGUUAUCCAACCACAGAGGGGUCUGAGGCAAGGGUGUCCACUUUCUCCAUAUUUGUUUAUCAUGUGCGCAGAAACUUUUUCUUCUCUAAUGUUACAGGCGGAAAGGCAGAAACUCAUUCAUGGAUUAUCAUUCGGCAAAGACAUAAAUAUCUCGCACCUCCUCUUCGCUGAUGAUAGCCUAAUUUUUAUUCGAGCUUCGCCUACGGAUUGUCAGAAUCUGAAAAGAAUUUUUGACUGCUAUACUACUGCAUCAUGACAACUCUUUAAUUUCGAGAAGUCAUCAAUGUUUUUCAGCAAUAACACCAAAGUUGAGCAAAUUUCAGCCAUACAGAAUAUUUUUCAGCUCAAUGUGGUUUCAAGGCAUGAGAAAUACUUAGGUUUACUAUCAAUGAUAGGGAGGAAGAGAAGUAGUUUUUUCCAAGAUGUCAAACUCAAGGUGAUGGAGAAGAUAUCCAAUUGGCAGCAUAAAUUUUUCUCUAGUGGGGGCAAGGAAGUGUUGAUUAAGGCUGUGGCUCAGGCUGUUCCAGCGUAUGCCAUGAGCGUGUUCAAAGUUCCUCUUGGAGUUUGUGAUGAUAUUUAGAAAGCUAUUGCCAAUUUCUGGUGGGGAUCCAAAAAAGAGAAGAGAUGUAUUCACUGGGCGAAAUGGGAAUGACUAAGUAUAGCAUUUAUAAAAGAAUCCUUAGUCUUUCCAUAUAGAAGAACUUACAAAAUAAAUUAGUAAUUUAUUGUUGUGCAAUAAAAUAUUUUCAUGCAAAUAUAAAUCAACCCUUUUUCCCUAAUUUCUUUUUUACAUCUAAAAUUAACAUAUAAAAUAAAUUUUACCAAUAAUUCAAUUUUUUUUUAAAAUAUAAUAUAAAACAAAUACUAUAAAGUCACUGCGUGUGACCGUAGAUCAUCAAUUGACCUCAUUAGUUAUUACGAUUGAUGAUGAUCAGAUCGUACCCAACUUGGAGGAACUAUCACUAAGUGGAAAAGAUGUGAAGAUGAUUUUGCAGGCCGAUUUCCCACAACACCUUUUUGGCAGUCUUAGACAUCUAGAGAUUGCUGCAGAUGACUCAGCUUGUUUUCCAAUCUGGAACGUACUGGAGAGAUUUCACAAUCUCGAAAUACUCAUACUGUGUUAUUUUUCAUUCCACGAAGAGGUAUUUUCGAUGGAAGGAUGCUUAGAGAAACAUGUGGGGAAGUUGGCAAUGAUAAAAGAAUUAGAGCUGUACUGGCACUAUCAUCUGAAGCAGCUGUGCAAACAAGACUCCAAACUUGGCCCCAUUUUUCAGUAUCUUGAAAUUCUAGGAGUAUAUCAUUGUCAAAGUCUGUUAAUUCUAUUGCCAUCAUCAUCGGUAUCUUUUGGGAACCUAACAAAACUUGUAGCUUUCGAUUGCAAGAAAUUGAUACACUUAGUUACAUCCUCCACAGCAAAAACUCUAGUGCGACUCGUAUCACUUUGUGUAUACGGAUGCAGAGCAAUGACAGAGGUCGUAAUAAAUGACAAAGACGGGGUUGAAAAAGAAGAGAUUGUUUUCCGUAAAUUGAAGACGUUGGAACUGCGUGAUUUAGACAGCCUCACUAGUUUCUGCUCUGCCAAUUACACCUUUGAAUUCCCAUCUUUGCCAAUUUUAUUGAUUUCACUACAGGAGAAUCAAUCACGCCUCCGAGAGCAUACGUCUGGCAUGGAGAGACAGCGGGUCAAUGGCUUCGGGCCAAUAAUGUUCUUAACACAACUAUACAACAUUUGCAUGCUGAAAAGGUACGGAUAUACAUACUGCUCUCUAUCUCCCAUGGAAAAAUUUUACAAAAUUUGCUUUUUUUAAUAAAAUAUAGAUAAAAUGUUUGUUAUAAAGUAAAAGUUUAAAUUGAUGAAUAAGAAUUUUAUUUUCAGCUGUUGGCGGUGCCGUCGUCGUUCUCCACCCGGUACUAAUUUCAUAGGCUUCUUAUGACUUGGGAAUUGUGAAUUUUUAGAAGAAAGUCUCAACUAGUAAUUAAUUUUUAUUUCAUUUAUUUGAUCACAUGGCUUCUUUCGCAAUUUCAUCUGAAUUAUUUAGAAUGGGUCACUUGAUUUACUGUUAAAUUUGGAAUGUCAUUUUAAUGAUUCGUUCAGACUUUUAUGGACAGAUUUUGCAUCAUUGAAUGUCUUUUAGUCUAGUUUAAUUUUUUUUUUAUUUGGAGAGUUUCCCUUGUUUUCUAAAAUUGUAUAAUUCCUUUCAUACUUUUUAUGAUAAAAUUUCAUUAAAAGCCUUCAUAUUUUAUAAUUCCAUGAAAUCGUGCGUACUUUUUUCCUAUCUUUCUUCGCCAAUUAUUUGUUUUCAUCAUUGCUGUUCUGUUAUUUUAGUUUGUGCUCUGUUUGUUCAUUUGGUUUGGUUUGCUUCACACCUACCUUUCUUUGGAAACUUAGAAGGCAAAGGAAGUACUUAGAAAAUGCUCUUCCCUAUGAACACAUAAUUAAGAACAGCUGAAAAUCAUUCAUCGGAUAAAAAAAUUAAAAAUAAACAAAAUCUAAUCAGAGCAUUAUGCCUGGAACAAAUCCUUAAGCCAUCAAAGCAAAACUCUUCGCUAUGAAAAACUAUAUUGUGGAAAUAUUGUUUGAAAACGUUGGAUACCAAGAAAGGGACUAAUCUGGUCUAGUUUUAUGAGAAGUGCAGAAGAACAGUAUUUUCUCUGUUGUUCCUAUUAAAAUUCUUUACUCUGUGAUUGUAGAAUGUCUGGAUACUGAUGAAGAUUCAGGUAACUCUUCUUCUGUGCAUCAUUUGAAAUAAGGUCUUUUGUUUUUUUUGGGAAUAUCUCCUACUGGGUUAUAGCUCAUACAAAGAGAUAUUCUCAAAUGAAGCCGGAUACUGGUAGAAACAAGGGAGGAAGUUGGCACUGAUAAAAUGGAUAAUGAAGCAACUCCAAACUGGACUUCAUUUUCAAUAUCUUGAAAUUCUAAGACUAUAUUACUGCUUGUAAAAAUCUUUUAAGUCUAUUCCCAUGAUCAUCUGUAACUUUUGGGAAUCUAACAGAACUGGUGGUUUUCCAUUGCAAAGAAUUGUAACAUCCAUCCACUACAGCAGAAAGUCUAGUGCGGCUCGUAUCAAUGAAUGUAGCUGGAUGCAGGGCAAUGACAGAGGUGGUAAUAGGUGACGGAGAAGAAGAUGGAGCACCAAAUUUAAAUAGAGAUCGUUUUCAGCAAAUUGAAGACGUCAAGUCUGUGUGAUUUAUCUGUGUGAUUUAGAUAGUCUCACAAGUUUCUGCUUUGCCAAUUACGCUUUCAGAUAAAGAUUCUUGAAACUGUCCUAUUUAGAGCUGACAUUUCCACAAGAGUUAAGAGAAUAUAAAAAAUUCAUUAAUCGUUAGUUUUUAAUUUCAUUAUUCAAUGAAAGUCCUGUCAAAUUAAAUUGCCGCUAUUGAAUCUCUCGCUCCCCUUGCAAAUCUCUAUGUGCAAGUACCUAAAUUUACAAAUUUUACUUCAAAUUAAUGAAUGACAUAAUUUAUUUUCAGCUGUUGGAGGAGCCGUCGUCUCUCUCGACGCAGUACGAUAUGUUCUGAUCCCAUAGGCUUUUUAAUUUAUUACAUGGUGCUGUGAAAUUUGAAGAACAAGGUCCCAGGUAACUAUCGUUUUCAUUUCAUUUUGUUUGAUCUCUAAGUUUAUUUUAUCGUUUCAUCUAAAUUAUUUGCAAUGCGUCGGUUGGUUUAUUGUUAAUUUUGGAACAAAGUUGAUGCAACCAACGGUUGCAUAUGAUGAGUAGGAUAUCGCUCUGAGAUCAUAACUUGAAUUAUAGGUAUCUAUCUAGGGCGUAUAAUAUAUCAUUAAUCUAUUACUAUAACAUCGUAUUGGUCUCGUGGUCCAGCUAGAAAUUCUGUUUAUUUCAUAGUUAUUUUACAAGUUUAAGAUAUUUUCUUAUUUUUCUUAUUAUUUUCAAGAUUUUUAUUUUUUUUAUAAAUAUAAGAUUUAAGUACGAUUAUUUUAUUUUUAUUAGAAGAAUGUUAUUAUAUAAUAAUAUUUUAGGUUUGCCUAUUUUGGUAAAUUCGUAAUAUUUAGAAUUAGUAUAAAGAGGGUCCAAAAUCCAAAUUUUGUUAUUCAGACCUCUCUAUUAAUAAAAUUUCAGACUUUUCAAAAACUUGUGUUUCUCUAUAUUUUCAAUCUCAACGUCCAUGUUUCCGUUAUCAUAAAUUCUAAUGCCUGGUUCCAUCAGACCUCUCUAUUAAUUGAGGCUCUUGAAUAAGACUCUUUAUGACUUCAAUAUUUUACUUGAUAUGAAAAUUUCUUUCUAGAUAGAAUCAUUGUGAAGAUAAAUUGUGGUAUUACUGACAAUGAAUAAGUUGAAACAUCAACAGAGAUAAAUAUUGAGCAAUUAAUGUUACCAGCAAUCAAUUUGUGAGCACCAACAACCAUUUUCAUAUUUAAGCCGUUAGAACAGUAACACAAAAUAUGGCGAGUGGCAACCACACAAAUAAUCAAAUUCCUGAUAGAUUUUGAAAACUUUAAUUUGCUAGAUAUGUAUUUUAAUAUUUCAACAGGUGCAUCUUUUCUCUACUCAUGUGGCACGUUGAAUCAGAAACGGUUUGAAUGUCAAUAUUACUCCAAGUGCCUCAACCAAAUUCAGAAUGAAGAAAAUCAUCUGGUUACCUGCACUUUAGUUUAAGCAGCUGAUUAAGUUAAUUAGCACCAAGUAAUUCACAUACUAGUGAGAAAUUUCAUUAGUAAAUUCAUACCUGGGAGGAAACCAGCAUCUUGACGCUUUUGUGACCAAGAAAAUCUGCCAGAACCCCAAUUAAUGAAAAAAAAAUUAUAACAUCAUUUACAUAUAAUUUUAAAAAAUCAAUAGGACACUUACAGAGCACCUCCUACAGCUGGACCGGCAGUUUUGGUAAGCGACACCACUGUCAUAGCAAGUCCAUUAGCAGCUCCUCUUUGAUGCUGUUCCUGUUAUUAUACCAUAAACCAAAAAAAUAAUUUAAACUUUUGACACAUACAAAACUUGAAAAAGCUGAAAGCAUGGAAAUGUACUAAACAAACAAAAGAAAAUAUAUUUACCACUGCUCUGUUUUGCAGAAGGAACAAUCCAGUUAUUAUAGACACCUGAUGUUAUAAUUCAGGAAAAGUGAAAGAGAAUUACAACAUUUCUGAUAAAGAAGAUAUAAAAUAAUUUUUAUACAUACUUGCUAAUGGGUAAUACAACCUAAGUAUAUGAUGGGUGUCGAAGCCAACAAAAAUAAAUUCCUACUCUAAAUAAAUUGUGUAUAGUGAUUGAGCAGGGUCGUGUCCACAGAGAUCGGUAAUUAUUUAAAUCCUUUUGAAACGUAAAACGUAAAAUGGGGGAAUUGUUGACAAUAAUAAAAAUCAAAUUGAAAUAAACAAGAAUGCAAAUUAAAGUUGUAAUUCAAAUUGGAGAAAGCUCUGGUUGAAGGAAUUAACUCAGCUUGAUUCGACUACUGAUCAUUGAUUCAAAUAUAGAUUAUUAUUAUUACUUAUGAAUAGAUCGGUUAUAGCUACUGGGACCCUCUAAUAGCCAAUCUCUCCUUAACUAGUCGAUAACCAAGGUACGACCGUUGGUUAUUUCCCUAAUCAAUAGACAACCCUAGAUACGAUCAUAGGAUUUAAUCAAUUGACAGCCUGAGAAACCAGAGAGACCCAAAUCCUAAUCAACACAUAUGAUGAUUCAUUUAAAUUAGAUUGUUUAUUCUCACAACACAACUCUCUGCUAUGUUAUUUGUCACAAACAUUAAAUUCUUCAUACGAUGAAUCCUUUAAUUGACAAUAGAUUAAGUUGAUAAUUAAAUAGUGGCCAAUUACCUAAUUAACAAACAUAAUCAUGAAACUAAUUUAGAGAAUAAACAAAUACCCAAAAAGCAAUAAAACAAUUAAAGCACAAGAAAGAUCUCACAGUAGUGAUGAAUCAAAGCUUCAUUAUCCUUCAACCAGAAAAAUGGGUUUAGUUCCUUAUAGAGAGAAGAGAAAAAUUAGAUCUAGGGUUUCUUUUUCUCCAAUCCAAAAAUCCCCCUUUUUCACAAUAGAUUCCUCCCUUCAAUACUCUCUCUCUCUUCUCUUUUAGAAUUCUAUUUAAAAUAAAAUACUAAUAUCUGAAAUAUUAAAUUCGUAAUUACAAAAAUAACCAAAAAUACAAAACACGUUAAACUAAAAACUGCAGGUCCGCAGUUGACAGCACGCGCCCACGCCUUAUCAACAAAGUUCUUCUGACGCUCAGAAAUUUCUCCAAGAGAACAAUCCUCCUUAAACAUCAUCUUUUAGCUCAAUUUUAUCAUCAAUCAAUAGAAUUGCACCUACAAAAGUAAAACACAAGUAAAACAUUAUUAUUAAAUGCAAAACAUCGAUAUUAAGGGAAGUAAAUAAUGCAAAACUAGUGCAUAAAUUGCACUCUAACAAAUUCUCCCACACCAAGAUGAUGCUUGUCCUCAAGCAUAUAACUCAAGAUUAAUCCCAAAUCUCCACUCAAUUCUCAUCUCAACUCAUCCAAAAAUAAUUUUAAGCAAGCAUACCUCAAGAAAUUAAGUCGAUCAACAUUCGAGAGACAAGGAUUUUAAAGCAUAGAAUCUCAUAAGAUAGAAUAAGAACAUUCAACCACCAAGAAGAUCCAUUCAAAAUUCAAGUGCAACAAGAUGUAAUAGCCCUCUCAAUAACUUCACUCCAUGCACUCAAAGUGUUUAGGGUGUCAUUUAUCCACUCAAAUCAAAUCAAAGAAUGCUAUUACCAUAAGCUUGCUCAUAAAUCACAUCUCAAUCCACAAAACAUGAAUAAAAUGCAAAAAUCUAAGGGUCUUAAAAGGGUUGUAAUGGGGUUAAAUGGGUUAAAUGAAAAAGAAAGGUUUACGAAAGAAAAAGAGAUCAAAAUGAGAAGAAUGAACUCAUUGAAUGAACUUAUGAUAUCAAAAUGCUUAUUUCUACUCAAGUCACCAAGAAUGUAAACAUUUUUUUUUUCGAUUUUUCUUUUUCUUUUUUUUUUCUUUUUCUUUUUUUUUCUUUUUCCUUUUCUUUUUCUUUUUUUUUCAUUUUUUUUUGUUUUUUUUUUUUUCGAAUCAAACAAAAGAAACGAACCUUGCACAAUUGAAUUCAAGCAUAAUGCUUGUUGAUCUAAUUGAGAAACUUUAAUACAAGGUAGAAAAAGCAACAAAAUAUAUCCAUACAAUGAGUCCAAAAAUCUCCUUAAAUUGAGGCUCAAAAAGAAGAAAAAUGGUUAAGUAGACGGAGAGAAUUAGAUGGGUAAUGGUUAAGGCUCAAACAAAGGUAGCAAAUAAAGGUCUUCGGGUAAAGAAAAAUGAAAAUGCGAGAAUAGAAAAAUGGUAAAUGGUUUGCCCUUAUCAUUUUAAUGCCUAAAAUCCCGUAAUGUGGCUUCAACAUGCAUAACAAAGCAAGUUCUAGAAUAAACAAACUAGGAUUGAUAUUCACAUAACAAAAAUAAUUAGAGCAAAGUGGUUGCUCAUAGGCUCAAAUCCUCACAAAGUUGGUAAAUUUGCCAUCAAAUCAUGUACACUCUUCAAAUGAAUCAACCAUCAAUAGUGGUGUAGAAUGAGAAGAAGGUAUGAGUGAUAUAUAAAAGGAAAGGUAAAAAUGAUAAGAAGUGAGAAAGAUGAAAAGUGAAAGAUAAAAUGUGAGUGAUGAAAGAGUAUGAUAGAAUAAAAAUAGAUGUAAAUAAUUUGAGAUAGAUGGGAAAAAAAAAAAAAGUAGUGAGAAAUAAAAGAAAAGAAAAAAUAAUAAUAUAUAAAGCAUACUAACUCCAAAAUCAUUUAAGGAUGAGUAGAGUGAAAAAAAAAAAAGAUAAGUAGAGUGAAAACAAUAAUUCCAGCAUCAAUAAUGCAAAAAUCCCUCCCCCACACCAAGAACUUACAUUGUCCCCAAUGUAAGAUAAUCAAAGCUCACAUAAAAAUUAAAGCAUAAGGAUAAAAGUUAAAGGGCAAAAAGAAACUUCCCUGAAUUGUGAGCUUUGAUCCACAUAACGUCUAUGGGCUUGGCGGAAAUGGUGGGGUAAAUCCCACACUCUCAAAGUAUGCGGCCAAAUUCUGCUCCAUUUUGUUCAACUUGUGCUCCAUUUUCUCUAACUGAAUGCUCAAAGGUGGUGCGGAUGUAGAAGGAAUAGUUGGCGGGGCAACAGUGUCGUCGUCAAACUCGUCAUCAGAGGUAGCACCACUCCUAGCAUAAAGCUUCUUCGGAAGUUGAGUGGGUCCUGGUUCAGUAAACUGAAAUCUCCCCUCCUUGAAUUCAACCACACCUGUUCUUUCAAACACAAACAUAUCCAAAAAUUCCUUUUUGCAAGCAGGAUGCAAAUCAUUAUUGUCAGGAUCAAGCACACAUAGGUUUAUAGCUAACAGAGUAAUGUAUGGACCAAGAAAUAAAGUCCUAUACCGUUUAAGCACACUUUGAAAUUGAUCCGCUAACCAAAAACCUAAAUUAGGCCUCACAUCAUUUAACAUGCACCAGAUAAAAUAAAAUUCAGUUUUAGAGAAAAUUCCUGAGUGAUAUUUCUUGCCUAAAAAAUUAUAUGCUAAGAAUCGAUGCACACAUUUCAAAACAGGAUCACGUAAGAAAGAACUCUUUGAUUUACUCGGGUCAUAGGCAUUGUGAUCAACAGAUAAAUUACGCCAAAGACCAUAAGGCUCAAAAUUUUUGCUAAAGUCACAAGUUGUUCCUAAAUAUUCAUCACUAGUAGAAUAAUCAUCAUCAAUGAAUCCUAAAGCUAGGUUAAAAUCCGUGAUAGAGUGUGAAAAACUUCGUCCCAUUAACCUAAACUUAAUGACAUCCGGGGUAUGCAAAGUAAAAUCAUUCGGCAUAGUGAAUUGAAAAGUAGCAUAAAACUCCCUAAUCAACUCAACAUAACCCAAGCAAUCAACAUCAACAAACUUACGCAACCCAAUCUUAUCUAUCAAAGAAUCAAAAUUAUCUUUAACAUUUAAUUUUUCAAGAGUCGGGUAAUGAAUAUACUUAGCUGGAAGUAUUUUGCGCGUGGAAAUAUCUUUGUACCUCUCUUUCUCUUGUUGAGUCGCGAAUGCGAGGCACCCUCCGAGAUUGGAUUCCGCAAGUGGCAAAACACUCAUGCCUUUUUCAUGCUUCGAUCUUUGUCUCACGGCUUGGCGUGAAUCUGAAAUUAUGUUCCAUGGAACCGUAGUGGGAGCGGCAAUCUUAGAUUUCUUUGCGACGGGUGUCUUUUUCGACGACUUGGAAGUAGAUGCUUUCCUCUUCGGCAUUGUUACAAUAAUUGCACUCACGGAUUUCGAUUUACUCGGCUGGAAUACAGGGCGUAGGCUGGUUGUGUUGCGCUUGCUGCUCGGCUGGAGCUUGUUGCGCGAGUUGGGGCUGGUUGUGCGCGCUGCUGAGGCUUGCUUUGCGGGUGCUGGUUCGUUGCUGUGUUGCGCGCACGGGGCUGUUGCGCGGGAGAGCCAGUUCACGUUGCGGGUCUGCGUUGCGGAUCUGUUGCGCUGCGCGCGCGGGACUGAUGUGCUGUGCUGAGGCUGAUUCGCGCUGCUGCUGGUUGCGGUGCGCGAUGCUGUGCGCGGCGGCUGGGGCUGCUGGAGCUUGCUGCUGGUUCUGGGCGUACUCGUCUGCUGCUGCUGGUUGCGCGGUGAAGGCUGGAGCUGAUGCUGCUGUAAAACGAUAAUCAACAGUAAUUUUGGAAUUAGGGAUUUGUAAACAGUGAUUUUCGAUUUUUGGUUUUUUUUUUUUUUAUAUAUAUAAAUAAAUAUAGAAAAGAAAGAAAGGAACGAAAAUAAAUAAAUAAAUGAUGAUUUUCGAUUUUCGAUUUUUGGUUUUUUUUUUUUUUUUUUUUUUUUUUUUUUUUUUUUUAGUGAUGAAUCACUUUGAGACACUAAAAAUUUCAGAAGUACUUUUCUAAUAAGUACGUGGGCACGCCUUAUCAAAAAUUUUCUUCUGACCAAAAUAAGCAAACAAAUUAAAUUUCAGAAGUACUUUUCUAAUAAGUACGUGGGCACGCCUUAAAACUUUGUGACAUUAAAAAUCACAGAAGUACUUAUUAGUUAAGACGUGGGCACGCCUUAUCAAAAAUUUUCUUCUGACCAAAAUAAGCAAACACAUUAUUUAUUUUUUUUAAAAAAAAAAAAAAUCUGAAUCAAAAUUAAAAGAAGAUAUAACAAAAACCAAAAUAAAUAAAUCAUUUGGGUUGCCUCCCAAAAAGCGCCUUUGUUUUAUGUCUUUGGCUAGACACAUUUAUGCAUCAAUCUCCAUAAUUGGGACUCUCGAGAGCCACAUCCUCCAUAAUAUUCACCGAAAAACCUUCAUAAAAAGGUUUUAAGCGAUGACCAUUAACCUUAAAAACUUUGUCAGAGGUCGGACUCCGAAUUUCAACUGCACCAUGAGGAAAAACAUUAGUAACAAUAAAAGGUCCAACCCAGCAAGAACGUAAUUUACCCGGAAAAAGUUUAAGCUUAGAAUGAAAAAGAACUUUUUGACCAACAGAGAACUCCUUUAUCAAAAUCAUUCUAUCAUGAAAUGUCUUCGUCUUUUUCUUGUAAAAAACUUCCUGCACUAUAGGGUUAAUAACAUCCACAGAGAAUAUUGAAUGUUCCUCACUAGGAUAUUUCAUGGCAUCAUUCAUAUUGAAUUCUAUAACCUCUCCAUCAAACUCCAUAGUGAGAGUCCCUUUAUGUACAUCCAUUUUAGUCCUAGCAGUCUUAAGAAAAGGUCUUCCUAGCAAAAUUGGGACAGAAUUAGAGGAGUUAUCAUCUUCCAUAUCAAGUACAUAAAAAUCAGCAGGAAAAACCAACUCAUUAACUUGUACUAAGACAUCUUCUAAUACCCCAUCAGGAUAUGCAUUAGACCUAUCAGCUAGUUGAAUUAUCACGCCAGUUUCUUUUAAUGGACCAACAUUCAAAGAUGAAUAAAUGGAACGAGGCAUGACAUUAAUAGAAGCUCCUAGAUCUAACAUAGCCUUUUCAACUCUAACACUACCAAUUUUACAAGGGAUAGUAAACAUACCUGGAUCCUUGCACUUAGGAGGUAGUUUCUUUUGGAGAACUGCUGAAACAUUCUCCCCCAUGUGAACUUUUUCAUCUCCUCUUAAUUUUCUCUUGGAGGUGCACAGUUCCUUAAGGACUUUAGCAUAUCGAGGUAUUUGUUUUAUAGCAUCUAACAAAUGAAUAUUUACCUCAACCUUGCGAAAUGUCUCAAGGAUGUCUUUAUCUUGUUCCUUCUUCUUGGAUUUUGCAAACCGGCUUGGAAAAGGAGGAGGUAUCACAAUAGGUAGGGGUUUCGCUCUUGUGGGUUGUGCAUCUUGAGAUUGAGGCAUCAAUUCAUUCUUCUCAAGCUCAUCUUCUACAUGCUUUGUCACUUUCUUACUAGGCUCUUGCAACUCCGUCCCACUUCUAAGGAUGACAGCACUAACGUUUUCCUUUGGAUUCACCUCAGAUUGUGAAGGCAAUCUCCCUAAUACUUGAGACUCCAGACGGCUCACUGUAGUCGCCAAUUGACUCAUUUGGUUCUCCAAGUUCUGAAUGCUUGCUGUAGUUGCCUGCUGAAAUUGUUGAGUGUUAGUCGCAAGUGAUUUAACAAUUUCUUCAAGAGAUAUACCUGACUUGGAGUUUGACUGUGGAGGUGCUGGUUGUCUUGGUGGAUACUGUUGUGGGAAUCCUGAUUGCCUAACUCCAUAGCUGAAGUUGGGAUGAUCCUUCCAUCCCGGAUUGUAUGUUUGUGCAUAAGGAUCAUACCUCCUCUGAGGCAUGCCUGGAAAUCCUCCAACUGCAUUGGCUUGUUCAACGGGUUCUUCUUGAAGUGUAGGACACAUAUCAGUUGAAUGACCCAUAUUGUAACAAAUGCCACAAGUCUUCACCUGUUGCACAUUACCUACAACAAACUUUUCCACAAGAGAAGUAAGUUUAUCUAAACGUUGUUCAACAGAAGAAAUAUUUACCUCAUUCACCGUUCUUGAAGUGGCAUCUUGUCUGCUGCCAAAUUGUUGUGCAUUGGCAGCCAUAUUUGAGAUCAACUCCCUUGCUUGAGUAGGGGUCUUGUUCACCAACACACCUCCACUAGCAGCAUCUAUCAUACUCAUAUCCAUCAAUGACAGUCCUUCGUAAAAAUAUUGAAUAAGAAGUUGAUCAGAAAUCUGAUGCUGAGGACAGCUGGCACACAAUUGUUUGAAUCGCUCCCAAUACUCUUACAAAGUCUCCCCAGGAAGUUGUCUGAUCCCACAAAUAUCUUUUCUGAUGUUGGCAGCUCUUGAAGCAGGAAAGUACUUCUCAAGGAACUGCUUCUUCAAACCAUUCCACAUUGUAAUCGAUCCAGGAGGCAAGUAGUACAACCAAUCUUUAGCUAGCCCAUCUACAGAGAACGGAAAAGCACGCAGCUUAAUCUGCUCUUCAGUCACGCCUUGUGGCCUCAUACUUGAGCACACAACAUGAAACUCCUUAAGAUGUUUAUGAGGAUCUUCACCUGCAAAACCAUGAAACUUGGGUAAUAAAUGAAUAAGACCAGACUUUAAUUCAAAAUUUACCUCCAAAUCUACAUAUUGAAUGCAGAGUGGUUGCUGAUUCAAGUCUGGUUCAGCUAACUCUCUAAGAGUUCUUUCUACAGGUGCAGGUCUAUCCAUCACUUGUUCUUCUGAAUCACUAGAUGAUUCAACUAAAUCAGGCACCGUAUCUGUUUCAGAAAGCAAAGGCGACGAGGAUCGUUGCUUAGCUCGCUUUGUCUGCUGUCUCAGCUGGUGAGCUGUCUUCUCAAUUUCAGGAUCAAACGAAAGUGUACCUGUACGAGAAGAACGAACCAUACACCAAGUAAAACGUAAAAAGGAUUAAAUAAAUGACACCAAUCCCUGGCAACGGCGCCAAAAUUUGAUGGGUGUCGAAGCCAACAAAAAUAAAUUCCUACUCUAAAUAAAUUGUGUAUAGUGAUUGAGCAGGGUCGUGUCCACAGAGAUCGGUAAUUAUUUAAAUCCUUUUGAAACGUAAAACGUAAAAUGGGGGAAUUGUUGACAAUAAUAAAAAUCAAAUUGAAAUAAACAAGAAUGCAAAUUAAAGUUGUAAUUCAAAUUGGAGAAAGCUCUGGUUGAAGGAAUUAACUCAGCUUGAUUCGACUACUGAUCAUUGAUUCAAAUAUAGAUUAUUAUUAUUACUUAUGAAUAGAUCGGUUAUAGCUACUGAGACCCUCUAAUAGCCAAUCUCUCCUUAACUAGUCGAUAACCAAGGUACGACCGUUGGUUAUUUCCCUAAUCAAUAGACAACCCUAGAUACGAUCAUAGGAUUUAAUCAAUUGACAGCCUGAGAAACCAGAGAGACCCAAAUCCUAAUCAACACAUAUGAUGAUUCAUUUAAAUUAGAUUGUUUAUUCUCACAACACAACUCUCUGCUAUGUUAUUUGUCACAAACAUUAAAUUCUUCAUAUGAUGAAUCCUUUAAUUGACAAUAGAUUAAGUUGAUAAUUAAAUAGUGGCCAAUUACCUAAUUAACAAACAUAAUCAUGAAACUAAUUCAGAGAAUAAACAAAUACCCAAAAAGCAAUAAAACAAUUAAAGCACAAGAAAGAUCUCACAGUAGUGAUGAAUCAAAGCUUCAUUAUCCUUCAACCAGAAAAAUGGGUUUAGUUCCUCAUAGAGAGAAGAGAAAAAUUAGAUCUAGGGUUUCUUUUUCUCCAAUCCAAAAAUCCCCCCUUUUUCACAAUAGAUUCCUCCCUUCAAUACUCUCUCUCUCUUCUCUUUUAGAAUUCUAUUUAAAAUAAAAUACUAAUAUCUGAAAUAUUAAAUUCGUAAUUACAAAAAUAACCAAAAAUACAAAACACGUUAACCUAAAAACUGUAGGUCCGCAGUUGACAGCACGCGCCCACGCCUUAUCAACAAAGUUCUUCUGACGCUCAGAAAUUUCUCCAAGAGAACAAUCCUCCUUAAACAUCAUCUUUUAGCUCAAUUUUAUCAUCAAUCAAUAGAAUUGCACCUACAAAAGUAAAACACAAGUAAAACAUUAUUAUUAAAUGCAAAACAUCGAUAUUAAGGGAAGUAAAUAAUGCAAAACUAGUGCAUAAAUUGCACUCUAACAGUAUAUGGAUCAAUGAUUAGGAUAUCCACUUACAGAUUAAACAUUCUUCAUCACAGAAGCACAGUUUAUCAAUAAGGCAAGGCUGAACCCAGAUAACAUUGCUAUGUAAGUGUAACUUGUCAAAAGCGGUAUCGAUAAAACCUGUACAUACAUAGAAAAUUACGUCACCAAAUCCAUGAAGAAAAGUAUUUUAUAAACAAAUAUGUUUGAGACAAACUAUCAAAUGAUCUAAAUGCCACAUGGUGUGUUCAAAAUUUUACCCCUGCAAUGCGUGUUAUUAUUAUUGGCCCGAUCAUCCUCUCAACGUAAGGGUACAUAGUAAGUUGAAAAACAAGGAGAAUGAAAUCUAUAGUAACUUCAAAAUGAGGACAAUCGUCAAGCAGUUUUGGGGGGUUGAUGCAUGAGAAAAGAAGUUAAGAGGAACGAGUAACAUUUUCAGUUUCGUAAUAAGUAUAAAUGGGGAGCAAGAGUAUCAGUUUUGCACCUGAGAUGGCAAGAACUUGGCCAACAUUUUCGGUUGAGUAACUCAGACCCCCGUACUUCCACCGGCUGAUAGCCCACAGUGAAAAUAUCUAACAGAAUAGUUGCAAUAUUAUGAUUUAAAAAAAUUACACAGAUAAGAAAUUCUUAGGAUCAGUAAUAGCCAUAUGUCUUCUUUAUGUAUAAAACUCUCAACAAUCCCAUCAACAGCAAUAGCACCCUCUGUUUCAGGUAGAAGUUAAGAGAUAACUUUGCAAAUAUCUAACAGAAUGCGAUCUGAUCCAGGAUCCUGGACUUUAUUCAAGUUCGGGAAAGCCAUUGGUCAUUGGACUAUUAAACCAUAUGGCUUAAUAACUUUCCCGAACAUUAACAUAGUUUAGAUUUUGGAUUGGAACAUUUUUAUGUCAUAAUAAAGUAGAAUAUAUAUAUAUAAACAAUCAAGUAGAGAUAUUUAUACCUCGGUGUAAGCGAUAUCAUGAAGCGAGAAAACACAAUAAACAAUAAUAGAAGAAAUAAAGGGCCAAUUCUUCAUGAGGCUUUUCUUAGCAGUGGCCUCCUCACUUCCUUCAUCUUGUUUAAAUUCUGCAUUGGACCCACAGGAUGCGGAUUCCAAAGCAUCACAUGAUACAUCAAGUGAUACACCAUCUUCAUUGUGUUUGUGCAAUGUCUCACACUGAUCCAUAGUUGAGAGAGGCUGUGGGGAAGUUAAUGGAGUUGAAGGAGAGGGAUAAUGAUAAUGAAGAUUACUCUUCAUAUGCUAGUGAGGAUUAUGUCUACUCUUCUAGAGCAAUGACUGAUGAGGACUUCUCAUUCUCAGUAACUGGCUGAACUCAACUUAUUUUUUCUUUCUUUGGCUUUUGGCAGCUGAUGUUCUUUUUGGGGUUAGUAGAAGGAAGGAUAAAGCUGGCAAUUAAAGGAAGCCAUUUAUGUUAAUCUUAGUAAUUUCCCCAUAUAUAGAUAUAUCUUUGAAUGUUUUUAACUUUUGCAAGGUUCAUUAUGUAACGAGGCAGUGACACUGAUUAAACUUGUAUUAUUAUUAUUAUUAUUAUUAUUUUGAAUAGAAGCAAAUUGAUUGUGUUAUGGGUUUCUUUUGCUUCCCAUCGGAUUAGCAACUGGCACUGGCACCGGCAUGAUUGGCAAAGGCCAAGUUGAAGCUGCCUGCAGACUCUCAGUGGACUGAAUUACAUAUUACAUAAUACAAGUGAAAGGAAGGGACUCGUAAAGCUUUAUUGUCGUAGUUUGGAUAAGAUUAAGAAUUGCUGUCGCUUCUUGUCAGAUUGCAUUGAAACGCUAGUAGUCGCUGCUGCGAGCAUUGGUAUUAGAAGAUUAGCACAAGCAGCCCCUACCUAUCAUGGACUCUGAUGUUAUGGACCUUACGGAUAUCAAUUACCUAGUUAAAAGCUAGUUAAAAGCUACCUCCAUAUUUUUUAUUUUUACCCUAAUGCAUGUCUGAUUCUUUUAAAAUUUUACGUUAUAUAUAUUAAACAAAUAUUAUAAUUUUAAUCAUUGAAAAAUUAAUGACAGACAUCUUUUGAAUAAUUUUUUUUUUUAAAAAUACAGAGCUAGAGAAAAUGCUAUAAUUGAUUGAAUAAGAAGGCUACAACUUGAUGAUAACUUUAUUGCAAUGUUGCGUGAUCUCAAUAUAUUAUUGGCUUAUGUGUGAGUAAAAGUUGCUGGCUCCUGUUUUACUAAUUUGCCUUUGAAUUUGACUGGCUCGACAAAGAAUCGAUUUACCUCAUACUCAAAUUACAAACAUCGAAACCGGAUCUGUCAUUACGUUAAUUGGCCUCCUAAAAUAAUCAAUCACUUUCUCUUUAGUCUACCAUCCACGCUUUCCAGUCGCUUAGUUUCAUUCUAAUCAUCUAAACGGCUCUUUGCUACUGUUUCUUCUAUUUGUCAUUGUUCUUGUUCUGUUAUUAUUUAGCUUUGCUCACUCCUGAGUCUCAUUUCUUAUUCUGUACCCAUCAGCUCUUUUAGCUCUUUACGUCGUGAUAGAAACCCUUUUCUUGUUUCCUUCAUCUCAUCUGAAAAACACAAUUGCUUGUCCUAUCGCUGUCUCUUUGUUUUUACUUUCCUUUGGCCUUCUUCGCUUCUACGUUUUUGUCAGGAUUCGAGAUGCUGGAAAUCAUUGUGACUAUCGUCUUGGAACUUGUAAAAUGCUUGGCUCCUCCAACUGCACGCCAACUUGUUUAUUUGCGAUAGCGGAACUACAAUGCCAACUUUGAGAAUAUCAAGGCGGAAAUGGAGAAGUUGAAGGUUGAACGUACGAGCAUUCAGCGCAAAGUUUCAGAGGCGAAAGAAAAAGGGGAAGAGAUUGAAGAGAAGGUUGAAAAGUGGCUGGUUAGUGCGAAGUGCGAACGGCAUCAUUGACCGGGCAGCCAAAUUCAUUGAAGAUGAGGAGUCAACAAAUAAGCGCUGUCUCAAGGGCUUGAGUCCUAAUUGGAAGAGUCGCUAUCAGCUUAGCAAGAAAGCAGAGACGGAGGUGAAGGCCAUUAUUGAACUUGGAGAAGAAGUUAAGAAGUUUGAUACUGUUUCCGUAUCAUUCCGGAGGAGAUACGGCUCAAGUCUAGCAAUGGUUACGAGGCCUUCAAAUCAAGACUUUCUACUUUGCAGUCUAUAAAAAAUGCAUUGACUGAGGCGAAUGUCAGCAUUAUUGGGGUGUACGGCAUGGGCGGCAUUGGAAAUACGACAUUGGUGAAGGAGUGUGCUAGGCAAGCCAGGGAAAGGAAGCUGUUUGAUCGGGUGGGUUUUUCAGAGGUUUCACAAACUCCUAACAUAAAAAAGAUUUAAGGGGAAAUUGCAGAGAAGUUAGGUCCGGAGUUGUCCGACGAAGCUGAAUAUAGAAGAGCAAGCAGGCUGUAUGAACGAUUGAAGAGUGAGAAUAAGAUUCUUGUGAUUCUAGAUAACAUCUGGAAACAUCUUGAAUUGGAGACGGUUGGAAUUCCUUUUGGAAAUAAUCAUAAAGGAUGUAGACUGUUGCUGACAGCAAGAGAUAAUAAUGUGCUUUUAAGUAUGGGCUCCAAAGAUAACUUUUUGAUUGGCAAUCUAACUGAACAAGAAGCCUGGAGAUUGUUUAAGAUAAUGAAUGGUGAUGAUGUUGAAAAUUGUAAGUUCAAGUCUACAGCAAUUAAUGUAGCUAAGGCAUGUGGAGGUUUGCCAAUUGCGUUGAGGGCACUGAGAAACAAGAGUCUCCAUGAAUGGAAGAAUGCCUUGCGAGAGCUCCGAACGCCUUCAAUGGUAAACUUCGAAGGUGUGCCUGCAGAGACUUAUUCAAGUAUUGAGCUGAGUUUCAAUUAUUUAAAAGGUGAGCAAGUCAAGAAAAUUUUUCUGCUUUGUGGACUAGUAGGUAACAGUGUUUGGUUUUCAGACUUAUUUAGAUACUCCAUGGGUUUGGGCAUAUUUCAAGGAGUCAACAUUCCCUUCAUAUUUACCAAAGGUAAGUGAUAAAUCCUACAUAUCCCACUCAAGAAUGCAUAAGUUUCUUCAAUCUCAAGUACCUAAAGUUUUCUUCUACGUUUAUAAAAAUUUCAGCACCAUCUCCCUAUAAUUCUCCAAGCUCACGACAUAGCUAUAUAAGUGUUUAUGCGUUAUGCCAAAACAACACAUGACACCCGCUCACCUAGAACGUACCCAGAGAACACGAGGAGCAGCUACCGAAAAAGCCAUAUUUACGUGGGAAAAAAACUUCAGCUACUAGCUACCAGAGAGACCUAUGCAUUCCCAAACUGUCCAAGCCUGGACAAUUCAAGAAUUAUUAAUAGACAUAUGAUCCUCACUAUCAUCCAAAGAUGACACUAAUACAACAUGUGUCUAUUAAUAAUUUCUUAAACAAGUCUAAGCUUUCAAUGCACGUAUCAAAAGUUUAAAAUUGAAUCUGAAAUUUGAAUAACACAUAAAUAUCAUAAAUCUCUUCAAUUUAUUCCUGAUACAAUGUAGCAUUAUUUCAGAGAUCAUUUCUUAAGCAAAACCAUAAAAAAUACAAACGAUAAAUACAUUUUCCCACUGAUGCAGAUUAUGUUUACUGAGCAAUAAGUUUUAAGCCAUUCAUGUUGAAAUACUUCUGCCUGUUCUUUCAACAUAUAACUAGUACGUACACACAAUUAAUAAAUUAAAAAAAAAAAAACUGGUGGUGAAUCUGCAAAAUCUUCCUUUUUUUCUUUUUUUUUCUUUUUCUUCUUUUUUUGGGGGGGGGGGGUGUUGGGGGAACUAUGAAUCUUGCAAAUCCUCAAGAAGCUAUGUUAAGACAAGGCCAGCUUACUAUUAGGGUAUGAAAGAUAAAACCUUUUAUUUCCUUUUCAGAAUAAAAAGAACAUUGACAGUGUUAAAAAAAUCUAGAGGAUUUCAGGCCUCCAGAUCCUUACAAAUCAAGGAUAUUAAAAAAUUUACUUAGAGGAGAAUGGUUAUGCUCAUUUGUAUCUUGUUAGAAGAAAUUGAUCCAAAGCCUCAGUUUUAAUUAGCUUCAUAUAGCCAAUGAUUAGGUGUUUAAAAACCAAUGAAUAUUUUUAUAAGAAAUCGACAAUAUUGUUGAAAGAAAAACCAAAUAAAAAUAAUAAAGCCAAUGAAUAGAUCAAGGCUCUUUGUGGUCUAAAACUAAUCAAACUAAGUUGUGGGCAAAGGCGAAUAUGUUUGUUUGGUCAAUAAUAAGCUCAACAAAUCACUAAUAAUCACCUAAUCACUAUUCCUUACGCUAUGCAAUAUAAUGGCCUGGGUAAUGGCGCCAAGGCAGACAUUAACUAGCUAGCCAGUUAUGAUAGUUGAUUAACUUAACCUACUGGAAAUCUGAAGACCAAAACGAAGAAGCUUUGUCUAGAACUAGAAUAGGAACAUUCGUACCCAAAACUAAUAUACACAAUUAAGAAACUUGAUUAUAUGUAUAUUUCUGUUGGCCACACUUAAAGAGAAUUUUCAAAAGAUGCUAAGGUACACCAAAUCCCACUAUUUCAUACUCAUAAACACAAAAAACCAUGGCAAAAAUUAAUGACUAUAUCAAAUAAAAUCGGUGAUAGGACAUUGAGAUUAGGACAACUUGAUUUGUAUACCGUAAAAUAACUAUAUCUGCAUGGUGAACUAUAUUUCUGUUAGAACUCUGAAGUUUUCUAUUAAGUUUUUUUCUGUUAGGUAAACCACUUAACUGAAGUGCUUAAGCCAAUAUUGACAAUCAUAGACAUAAAAGUAUUAAUAGGCUCAUUCAAGUGAAAUGAGCAUUAUUUCACACAUCCUUUAGGUUUUUAAGUCAUUUAGAAGUCAUUCAUGUUAAAAAAAAAAAUUCAUAUACUUUCAAUAUAAUUAGAACAUACACAAUUAAUUAAUUAAAUAAAUCUUUUUCAGCUAGUAUAGGAACUUAAUUAAUCAAAGCUAGUAGUUAUAGCUAGGACUUGAACGAGGCACCUUUCAAAGUUCAAGAAGAGCAUCUGAACAGAAUGAAAGCACUUUGUAGAAAUGGUAAUGAUGCUUUACAUCUACAUGCUCUUACACAAUAUGAACUUUCAUUUAUUCAAGAACAUAACACUACUCCAAGCUCUUAUUCUACAAGUCAAUUCAGUUUGUAGAUGCACGCCAUUGUAAAAACUUUUGCAUUAUAAUUUCUGAAAAUAGAACGUAACAUUAUUAGUAUAGAAUCAGCAAUGUAAAUAACUUAUCAGACAAUAUAACAAGCACUUGGUGAGCAUACAAGAAAAACUAAAACAAGUUAUCUAGAUAAUGAAACUAAAACCCAAGCUCCGCUAUUCAUUGUAGAAGCUUUAAACAUAAAAUUAAAGUAAAUCUAAUAGCAAAACAUUAGAAUGGAUAUUGAAAUUAAAGCUAAAUUCAAUAGUAAUUCAAAUGAAUCCAUUUGAACUUUGUAAAUUCCGCAGAACAAAAUUAAUUUGAGUGAGCAAACUCACCAAAAUUAAAAAGAUAUUGCUGGCGGGAAAAAAAUUGACAAUAACAGCUACAAUACGAAUUUAAAAAAAAAAUCAAAAUCUAUAAUUACAAGCUUAACUCAAAAGAUGAAGGGAGAAUACGAUGAAGAAGAAGAUGGCUGGUGUUUUACGCCGUUCGCCGGCAACCAGUUAGGUUUACGAUGGUGGCUAGUAACACGGAGUCCAGCGAAUAGUUUUCUAACUGGAAAUAAAUUUAAAAUUCUAAAAUAGUACCGAAUGGCUCGUUGCCGUCACGUGGUUAGUAACAUAUGUGACCGCAGUGUGGCCGUCACAUAAAAGGUAUUGGGGUUACAAAGUUAGUGAUAUACGUGAUGGCUGCUCUUGCAUUCACAUUAGGGAUCACAUAUACCCUAUUUUCUUGUAGUGCAUGGUAAAUUCUAUUUGAAAAUUGCUAAGUAUUUUAGAUUUGUACGAAUUCAUUUUUGUGUGCUCAUUGGAUAAUAAUAUAUAAUAAAUUAAAUUUUUGGUGUCAACCAUACCAUACCAUACCAUAAAAUCAAAUUUUAUCGUGUCAUUCUUCUUGGUUCAAAUUUUUGGAAACAAUAAUCAAAUGCAUCCAUGAACUAGUAUAUUCCGACAUAUAUAUAUAUAUUGAAAUUUUAAUAACAACAAUUGGGCCAAGCAUAUGUUGGUACUUGAAGAUUUAUAAGCUCCAUCCUUGAAAAAAAUAAGGCUUGACUGUUCUCAAUCUAAAAUUCUUUUUGUUUUAAGUUCUUAAUUAAGCUUUCUUGCUUGUUUUCAAGAGCCAGUUUUGUAAUGAUCGACAAACAUGACUUGCAUAUACUGCACUUGGCUUUUAUGUGUCACUUAUUAAUUAGAUUUAGAUUUUAUGUCUCAUGCACUCGCUAAUUAAGCUCUUAAUUAAGUGCUCCUUAUAUGGAUAUUGUGUCAAAACAAGUGCUUUCCAUACGGAUAUUGGAUCUAAAGAGAAAAUUAUCUUUAGGUAGUGUUGCCAAAUUUGGAGGCUUUGGAGCUGAAUGCUAUUAAUGUCGACGAGAUUUGGCAUGACAAUCAACUUACGGCCAUGAUUACUUGCUUUCAAAGUUUGAUACGAUGGAUAGUGUGGGGCUGUGACAAAUUAAAAUACAUAUUUUCAGCUUCUAUGAUCUUAAGCCUUAAGCACCUCCAACACCUGGAGAUACGGAUAUGUAUGGGUUUACAAGAGAUCAUCUUCAAAGACAGCAGAUCAAGUGACCCCAUAUUUUGUCUUUCCACAAGUGACCACUGUGAAUCUCGAAGGUCUACCAGAACUCAGAUGUUUAUACCCUGGAAUGCAUACUUCAGAAUGGCCAGCACUAAAAAAAUUGGAGGCCUGUAAUUGUGAUAAAAUAACGUUGUCCCAGAAUAACGAGAAUGAUCAAUUUGGUAUUCCGCCACUACAACCCCUGCUCUCGUUCAAGAAGGUAUGAAACCAAAAUUUAGAUUUUUUUUAUCAAUUAUCUUUGUUGUUCCUCACUCACAGAUCAGGAGGUUUAAUAACUACCUAUAUGGAGUUUUUUUCUAGUGGGAAUGCCCUUAUUUUUUACUUUUUUCAUGCGGAGAAGCUUUCAAAUCCCUCGGUUUAAGAGCGUGUUUGUAAUGAUCCACAAACAUGAUUUGCAUAUACAGUAUUGCACUUGGCAUUUAUGUAUCACUUACUAAUUAGAUUUAAAUUUUAUAAAUUAAUUAAACUGAUUAAUAUUUUAUAUGUGCACUGAAUGAUAGAUACUACAUAAAUUGGGACACUAUAACUACGUAUCCCAACUAUGUAAUAUUUGUUUGUCACAAACCCAAUCAUGACCUGAUAUUCUGAAUAUUAUUUAGGAUACCAUUUCAAGCCCCAUGAGGGCUCUUUCCAUUUUAAAAAGUAUGAAAUAGAUGUAGAUUUUUCUUUAGAUAUUAUCAGUGAGAGUACCUUUGGUGGCAGUGGUCCGGGAUGAUUUGUGUUAAGGAAGCUCAUUGAGCACGUGUGUCAAUGAUGAGUCAGCAGUUAGUUGGGUAAAGAAGCCAGCUCAGCAAAUCUGUUAAUCAUGUUUUACGUUCUGUUCUUCAGUUGUUAGUAAUGCUUUUAAUUCUGUUGAGAUAUGAGUUAGUAUAAAUAUGUUGUUAUUGUAUUUGUAAUUGUGAACGUGAGAUUCAAUAAAAAAUAAGUAGUUUCUAAGGAAAAAUCUUAUCAUUAUUUUCUUAGCUUCCAAACAACUUUUACAGUCACAAUUCAACUUUCAAACAUGGUAUCAGAGCCAGUAAGAGCAAGCUCUAGUGCUCAGCAAACAAAUCAACAAAGUCAAAUAAAUUUUUCUUUCAACACUCCAAUUAAACUAGAUCGAUCGAACUAUCUACUUUGGCGUUUUCAAGUUUUUGCUUCCAUAAGAGGCAAUCGAUUGGAAGGCUUCAUCAAUGGAACAAAACCAGCUCCUGAAGAAUAGUUCACUCAAGUUGUAGCUGAUGGAUCUAUUCAGAAAAUUGAUAAUCCAGAAUAUCAGAAUUGGAGAUCACAGGAUCAAACAUUGCUUGGAUGGAUGCUAUCAUCAAUAAGUGAAGGUACUCUAAAUCUUGUCAUAAAUUGUGGUAGCUCGUUUGAUGUUUGGAGAACUUUAGAAAAGAAAUUUGGUGUGCAAUCUGAAGCUAGGGUUCUUCAACUUAGAUAUGAGUUGAAUACUCUUAGGAAGGAAUCAAUGAGUAUUGAAGAUUACUGCAUCAAAAUGAAAAUUGUAGCAGAUAAGCUUGCUAGUGCUGGAAGUCCUAUAACAGAGAAAGAUCUCAUGCUGACAAUUCUUAAUAGCUUAGGAGCAGGUUAUCGUGAUAUUGCUACCUUUAUAACUGGCUCAAAAAUGGACUAUGAUGAUGCUUAUGCAUUAUUAUUGACUCAUGAAACCAGACUUGAACAAGAGCAGAAUGAUAAAAGCAUGUUUAAUGCAAAUUAUGCUUACACAAAUGCCUAUUAUCCAAGGGCAUUCUAUGCCCAAUCUAGAAAUAAUUUUAGAAGAGGAGGAUAUGCUGGUGCUCAGUUUGGUAAUACUGGUAGAAAUCAUACUGCUGGAAGAGGAAAUAUUUUUCAGUCUCCAAGGAUGUUUACUGGCAAUCACAGAGGUGGAUAUGGAAGAGGACACUCAUUUGGCCCAAAUAAUGUUAACUCUUUUCAUGCACCUAGGAAUCCAAUACAAUUUACUAGGACUGGAGUCACUAAUAUGAAUGGACCUCAAGGAAUUCCAAGUAAUGCAGAAGAAUUGGUUUGCCAGAUUUGCUUUAAGCUGGUCACACUGCUGAUAUUUGCUGGCAUCGAUUUGUGGAGGAUUAUGUCCCUUCUUCAAGAAGUCUAGGCAGAGGAAAAGGACCAAGAUCAGCAUAUAUUGCUAAUUUUGAUGGCUUUACAUAUCCAUAUCAAGGUUAUGAUAACUAUGAUAAUCAUCCUGCAUCUGAGACAAGCUGCUAUUCUGGAAUUGAUAACUAUGCACCUACAGAAGCUUAUGUGGCUAAUUUUGAAAGCUUUGCUGAUGAUGGCUGGUAUUUGGAUAGUGGGGCAACUCAUCACUUGACCAACAACAUGGAGAACUUGCAUUUUAAGGAAGACUACAAAGGUACUGAUCAACUCAUUAUUGGAAAUGGUCAAGGUCUGUCAAUUUCUCAUAUUGGUCAUGCAUUUUUAUCAUUUAGAGCUUCAAAACAUCCUUACACACAUGCCUCCACUAUAGCACUUAAAGAUAUGUUACUUAUUCCUACAAUCACUAAGAAUUUACUAAGCAUCUCCAAACUUACAUCUGAUAAUUCACUCUCUGUUGAAUUUUGUGGAAAUGUUUGUUAUGUUAAGGACAUGAAAGGGCAAGUUCUUCUGCAGGGCCUUGCUGAGAAAGGUCUUUACAAGCUGUUGAUGAAAUCUUCUUCCAUGUCAUCUUCUGCUUAUCAUACAUCACCUGCCUUUCAUCUUUCUCAACUUCAGUCACAUAAACCAAUAUCCAUGCUGUCAUGCUCAAAUGUGUCUUCUAUUUCUCAUCAUUGUAAUGUCUCAACUUCAGUCACAUAAACCAAUAUCCAUGCUGUCAUGCUCAAAUGUGUCUUCUAUUUCUCAUCAUUGUAAUGUCUUUGAUAAGACUUGUUUCAGCUCAAUUUCAAAUAAGUGUAACCAGAAACAUGAUGAACUUAUCUUGUUACACAGAAAGUUUGGUCAUCCAAGCUCAACAGUAUUGAUGCAUUUGCUUAAGACUUGUAAACAAGUUAAAGUCUCUCAAAAAUCAAUUUUAUCUCCUGAGCAUUCUAUGUGUGAAGCAUGUCAAUUAGGAAAAGCUCACAAGCAACAUUUUUCUACAACCGAAACCAAAACAACUCAAGUAUUAGAACUGAUACAUACUGAUCUGUGGGGGCCUUCACCUACUACAUCUAGAAAUGGUUUCAAAUACUACAUUAGCUUUGUAGAUGAUUACAGUAGGUAUACCUGGAUUUACCCACUCAAACUCAAAUCAGAAGCUUUUGAAGUUUUCAAAUUAUUCAAAAUCCAAGUAGAGAAUCAGUUCAAUACCAAAGUCAAGAUGCUGCAAUCUGACUGGGGGGGAGAAUAUAGAGUUUUUACUAACUUCUUAAACCAGAAUGGGAUCAUUUUCAGACAUUCAUGCCCUUACACACAUCAUCAAAAUGGUCUAGUAGAAAGAAAACAUAGACAUAUAAUUGAGUUAGCUUUGACUCUCUUAGCUCAAGCCAAUCUUCCUUUUAAAUUCUGGUGGGAAGCUGUUCAUACAGCAGUGUAUCACAUAAACAGAUUACCAACACCUGUAUUGAAACUCUUAUCUCCAUAUGAGAAGCUCUUUAAACAUAAACCAGAUUACAGCCUCCUUAAAUGCUUUGGUUGUCUUUGUUAUCCAAACUUGAGAGAUUUUAACAAACAUAAAUUUGACUUUCAUACCAGCAAGUGCAUCUUUAUUGGUUAUAGCUCAUCUCAUAAGGGAUAUAAAUGUCUUACAAGCUCAGGUCGAGUUCAUAUCCUUAGACAUGUUGUUUUUUAUGAAAGUGUAUUUCCAUAUACAACAUUCUCUGUUCCUUCUUCAUCUGAAAAUGUUGCCAACUCAGAAACACCAGUGUCAAAUUUCUCUAAACAGCAAGUCUAUCAUCUUUUAACUCUACCCUUAUUCAACAGCAGUUUUGAAGAUACUUUCUCAGCAGGUGUACCAAGUGAUGAACAAACUCCUGUUUUGCCUGAGCAUACAGAUAAUUUGAAUCAACAAGAAUCAUCUAGUUAUUCUUUAUCAGAACCAUCAAUAUCACAAGUUAUCCCUCAAAUCCCUGAAUCUACUCAAACACAACCUGAACCACAAACAAGCAAUCAACAACACUCAGAAUAUAAUCCAAACAGAAUUCAGAUCUCACAACCUACACACAAAAUGAUUACCAGAUCAAAGUCUGGAAUAUUCAAGCCUAAGUUAUAUACAGCCACCUUGACCAACAAAGAACCUGACACAAUUCAAAAAGCUCUGAAUGAUAAAAAUUGGUAUAAGGCCAUGAAAGAGGAAUAUGAAGCUUUGAUCAGGAAUGAGACUUGGUCUCUUGUACCACCUCCAGCUGAAUACAAAAUAGUUGGAAACAAAUGGGUGUUCAGGGUUAAACAAAAUAGUGAUGGCAGUAUAGCAAAGUACAAAGCUAGAUUGGUUGCUAAAGGUUUCCAACAAACUGAAGGGAUUGAUUAUUUCGAAACUUUUAGCCCUGUUAUAAAGGCUUCCACAGUGAGGGUUAUAUUAAGCCUGGCUGCAAUGCAGAGUUGGAUGAUCAGACAGGUAGAUGUUAAUAAUGCUUUUCUGAAUGGUGACUUAACAGAAGAUGUCUACAUGUGUCAGCCUGAGGAUUUUGUUGAUGAGAAGAGAUCAGGCUAUGUAUGUAAGUUGAAGAAGGCUUUAUAUGGUUUGAAACAAGCUCCCAGAGCUUGGUUUGAUAAACUAAAAGGCUGUUUGGUUGCAAACUGGGGAUUUCAAAAUUCCAGAGCUGAUACCUCACUAUUCUUUAAAGGAAAACAAGAUUCAAUGAUAUUAGUUUUGAUCUAUGUUGAUGACAUACUGAUAACAGGGCCUAACAGUGAUGAACUUGAAAAGUUUAUUUCAGACUUCAGCAAAGUGUUUGCAUUGAAAGAUUUGGGAAGACUCUCAUAUUUUCUGGGUAUAGAAGUAUCUUAUGCUGAGAAUAACAUUUACUUAUCUCAAAGAAAAUAUGUUAGAGACCUGCUAAGUAAAGCUGAUAUGCUUCACUGCAAAGGGUGUGAUACACCAAUGGUUACAGGGACAAAACUUCAAAAGGAAGCUAAGGGAUCUUUGGGUCAGCAUGUUGAAGAUGCAACAAGUUAUAGAAGUUUAAUUGGAGGGCUGCAGUAUUUGGUUCUGACCAGGCCAGAGAUAGCUUUUGCAGUGAACAAGCUAAGCCAAUAUGUUUAUACACCUACACUACAACAUAUCCUAGCCUGUAAGAGAAUGCUUAGAUAUUUGAAAGAGACAGAAGACUAUGGAUUAAAGUUUUCAGCUGAUGGAGAAAUAAAGUUAACAGGUUUCACAGAUGCAGAUUGGGCAUGUGAUAUUGAUGAUAGGAAAUCAACAGGUGCAUACUGUAUUUACUUGGGAAAUAACUUGAUCUCUUGGUCAUCCAAGAAGCAAUCCAUAGUUACAAAGUCAAGUGCAGAGAGUGAGUACAGAGCUCUUGCUUCUGCAAGUGCAGAAAUUACAUGGUUACAGUCAUUGUUCAAGGAACUCAAGAUUGAAUGUAUUUCAGUGCCCACAAUCUGGUGUGACAAUAUAAGUGCAACUGAGCUGGCCAAAAAUCCUGUCUACCACUCGAGAACCAAACACAUUGAAUUGGACAUGCACUUUAUAAGAGACAAAGUGUUAGCAAGAGAGCUGGAAAUCAAUUACAUUCCCAGUGAAGAACAGAUUGCAGACAUCUUGACCAAGCCUCUCACAUUCACUCAAUUCAAUUAUCUCAGGAGCAAACUUAAUGUGCAGCCAUGCCCCUUAAGUUUGAGGGGGGCUGUUAAGGAAGCUCAUUGAGCACGUGUGUCAAUGAUGAGUCAGCAGUUAGUUGGGUAAAGAAGCCAGCUCAGCAAAUCUGUUAAUCAUGUUUUACGUUCUGUUCUUCAGUUGUUAGUAAUGCUUUUAAUUCUGUUGAGAUAUGAGUUAGUAUAAAUAUGUUGUUAUUGUAUUUGUAAUUGUGAACGUGAGAUUCAAUAAAAAAUAAGUAGUUUCUAAGGAAAAAUCUUAUCAUUAUUUUCUUAGCUUCCAAACAACUUUUACAGUCACAAUUCAACUUUCAAACAAUUUGGGAUUUGACAAUUCCACUCUCAUCUUAAUUAUCAAAUGGAAUGUAAGUAGAGAUAAACUUGUCCUGUUUAUAUAUUUGUGAUCAAAAUUAGGACCAAUAUAAAAAAUAUUAGGGUCCGACUAUCUAUACUUUAAAAAUCAUUAUGAACACUUAAUUAUUUAUGUACUCAGCUAAUAAAUUUAAAAAAUUAAGUUUUACUUUCCACACUUUUUUUAGGAGUACUUUCUACACUUUUUAAAAUAACAAAAACAUCUUUACAUGAACUUAAUAAGUUUCUUUAAAAAAAUUAAAUCAACUAUUUUUAUUUAUUCAAAAUACUAAUAAAAAUAUUUAGCAGACCGUGAAAGAAAAUUUUUAAGAAAUUUAACACGAUUUUAGUUAUUACUUAUUGUUUAUUAAAGAAUGUGUUCACUAUUGUAUUUAAUUUUGUUAGUAAAAAAAAAAAGAAGAAGUUUGGGUUUAAGAUACAUUUAAUUUUUAGUGUAACAGUUGUAUCAAAACAAUAAAAACUAAAAGAUCCAAAAGUCACAAGUUCCAACACCACCCAAAUAAAAAGGUCUGUUAAGAUUAUUUUUGGGAAGCUCAAAAGUGAUUUUAAAAAUUUAAAACUAAUUUUUAGUGUUUUAUAAAUUUUUUAGUAAUUACUUUUGGCAAAAUCAUCUCAUUGUACAGUAGAUUUUGAAAAAGUAGGGAAUGAAUAAUUUUUCAAAAUAUGAUUUUGAGAAUCACUUUUAUAUUUAAUCAAAUUCUAUAUAUAUAUACUCAUUAUAUAAUAAAAAUUCAAAAUUAUCUUUAUUAAUUAAGAAAUAAAAUGAUUAACUUUAAAGAGAUUAUUAUUAUUACCAAUUAUAUUGAGAUAAAAAAAUAGAGAAUAAAAUUUAAUAAUAUAAAAUAUUUAUUUUAGUUAUCAAUAAUUAUAUGUACAAUAAAAAUAUUUUAUAUACAUGUUUAUAAAUGUGUAAAUAAAUUUUAUUUAACAUUAUGUCCAAUUCAGUCAUUUACAUUUUUGGUCCAAUUUAACAAUAAGAUUUACGAAAUAUAUACGACGCUUUUAAAACUAAAAGUAUUUUUAAAAAUAAAUUUUACUAAAUGUUCAGCUGAUUCUCUUGACGAUUGAUCAAUUUCUACAGCAUAGCUAACUGUAAUUAUUUUAAAGGCUACAGGAUUACCAAACUGACCCUAAAUCAAACCAAUAAAAAUGUUUAAAAAUAAUAAUAAUAAACCAAAGUAAACGUACAAAAAUUCAUGCAUAAAUUGAUAAUCAACAAAAACAUCCACAAGUUUACCUCCAAGUUUUCUAUUCAAUUGACAUAACCCUUAAAUUUCAAAAGGCAUAAUCAAUUUUUGUCUAAUCCUAUAAAAUUAGAAAAUUAAAGAAUAUUAUGUACUGAUAAUUAAAUAAUAUGCAAUUAACAAUGUUAAAAAAAAUAAUGUUAAACAUAUUGUCAACUAAAACAAUUGGGAUUAACGAGCUGCUAUUGAAAUUAAUGUUAAAAAAAAUAAUGUUAAACAUAUUGUCAACUAAAACAAGCAUCAUGUGCAGUACCCACCGUGAUCUACUCACAUUGGAAUAAGUUGUUGGCAGCUGGUAAAAAAUUCAAUGUUGAUUUUGAUCCCACUAAAUUAAGUCAUCAAAAAUUGCUGGGAAGGGAGUAAUAUCUAUUUAUAACUGGAAAUUAGUCACCGUACAAAGAUGAUUGGAGCUGCAUAUAUCGUUUAUUAUUAACAACUAACUUAUGAAAUGCUUUGAAUGUACCUCCUAGGUCGUAUUAUUUACUAUACUAGUUAGGAGAAAUUGCAAUGUUAAAUUAUUUGAUAAAUACUUAUUAUAAUUUGAAAAUAUGUUAAUUUUGUCCUCCAUUUAUGAUAAAAAAUUUUGUAAUAUAUAUAAAUCAUUCAUUCUAUAAUCUUGAACUUUAUUAAAGUUCGAAAAACUAUUACUCUAUAUGAUAUAAUAGUGUGAUGUUAUUACACUAUUAUACCAUAUAAAAUAUAUUUGCUUUCUCAAAUUUUAAUAAAGUCUAGGUCUUGGACAGAAGCACUUUAUAUAUGUAUAUAUAAUGAUUCUCUAGUAACGACAUUCUCAUUUUAACAAAGUAAUGAUAUCACUAACAAACUAAAUAACACAUAUUUCAAUACACCAAUAGAUUAAAAAAAAUACAAUUUUUAAUGUGUUAAAAUAUAGGUCUUUUGUAUGUUAUUGAUAUUUUCACUUUAACAAAGUGAGGGUCUCCUCACUAUAAAAGUAAUUUAUAAAUAUUCCUUGUAUUUUUGUGAAAAUUAUUAUUUAAAUGUCAUAUCUUACCAAAAACUAUUAGUUUUUAUUUUAUUACUACGCUAUACUUUUCAAGAUAGAACACCUUAAUACCAUGACCUUAAUUUUUGAACCCUCUUGUACAAAGUUGUUGGCUGGUCUAUUUAGCUUAAUCUUUCAAUUAUUUGUCGUUUGAACUGAGAUGAUCCGAAUAAGGCUAUGUAUCAAUAAUUUCUUAGUGAAACUUCGGGAAAAAAUAAAAAUCAUCUCAUACAGUAGCAUUAUUUUAAUUCUCAGCUUGAUUAUGUUUUGAGUUAACUUAUAGAUUAUUUGAAAUGAAAAUAAUAUAAUUUAUUUUUUCCAACUGAAAUUUUUAAAUAAUUUUAUUAGUUUGAUGAGUAAGUAUACACUUACAAAGUUAUGAUAUAAAAUUAUAUCCCAGAAUCCCAAUAAUAUGACACCAAUUAACUAUUGCUAUGUGUUUCUUAGUAAUUAACUUUUUAUACUAUUAUUAAUGAGAUAAUUAACUUCAACACCAAUAAACAAUUAAUACAUCCUCUAACUUUAUUAUCAAAUAAUCAUACGUCAUAAUCAAACCAAGUUACCAGAGCCUACCACUAAAAGAUUGAUUGAAGGGUUUUCCAAGUUUGAAAAUGUUAGUAGCAUUGGCAAAUGGCAACUUCCAGGAAUCUUCCUGCUACAAUCAAUCAUUUAGUGAAAUGCCCAAAUGACACAAAGGACCCCGCCAACCGUGAAGUCACAUCAUUUAUUUAUUUGUAAAUGAAAAAUAAGGUUCCGAUCGGAAGAAAUCAGCACCUUAUAAUGCAUGAUUACCCGUAUGUCAAGUUUGGCGAUUAUAAGUCAUCAUCACAAUAACUUUGGAUUUUGAUAUUUAAGUCUCCGUUUGGGACCAAUGUAUGCCAAUUGGACAACACAUCACUCAAUUAUAGAGAGCGAAAUAUUGAUAUUGUCAUUAUUUUACGUAAUGUAUAAACUUUUCCUUUUAUUUUUGUUUGUUUAUUUAUUUUUAAUACCUAAUAAAUAUAAAUUUAUUUUUUAAUAUUUAAUAAAUUUUGUCAGAAAAUAACAAACAAUGACCCAAAUCCUUUUAUUUUACAGAAAUAAUUUCAAUUCACAACUAUGACAUUACAUUACCAAACAAACACUAAAUAUUUUGAUGAUUGGAGUUUAUCUUUCAUUCAUAGCAUGAAAAGUUUGAAAUAGAAUCUCAAAACAAAAGAGUACGACAUGUCUUGUUGGGUUUACAGAAGAAGUGUACGCCAUGUCAUCCGAAAACUAAAAGGCAUGUAUGACAACCAAACGGUAUCAUCCCUGAUUUGCCUACACUUUAAGGAUGAAUUCUGGGUUUUGAGUGACAAUUAAAAGCCAGAGUGAGAAUUAGAGAGAGAGUUAUAUAUUCUUAUUUAUUCCUAGUCACUUGCUAUAUUGUGUGGGUCUUUUGUGAUUCCAAUAAUAAAAAUGUUCAAUAUUUUUUUUGAUAGAGCAAUAUUUUUUAAAGCAUAAAGAAAGGCAGAAAUAUUGUAAAUCCAUCUCAAAUUUUCUGUUUAUUGUGGUUGCUGCUAGCGCUAGCUGUUUUCUUAUUUAACUUUGUUCCCUUUUGCCAUCAGCUCUUUGCAUUUUCAUUGGAUCAAGCGGCCCUUUUCUUGUUUCAAUUUUUUAUCUCAAAAGCACUUUGAUUCUCUUCUGUUACACUGAUUUUCUCCUUAUUUUGCACAAAUAUCGUUUCUCUUUCCCAUUUAGCCUUGAUUUGCUUCUACUUGACUACCAAUUGCCCAGUCGUUGACCCUGUUGUAUUUUUAUUUCAUUCACUUCCAAUAGACCAAAAAAAAAAAAGAGAUGUUGAAUAAAAGCUUAAAAACUAAUUUGAUUUUUAAUAUGAUUUAGCUAAGAUGUCCAAUUUAAUACUAAGAGUAAUGUUAAGGAUCCUAAUAAUUGAGUCCCAACUGAUAUGGUAGUCAUUUAUUAGAUGAUGGAAAUAUAAAUUUUAUUAGUUGUGAAAUUCAUUAUUCAAUAAAAAAAUAACACAUAACAAUUAGGUCUCAAGUUAGUAUUUUACUAUUGGAAUUCCUAACAUUAUUCUAAUAUUAAAAAAUUCAUCAAAAUAAUAUCCGUUGAUGCUGAAAUCUAGUCGCCUUUGGACCGACCAGAUUGGUUCACCAACGCUUGUAUUGACAAAGGAAUAGAGGCUGCGAUCCAUUAGCUUCAACAAUUUCCCGAGCUUCUGGGACCCAAAUCACCCGUCUUCUUCCUUCCAGGCCUAUGUUCACAUAAACAAAUCAGAGAAGCCGGUGGUUUUUUGGGCAUAAACCCUUCGAUACUUAAGUUAGUACAAGGUGUUUACGAGAAAAGUUAAUGAUUUGUGUUGUACAUAUUAGUUGCAAUAUUCUCAAUACCAAAUGUAUCAAGGAUUUGGAUAUUUGAAUUUCUGAUUAUAAUUUGACAGAGUUUCCCCUUUACUCUCAAUUUGUGUCUCCCCCUUUUCAUUGAUUUCUUGGCCUUUUAUAGGCAAUCAUCCCAUGUUUUCUGAGUAUUAUUCAUGCCCCUCAUUUUCGGGUGAUGACGGACCUUCAUGGGUCUCCAACCACCGAAUCGUGGGUAAACGUGGGGCGUCAUGUUCUCCCCAACGGUUUGGGGCAUGACAAAACUGUCGUGAGUUUGUGAGAUCGUGUCCUCUUUCUUUGAAUAAUGAGUACUUGGUCGAUAUGUACAUCUGGUCGGUACUCGUUUCUAGUCGGCAUAUGCCCCGUACAGGAUGUAUUACCAGGAAUCUGCUCGUGCCAUUCAUCUGGGGAGAUUCGCCCCAGGGUGAGGGAAGAGGGGAUAGCUGAGCUGGUACUUUUCAUUACUCAACAAUAUCUAUUAUCUAAAAAAAUAAAAUAAAAAUCUAAAACCAUAGAUUUACUUUUCAAUCUUCGUGAUUUGACUGAUUUCUUUUAAAGCUUUGGUUUCUUUAGAAGUGCAAGGAGAAAUAGUAAUAAGAUUAAAAAAGCAAUGAAGUAAAACUUUAAAAUUUUUGUUUCUUUAUAUUUUUAUCGGUCAUUUUACCGGUACUGGCGUUUGAUUUUCUGACUAAGCUACUGUUUAGUUCUAAGUUUUGGCAAUUACCCGGACUGCUCUCUUUCGUGUAACAUCGACACAAUGAGGCUUUGCAUCUAAAAGUCGGCAGCCACGCAACUUCUUGGAAUCUUCGUGCAAGUGUUGGAUAUCGACCGUUCGAUAAUGACGGCAGCAUUGUUCUGGAGUGUAAUUGACGCAGUGGAAUAAGGAUCACAUGUCUCAAACUUUCGGUGAAGAUAUUGUUAGAUAUUUUAUUGAUUAAGGAUCAUUCUUUGCACUCAUUCUCAAUCAAGAAACGCAUAUGCUUUUGUUCAUUGUAGUCACUGCUGUUUUGUUAUUAAUCUUUGCUCCCUUUUGCUGUCAACUCUCUUGAAUUUCACUGGAUCAACUUUUCUCUUGGCAUCUGCUUUGUUGUAAUCUCCAGUCUUUGUUAAUUAGUCUCUCCGCUCGCAAUCCAGUUGUUGAACUAGAAACCUUUUCCUUGUUUCCAUCUUCUCAGCAGAUCCAUAACAGCUAUUACGAUUUCUUUCAUUUCUCCUCGUCCACAACCAGAUAAACUGUCCAUCUUUGCGUUUCUUUUUCUUUUUCUCCUCACUCUCUCUGUGUUUCGCUCAUUGUUUAUUUUCUUGUCAGAAACUUCGAAAAAAAGAAAAGGGAUUCAGGAUGGUGGAAAGCAUUGUUACUAUUGUUUUAGAAUUUGUGAAAUGCUUGGCUCCUCCAACAGAACGCCGACUUGGUUAUUUGCGUACUAUAAAGCCAACGUUGAGAAACUCGAGGCAGAAAUAGACAAGCUCAAGGAUGAAAGGAGAAGCAUUCAGCACAGGGUUUCUGAGGCUGAAAGAAAAGGGGAAAAUAUUGAAGAGAAGGUUGAGAAGUGGCUGGUUAGUGCGAACAUCAUCAUUGAGCAGGCAGCCAAAUUCAUUGAUGAUGAGAAGACAACAAAUAAACGAUGUCUCAUGGGCUUGUGUCCUAAUUUGAAGACCCGCUAUCAGCUUAGCAAGAAAGCAGAAACAAAGGUGAAGGCCAUUGUUAAACUCCGAGAAGAAGCUGGGAGAUUUGUUGAUGGAAUUUCCUACCGUACCAUUCCGGAGGAUAUAUGGCUCAAGUCUCACAAAGGCUACGAAGCCUUCGAAUCAAGACUUUCUACUUUAAAGGCCAUACAAAAUGCAUUGAUCGAUGUUGAUGUCAGCAUCAUUGGGGUGUACGGCAUGGGCGGCAUUGGAAAGACGACACUGGUGAAGGAGUUUGCAAGGCGAGCCAUUGAAGACAAGCUUUACGAUAUGGUGGUUUUUUCGGAGGUUACCCAAUGUCCAGACAUAAGAAAGAUCCAAGAGGAAAUUGCGGAAACGUUAGGCCUAGAGUUGUCCGAGGAAGCUGAGUCUAGAAGAGCUAGUAGACUAUAUGAAAGAUUGAAGAAUGAGAAGAAGAUCCUUGUGAUUCUCUAUAACAUGUGGAAACCUCUUGAUUUGGGGACUAUUGGCAUUCCUUUUGGAGUUGAGCACAGAGGAUGUAAAUUAUUAUUCACAACAAGAGAUCUUGAUGUGCUGUUAAGGAUGGGAUCUGAAAAAAACUUCUCGAUUGGCAUUUUAAAUGAACAAGAAGCCUGGAGAUUGUUCAAGAUAAUGGCUGGUGAUUAUGUUGAAAAUCGUGAGUUAAAAUCUGCAGCAACAAGUGUAGCCAAGGCAUGCGGAGGUUUGCCUAUUGCCCUAACCACAGUAGCAAAGGCACUGAGAAAAAAAGAGCUGCCUGUGUGGAAGAAUGCCUUGCAAGAACUCCAAACGCCUUCAGAGGCAAGCUUCGACGAAGGAGUACCAGCAGAGGCAUACUCAACAAUUGAGCUGAGUUACAAGUACUUAAGAGGUGAGCAACUCAAGAAAACUUUUUUACUGUGUAGUCUUAUUACGCCAGCACCAAUUAUGGAUUUGUUCAAAUACAGCAUGGGCUUGGGUGUAUUUAAAAGUGUCCAUAAGCUAGAAGAUGCACAUAACAAAUUACAUGCAUGGGUCCAUCAACUAAGAGACUCUUGUUUGUUGCUUGAGGAUGGUGGCAGUAAAUACAUUUCUAUGCACGAUGUUGUUCGCGAUGUUGCCAUUUCAAUUGCAUUUCGUGACAUGAAUGCAUUUGUGGUGAGAAAUGAGGAUGAUUGGAAAUGGCCAAAUGCAGAUGAAUUAAAAAAAUAUUUUGCAAUUUCUUUUAAAGAUAGUAUUGUUAAUGACAUUCCUGAAGGGUCGGAAUCUCUACAACUUGAACUUCUAUUCAUGUCUCCCAAGAACUCUUUUGCUGUGCCUAAUAUUCCUGAGAACUUCUUCAAAAGGACGAAAAAGCUUCGGGUUUUGGAUUUGACUAGAAUGCGGUUAUUGUCAUUGCCAUCUUCAAUUGGUCUUCUAGUAAAUCUUCAGACACUUUGUCUUAAUCAAAGCAUUUUGGGAGGCAUAGACAUAGCCAUUAUUGGAAAGUUGGAAAAUCUAGAAAUCCUUAGCUUUUUGCAAUCUGAUAUUGUAGAGUUGCCUAAAGCACUGGGUCAACUGACUAAGCUAAGGCUGUUAGAUUUAACAGACUGCUUCCGUCUGAAAGUUAUUGCCCCAAAUGUCAUAUCGAGCUUAAUCCGAUUAGAAGAAUUGUAUAUGGGUAAUUGCUUCAUUGAAUGGGAGGUUGAAAGAGCCAACAGCAAAAGAAGUAAUGCUAGCCUUGACGAAUUGAUGCAUUUACCUCGGCUAACUACUCUAGAAAUUGAUGUUAAAAAUGAGAGUAUGUUACCAGAAGGCUUUUUGGCCAGAAAGCUCGAAAGGUUCAAAAUACAUAUUGGAAAUGGGUUAUUCAUGCAUCCCAUGCUUUUUGGACAACAUUGGUUUAAAAGUCAGCUGCACUUUUUGAUCGACAGUAAUCGCAAGAUUUCAAGAGAAUUGGAGCUCAAGCUUGAUUUUAUGGACAUUUGCUCCAUGAAAUUGCAAGGCAUCAAUAACGUUGAAUACUUACGGUUGGACAAGCUGCAAGGCAUCGAGAAUGUUCUUUUCAAUUUGGACACGGAGGGCUUUUCACAAUUGAAGGUCCUCUGGCUUCAAAAUAAUCCUGACUUCUUUUGUAUCGUCGAUUCAAGGGAGAUGGUCGCUUGUGAUGCCUUUCCUCUGUUGGAGUCACUUGCCCUUCACAAUUUGAUCAACAUGGAGAGGAUAUGUAUUGAUCGGCUCAAAGUAGAGUCUUUCAACGAACUCAAAAACAUAGAAGUAUAUAAUUGUGAUAAGUUGAGUAAUAUCUUUUGGCUCUACUACAAAAUGCCUUCCAAGACUUGAGAGAAUUGCAGUUAUUAAUUGCAGCAAAAUGAAAGAGAUUUUUGCAAUUGGGGAAGAAGUUGAUAAUGCAAUUGAGAAGAUAGAGUUUGCUCAAUUAAGAUCUUUGAGUCUGGGGAAUCUUCCAGAGGUUACAAGUUUUUGCCGUGAGGUGGAGACUCCUUCAGCAUCACCGAACAGACAAGUGUCGCAAGAGGAAUCGACGACUAUGUAUUGCUCCAGCGAAAUCACUUUGGAUAUUUCAACUUUGCUUUUCAAUGAGAAGGUGCGUAGGCUAACAUUUUAUUCAUAUAUAUAUAUAACAGAGUUUAUUCUAUCAUGCGUUCUCUUAUGUCAAACGUGGAAAAUAAUUAAAUCAUUUAGAGAAUUGAAAGAAAAUGAAAACAAUGAGGAAAAAAAUAAUCUCACGCACUCACUAAUUGAGCUCUUAACAGGUAGUAUGAAUUAGAAUGUUAAUUUGUAAUCAAAGAGAAAUUUUCAACAAGAAAUUCUUAUCUUUUUAGGUUGCGUUGCGUAACUUGGAGGCUUUGGAGAUAUCUGAAAUUAAUGUCGACAAGAUUUGGCACUACAAUCAAAUUCCAGCGGCAGUGUUUCCUCACUUUCAAAGUUUAACACGAUUGAUUGUGUGGGGUUGUCACAAAUUAAAAUACAUAUUUUCAGCGUCUAUGAUCGGAAGCCUUAAGCAGCUCCAACGCCUAGAAAUACGCUCCUGUGAGGAUUUACAGGAGAUCAUCUCUGAAAACAGAGCAGAUCAAGUGAUCCCUUAUUUUGUCUUUCCACAGCUCACCACUUUGAUACUCCAUGAUCUACCAAAACUUAGAUGUUUGUACCCUGGAAUGCAUACUUCGGAAUGGCCCGCCCUAGAAAUUCUUUUAGUGUAUCGUUGUGACAGAUUAAAGAUAUUUGCGGCAGAUUUAUCGCAGAAUAAUGGGAAUGAUCAACUUGGUAUUCCUGCACAACAGCCCCUAUUGCCAUUGGAAAAGGUAUGAAGCCAUUUUCUAGAUUUUUUAUCUAUAGCUUAUUUUUAACUUUGAAAAAUAUGACAAAGUAUUGAUAAAUUAAUGCUCAAUAAAUUGAAAACUUUUAUUAUACAAUAAUCUUUGCUAGUCUAGACUAAGGGAUCAAUGUGGUAGAUUAAUGAUUAUAUAAACUUUUUUAGGUAUAGCAUUUGUAAAAGAAUCUUGAGUCUUUCCAUAUAGAAGAACUUACAAAAUAAAUUAGUAAUUUAUUAUUGUGCAGUAAAAUAAUUUCGAGUCAGUAUAAAUCAACCUUUUUUCCCUAAUUUCUUUUUUACCUCUAAAAUUAACAUAUAAAAAAUCAUUUAAUAAAUUUUAUCAAUAAUUCAAUUUUUUUAAAUAUAAUAUAAAACAAAUACUAUAAACUCACUGCUUAUGAUUGGAUUACUCAAAAUCAUUUGAGAAAACAUCAAUUGACCUUAUUAGUUAUUAUGAUUGAUGAUGAUCAGAUCUUACCCAACUUGACGGAACUAUCACUAUGCGGAAAAGACGUGAAGAUGAUUUUGCAGGCCGAUUUCCCACAACACCUUUUUGGCAGUCUUAGAGAUCUAGGGAUUGCUGCUGAUGACUCAGCUUGUUUUCCAAUCUGGAAUGUACUGGAGAGAUUUCACAAUCUCGAAAUGCUCGUACUGUGUUAUUUUUCAUUCCACGAAGAGGUAUUUUCGAUGGAAGGAUGCUUAGAGAAACAUGUGGGGAAGUUGGCAAUGAUAAAAGAAUUAGAGCUGUACCGGCACUAUCAUCUGAAGCAGCUGUGCAAACAAGACACCAAAUUUGGCCCCAUCUUUCAGUAUCUUGAAAUUCUAAGAGUAUAUCAUUGUCAAAGUCUGUUAAUUCUAUUGCAAUCAUCAUCGGUAUCUUUUGGGAACCUAACAAAACUUGUAGCUUUCGAUUGCAAGAAAUUGAUACACUUAGUAACAUCCUCCACAGCAAAAACUCUAGUGCGACUCGUAUCACUUUGUGUAUACGGAUGCAGAGCAAUGACAGAGGUGGUAAUAAAUGACAAAGACGGGGUUGAAAAAGAAGAGAUUGUUUUCCGCAAAUUGAAGAGGUUGGAACUGCGUGAUUUAGACAGCCUCACAAGUUUCUGCUCUGCCAAUUACACCUUCAAAUUCCCAUCUUUGCAAGAUCUAUCUGUGAUUGGUUGUCCCAAAUUCAAGAUUUUCACUACAGGAGAAUCAAGCACGCCUCCGAGAGUAAACGUCUGGUAUGGAGAGACAUCGAAUCAACGGCGUUGGGCUAGUAAUGAUCUUAACACGACCAUACAACAAUUACAUGCUGAGAAGGUACGGAUAUACGUGUUACUCUCUAUCUCCCAUGGAAAAAUUUUACAAAAUUUGCUUUUUCUUUUUAAAUAAAAUAUGGAUAAGAUAUUUGUUAUAAAGUUAGUUUAAAUUGAUGAAUAAGAAUUUUAUUUUCAGCUGUUGGCGGGGUCGUCGUCAUACUCUGUGGAUUACGACUAAUUUCAUAGGCUUCUUAUGACUUGGAGUUACGAAUUUGAAGAAGAAAGUCCCAGCUGGUAAUUAAUUCUUAUUUUAUUUAUUUGAUCUCGUGGGUUGUUUCACAAUUUCAUCUCAAUUGUUUAGAAUGGGUCACUUGGUUUACUGUCAAUAUGGAAUGCACUUUUCAUGAUUCGUUCAGGCUUUUAUGGGCAGAUUUUGCGUCAUUGAGCGUCUUUUGGUCUAAUUUAAUUUAAUUUGAGUAUUUUGUUUUGAGAGUUCCCUUGUUCUCUAAAAUUUUAUAAUUCCUUGCAAGCAUUUUAUGUUGAAAUUUCAAUAAGAGGGGCAACACUUGCAUGUUGAAAGUGUUCAGAUUUUAUAAUUCCUUGAAAUCAUGCAAACUUUUUUCUUUCUUUCCUUGCCAAUUAUUUAUUGUCAUCGUUACUGUUCCGUUAAAUUUGUUUGUGCUCUGUUUGUUCAUUGGAAACUUGGAAGGCAACGAAAGUACUUAAGAGAAUGUUCUUGCCUAUUAACACAUAAUUAAGAACAGCUGAAUAUCAUUCAUCGGAUAAAAAAAAAAAAAUCUAAUUAGCCCGUCAUGCCUACAACAAAUGCUUAAACCAUCAAAGGUUAGCUAUGAACAAAUAUAUUAUGGAAAUAUUGUUUUAAAGCAUUCGAUAGAAUUUUCAAAAAUAUCAAGUUUUCACAAACCAAAAAGGGAACUAAUUUGGUCUAGUUUUGUUACAAGUAUAGAAGUACAAUAUUUUGUCUGUUAUUCUUGUUAAAAUUCUCAGCUCUGUGUUUGUAGAAUGUCUGGAUACUGAUAGAGAUUCAAGUCACUCUUCUUCUGUACAACAUUCGAAAUGAAGCCUUUUUUCCCCCUCCAUUCAAAUUUUAUGUUGUGAAGGGUUUCCGUUUCCAUCUUCAUGUGAUUUACUUCACCGUGUCGCUACAUCUAUGAUAGUGUGUGUUAUAUCCUGUCUGUUUCCUUUAUUUGACCAUCGAAAGUUCAAAGACAGUUUAUUCUAAAUAUGUGUAAAUUCAUUUUCUGUAUAAGCUCUUUGUAUGCAUUUUGACAUUUUAUUCUCAAUAUGUAUGACUUAAUGAGAGGUCUUUUGUUAUACAUAUGUCCCGAAUUUCUUGUGUAUUUUUAGAUUUGAUGAUGUAUUCUUGUCUCAUUGCAAGGUCUUAUAAUCACUGAUUCUCAUUUCUCGUAUACAUACGUAUAUAUGGGCAAGAAAUUUGGUAAAUGAUCUAGUCAUUUUCUCAGUAAAACAUCUAGUACUUUAUAUGUUGGAAGGGUACUAAGCAGCAGGCCAAGAUUUGUCAACUCAAAGAUCGUCAUGUCAUUUUUUAAAAAUAUUAAGGAAUUCUAAGGAACCUCAAGAGAAAAUUUAGAAAUACUAUAGGGACUACUUCUGCAUUGUUCAUUUUCGUAAUUACGUUCAUUAUUAUUUUUUUUUUUUCAAUUAAUCAAACUUCAGUUCCUUAGCAUUCAUCUAAUUAUGUACUUCAUCUGGAAAUCCUUAAUUUACUCAUCAAAAUGUGAACGCUAAGGAAACUAUGAAAAUAAAUAUAAAACUACUAGCUAAGUUUAUCAUCACAUAUGAUCAGCACUAGACUAUCAAAUAAUCAUAAAAGCAUAUAAAUUCAAGCUACUGUAUUAUUUGUAGCUUUCUAAUUUGUGUUUAUAAAGAAUUUAGUUAUGCAACAAAAAAAGGGGAUACGAAAGUAGCCAUAAAAAAUACUCUGUUUUGUAGUACUUCAACAUAUCUACUGGCUAAGAAGUAGCAUCACAUAUGAAAAUGUCGGCACAAAUACUCAAGCAAGUGCAAGUGUGUGGACGAGCCACUUGUGUUAUCAUGAAACUUAAUAUAAGUAUCAAAAGUUGGUGGAUUAUUGUGGUUUUCCUGCUUUAUCGUUUUUGGUUGAAUAAAAUAAUAUAAAGCUGUCGAUUCUGCAUUAAAGCAUAUGAUUUGUGAAGAUAUGAAUACCACAUCUUUCCAACUCCUCAACUCUUGAGUAAUUACUAGGUUCCCACCCAUGCAAACAUAUUUUCUUUCGAGAAAAAGGGAUGCCUGAUUCAGGGCAUCCGUUGCCUCGGUUUAUUUGAUUUUGUUUGGUUCAAUUGUGGUUCUGUUAUUUAGUUUUUCCUCUGAUGGUUCUGUUUCUCUGUAUAUUUCACUGGGUUUGCUUUGCUUCACAUCUUUCUUUCAAAACUAAGAAGGCAAGGAAAGAGAGUACUUAAUUAGAAAAUGCAAGAAGCAUAUAUUAAAUAUGCAUAUGGCUCAUGCUCUUGCCUAUGAACACAUAAAGAACAACUGAAUAUCCUUCGUCGGAUAACAAAAAAGAAAAUCUAAUCAUCCAUUUAUCCAUACAAGAAAUGAUACCAUUACUUUUAGCAAAUUGAAAGUGUUGUAUCUUUUUUAUUUAAAAAGUCUCUUAAGAUUUUUAUUUUUUCCGGUAAUUACACCUCCAAAUUUCCACAGCUAUAAUGUCAAUUUGUAAUUAUUUGUCCCAAGAUGCAGAUUUUCACUAGAGGAGAAUUAAUAAUUACGCUAUUUCGGCCCAGAGGACCAUGAAGCCCCUUGGGUUGUUGACAUUAACACUAGUGCGUUUACCAACCUAAACCUUCGGUUUGGUCAACAGUGUCUAAAUUGAACCUAUGGUGAAUGGAGGAAAAAGAAAAAGAGAUUUAUUAGAAACCUCCCCUGAAGUUUGAUAUAUUUUUAGUUUAAUAGAUUAUAUUUGUGUAUUCUCAAAUACCUCCCCUGCUGCUAGGGUUGGCAAUAGGACGAGAUAUGAUAGAAUUUACCAAUUACAGUCCCAUCCUGUAUAUGUAAAUGGGAUUAAAAAACAUAUCAGUCCUGUCCCUAUAUUUGUUUUUAGGACAAAAAAUAUAUCCUAAUCUCGUCCAAAAAGAGAUAGAAUCCUGUAGGAUCUCAUCCCAAUUAGAAAAUUUUUUAUUCUUAAUCGAUAAUGAGACGAGAUGGGACAGAAUUUGUCAAUCCUACUCCCGUCCUGCAUAUGUAAUUGGGAUAAAAAAAAUCUCACUCCCGUCCUUAAAUUUUUUUAUGGAAUAAAAAUAUGUCCCAAUUUCAUCCCAUCAAAAAAAAUUAUCAUUCCUAUCUGGCGCUAGUAUACCUUUCUUAAUACCCCUAAUUUAGAAAAAAAAAAUUUGUAUACUGAAAAUAAAAAAUUGUUGGUUAGUACCAGCAUGUUUGUUUUGGUGCCAAGGGAUGUGAAUGCAAUGAAAAUAUCAAAUCAUCCCCGUUACUUUCCAAAAUGACUUUGAUAAAUGAAACAAACAAAAGAUUUAAGUCAAAUAUCAAAGAAUCAGAGGGAAGCUGUUUUGCACUGGCCUAAUUGCUAUGCUGUCUGAAUCAAAUUUCGUUCAAUCUUGGUGUCCCUCUUUUAUUCAAUAUAAGAAGAAUGAAAAAAGUAGGUUGUUUUUUACACAAGUGAUAGAAAUACUUCUGAACUUUAGACAGUGUAACACCAUACACAUCAAAGAAAUAAGACAACAAACCAAUUCCCAUACAUAAAGCCAACAAAAUUACUAUUUAGUACAAGAGAUGCAACAUAAUUUUAAAUUUUAUUCCUCAAGAGCUACAAGUGAUACAAAUGAGUACACAAAUCAACCAUCUGUAGCUUAACCAGAAGUUGAUGCGAAUGCAUGAAAAUGAAAAAAGCCUACGAAUAGUAUACAUGGUAAGUAUGACUAAGUAAAAUAACAAUUCUGAUUGAUAAUACCACCAGCAACAGGACCUUCAUACCCUCUCUUUAUUAAUCACUAGUUGGUAUGCUAUAGCCCAGCCAAGUGUAAAAUGAAUGGCGAUCGAGCUCUUGAGCCUCUUUAUACCCUCCAUAAGUUGUCCUCAACUUCAUCAAGGACUGCAAAUAUAUUAAGCAAUAGAAAAAUAAUCGUGAUACAUUGAGUAACAUAUGGAGCAUGCACCUGCUUUAUAAAUAUCCAAGAGUCUGAAGAUAGAUACAUGGAGCUUGAUUUGCCAAAUGAUCUAUCAAAAAAGCCUCAGUGCAAAAUCUUCAUCCAUAUUCCAAACAAAACCAGGCAUAUCAAUCCUCUGCCAGGCGACAAUCCUAUAUAUGUAAAGCUUCUUAACAGGGAGCUCCGGCCUUUAAUCUGGGGGUCUCCUCUCGUCAAUAACUUAAACAUUCAGCGUGAUUUUCCAAAGACACUGCAAUUUUCAUUUAUAACUCAAACAAAUAAGACAGGACUUAUCUAAAGACACUGCAAUUUUGGACAUUGGCUAACAAGUGUGAUUAGGUCAAGACUUUGUAUAGUGGCAUAGCUCAUAUUCAAGGUUAUUAGGCCAGAGCAAACAAAAUUGACAGAUCACACUAUUUGAGACCAUAAUCAGGUUGCAUCUACAACUCAUUUUCCAAAAUUAUACCAAUCUCUAACCCAGUACAUUGCUAAUCAAUAUUCCUGAUUAAUAUAGGCAGCAAUGACUGUAUAAACAAUUAUUUCCAGCCAACCAGGUAUGCUAGAAGCCAAAUCUAUAGUAGAGAAGGUUUUGCAGAUCUCCUAAAAAAAAAUCUCAUCUUCAAUUUAACAAAAACUAGCAUGAAUCUCUGUUCAAUAAUCAGCAGUAAUACCUUAAACAAAUAAAAAAAUUUCAGAGCCAUUUUCAAUCUGUCACACGGCAGCAUAACAAAUCACAAGCCAUUUUCAAUCAAUCACAAGCUAACAUGCAUUUGCAACAAUCAUUCACCUACAACUAACAUUAAUCGAUGGAAAAAAAUGUAAGCGACAGAAAUACUCUAAAAAAUUUUCGAGACCCAUUAUUCUUUUUUCUAUUUUUUUACCAAAUAGAGUGACCAUGUCGUGCUGUGAAAUUUGAUAAGAAACCUCGACGUGUUUGUUUUGUUACUGUUUUGGGACUUUCAUUUGGUUUGCUUGUUAAUUUUAUUAUUGGUUCGGUUUCGGUUUUCAUUCAUCCCAACCGAAAUGAAACCGUCCAAUUUAGGUUAUUGCACAACCGAAUCAAAUAUCGAACCGAAUCUGAUACGGUUCUUCAAUUUUCUGCCCACUCCUACUUCAUGACAAUAAACAACAAAAACAAAAUCCAUAAUAUAGCUUUUGAAUUCUUAAAAGGGGGGAGAAAAAAAAGCACAGGUGAGUAAGCUAUUAAGGUAAGAAGUUGAGAUUAGACACGUAUCAGUAAUAUUGAUAUUUAAAUUUUACUCAAACAACUCUAAUUCAAAAUAUGUAGAAACAAUUCAAAAUAACAAUAAAAAUUAAAAAAAUAUUAUUUCAAGGAAUCCAAACAGGGUAUAUGAUGAGUAUGAUGCUGUUUUAAAUUCUCAACUGAGGAAAAACAGAGAUAGAGAAAGAACAUACUAUCAACACCAGCAAAGGCUUUGGAUUCUUAAGCAGGUGGUGAUGCAUGGUUUGUCAGGAGGUGGAGAUGGAAUUCUGAUUUGUUGUUGGCAAUAGCACACGAUUUUUGGCAGAUUCGGGCGAAAUUACAUUCUUAUAUAGAACCGAGGAAAGGGUGCUGGCCAAUAAAUGAUAAAGGCCUGUAUAAAGAAAGACAAACAAUAAUGUGGGCUUUAGAGAAUCAGAAACUUGAUAGAAGAGAAGGGGAAUAUCAACAAUUAUUUCAGAAGAAAGAAAAAGAAAAAAGCAAGCACGCUUGAAAAUUUUUCAAGAUAAUGAAACCGCAUUAAUUAACAGGUUAAAAUUUUUUGUAAGAUUACUGGUUUCUAAAAAAUUCUAUGAACCUUUCAGUUUCACAGAAAGAGAGAUAAAGACAAAGACAGUAGUCUACAUUAAAAGCACUUAAAAAAUCCAGUGCAGAAUACAUCUCUAAAAGUACUACAAAAUAUAUACAAGUAAAUAUUUAUAAAAGAAGCAUUGAAACGAGUCAGAAUGUGACCCACCGUGUGUCCUUGACUGUAUAUAGCAUUAAAGCAAUACUCCCCUAGUAUGAUAUGCGCACACACAAUUUAUAUAGACGCAUAAAACAAAAACAGCACAAAUCUUAUUAUUUGUCUUGCUAAAACCCAAGAAAUAGCUUAUAAGAUGAAAUGGACUGCCCAUGGUUCAUACAAAGAAAAGAAUAAGCCACAUAUUAAUUGAAGCUAACAACAGACAUAAAAUGAUAAAUGAAAAAUGCUCACCUUCAGAAUGAAGUCAAUGUAAUGAAGAGCUCAAAUUCAGUUCUGCCACCUGAAAAAAUGUGGUAUUCACCAGUAACUUUAACCCCAUUUUGCUAACCCUUAACUUCUGCAAGCUUUGUGUGGGGAAAAUUAUAAUACCAAAUCUAUCCCACACAGCAUGAGAACAAAUCUUAGCCCAAGUGAAUUAAAAGUACUCAAGUAUAUAUUUUAUAAUGCAUAAUAUAAGAUCAUACCCUAUCCCUGCUUUGGGGCCACUUAAUUGAGUGUUUGUAUCCUUCCGGUAAAGGAGCAAUACAGGUACAAGCUUCUUCAGGGCAAUACCUCUCUCGAUGUUCAUAAUGCUUUUGUGCUGGAAAGCAUUCUAAUUGCUUGCAAAUUGUCCAGGCAAGGGAUGCAAUCUGGCCUAGCAGUGGCAUUACACACUUUCCAGCGAUGACCAUACGGGUCCUUAGAUAUAGAAGUUUGUUGUGAUAUUUUCUGAUUCUAUGACUCAAUAGGUUGAGUUAAGCAAGCCCCAUUCUGAGCAUUAGUUUCCUUCAGAAUUUCUGACUAGUCACCAAAAGGAAAAAUCUCAGUUGAAGCCUGAUCCUUUCAACGACUCUCAGUGUCAUUAUCUUGAUCUUGAGAAUCCUUCUCCUUUUCAAUCUGACUAGCCUCAUCCAUUUAUUUUCAUCCAAGCUCUUCUCUGAUUCAAUUUGCUCAAUUUUAUUCAAUUCGCCGCCUUCUGUUUCUCCAGCUUCUGAAUUCGAAUCUCCACCUUCACUUUUAGAUUCCUUAUCUUCCCUUUUUCUAACAUCGUAAUUUUUAGACACCACCUUAGAUUCCUCUUCAGACUCAGUAUUCUCAUCAAAACUCUCCUUCACUAAAUUCUCUUCCUGGUUUUGAUUAACCAUAUUCUUAGAUUCACUCGUCUCACCAUCACCCUCAUACAUAUUCAUCUCUUCGUAAUUAUCUUCCACUCUAUUCUCUAACUUUUCAACAGGAACAUCAUCCCCAUCCCCAUUUGUUGAAUCCUGUCAUUCAUCACCUUGAUUUUCUACGGAAGGCCCAGAAAAAUCUCAGAUACUCUCUGUUUCACUUUGCUUAUAGGCUCUUAAGAGGACAACAUCCUGGAUCCCACACCAGUACAACUGAUGAUGACAUUAACAUCCAAACGCCAACCAGAAAACGACCAACAAACACUACUACAGUAACCAUUGAACAAAGACAAUAUCACAGGUUCUUUAGCUAUUUAAUAUUCCAUCAAAUAUAAUUAUAUAAUACCUACCAAGGAUUUCCGAAUAGAAGGCAUUCUCAUCAUUCUCAUCUCAAGCAGCAACCUCACCAGUAACACAUUUUCAUAUCAUGUUUCCACCACAGGUCGCACAUAUAGAAAGAAUGAAGUAUUAAUUAGCUUCAACAGAGCCUAUUUCUUUAUUUCUUUUUUUCCCAAAUAAACCUUCAUUCUUAUACGUAUAAUUAAAAUAUCAACUGAAUAAACAAAGUCUGUGAUUACUAGUACAACAUUUUCAUUUUCAAGCGGAGCUAGAUAAGAUAUCGAUGUCUGUCAAAUAAACCUAAUUUAAUCUUGAAACCAUAAACUGCACUAAGCAUAGCAGCAAAGCCAGAGCCUGACUAUAAAGAAGAUAAUAUAUAUAUAUAUAUAGAGAUUAAACUUUUGUUUUAUCUUCCACAAGCAAGAAAUUCGACUGGAACAUGAAAUUUUUAACAAUCUUACAAACAUUAUACACAAAUCUCAAUUAACGGCAAAUAGGGGGAUGAAUCACUGACAUCACCCAAUUCAUAUAUUCAAUUAAUGUAUUCCCACCCCAGUCAGCAACGUGCUACCACAGUUGAUUAGUUAUUAGGGAUAAGGCUUACCGCAAAGAACUGAAUGGCGUUAUCUAAAUAAUGAGUUGAAACGGCAUCUGCAAUCGCAUUAAAUGGCAUUGAACCGAAAGGUAGGGUUUAAAUGAAUGUUGGCCUGAGACAAAAGGGCGUGGCAUAUUGGGGUCUUAUGGCUUCGUUUUGUUUCAAUUGACGGAGGGAAGCUGAGCGAAAGCUUUGAUAUGUAAAUUUCAGCUUAAUUUAAGCUAGGGUCUUCUUUCGAUUGAAACAGAAAAAGAUUUUGGGUUAUUAAAGUGAAAGAGAUGGAAUAAUACAAAAAAUUAGCAAAGUGAAAGCGAGGGAAUACAAGAUUUAUUAUGGGUCCUAAGAGCUGAAGGCAAUUCGCCAUGGUUCUGAUAUACGGAAAACUUUCUUAGCUUUAUCGGUGGUGGAAGUGAGGGUUAGGGCUAGGGUUCUACACAAUGUCGUUGAGAAUGGCUCAAAGUUCAUUGAUUUUAGGUUGCGGCGAGAGAGGGGUUUAUUCAACACUUGUCGAUAUUUGGCUGAAGUGUUGGUAUGUUUUAAGUUUCAUAAAAACGACGUCGUUAAUUUAAACGUCAUCAUUUUAAGAUAUUAUAAAUCCACAAAACUUGAGCAUCACUUAUAUCUAUAAUUUAUUUAUGUUAGUUAAGUUAUAAGUUAUGAAUAUGUCAUAAACUCUAAACAUAUGAAUAUAUGCCACACCAAUAAAGUGUUGGCUCCAUUAGCAAUGGAGUCCCCUUAAGUGGCUUGAUUGGGUUUGCUCCUCAGUUCUAGUUGCAGGGAAGUCGCCUUUGUUGAGAGAACUUGUGCCUCCCGGUUCGAGCGGGGACUUCUAAUAUGGGUUGUGGUACGGGCUUAAAAGUGUCUCCCACAAUUGGGGCCCUCCUCAAAAUACCUCGUGGUUAAGACAAAAUAUAUAUAUAUAUAUAUGUCACAAAUCUAUCACACUUUCAUGAUACAUUUGUGACGUAUCGAAGGUUCAUGUCAUUCCUCCGGUGCAACAUUCGAAAUAAGGCCAUUGCCCUUGUGAAAUUUGCAUUACUUCUAUUGAAAAUCUACAUAAUAAGAGCUCUCCCGUUGCAUUUUUCGUUGUUUUGCUUUUGCUUUACUUUAAUGUGUCGCUACAUGAACAAGUAUAUUGCAACAUAUGUACCAUCAAUUUUGCUAUGUCUUAUUCCCAAUUUUAUAUAAUACAAAUCAUUUUGAAAUUAUAAUAACAACAACGGGGUCAAGCACAUUUUGUGUCUUGAAGAUUUGCGAGGGCUCCAUCCUACAAAGUUAAAUUAUUAUUGUUGUUGUUGUUAUUAUUAUUAUUAUUAUUAUUGAUGACGAUGAUGUGCUGUUGAUGUUUUUAUUAUUUGAGAGAUGGUAGAAUAAAGUUAUUCAUUUUGGAGCUUAACAGUGGAAAAUAAGGAAAACAAGAAAAAAGUUGUAUUCGUGUUAAUUUCCUUUGUCAUUUCUUGUUUCUAGAAAUAUUUUUGCUUCGUUUAUUCUAUUUUAUUUGCUUAUUUCAUUGGGCUUGCUUCACAUAUCAUAUCUAUCUUUCUUUCAAAAUUUGAAGGGAAGGAAAGUACUUAGAAAAUGCUCUUGCCUAUGAACAUGUAAGAAAAACUGAAUAUCAUUCAUCGGAUAACAAAAAACACUAAUCAGCGCAUAAUCCCUAGAACAAAUAAUUAAACCAUCAAAUGUUAGCUAUGAACAACUAUAUAUCCUAUCAUAUUUAACUUCUAUUUAUGGUCAUAUCCCUAACAUAUUUAGAGUGGUUUUGGAAUUUUGAUUACAUCUGAGCUUUCUCAAAAGCAGAUGCUGUGAAAUGAAGUUACUAUUUGCUUUUCAAAACUGUUAAUAAUGAUAGUAGUUUAGAAACUUGAACCACCACCUACGUGAGUCUGUGAAUUUCACCUUUUUGUUUGAUAAUUGGAGGUUUUCGUUUAAUGCCUAAAUUCGUAAACUGUGGAAACGUUUGAAAGCAUCUAUAGCAUAUUCAUUAAAAUCACGUUUUCACAAACCAAAAAGGGUACUAAUUUGGUCUCGAUGUGUGAAAAGUAACACCUACCUAGCCAUCCAUCAGGUAAGUGAAUAAGUAUAAAAAUAUUAAUAUUUUCUCUGUAGUUCCUAUUAAAAUUGUCUAUUAUAGUUGCAGAAUGUCUAGGAAGUAUAAAAGGAUGUCGUUCAAACAUGAUUAAGAUAGAAAGGGAAAAAAUAAGUAAUUAUCCAUGGACCACUUCAUCUUUUAGCCUUUAUAAAAAACAUACAAACAUUUUUUAUUGUUUUCAACAAUCCAUCUAAUAUUUACAAACUGCAUCACAGCUCCACUACUAUCAUAACCCUUUAAAAAUGUUGCUUAAUCACGAGAACCUAUUACUUGUAAAUUAUUUUUCAAGCAAAUGCAACAAUAGAUCUAGUUUUGAUCUGGGUGACUUUUAAGUGUACAGAAACGAGGAGAACGACCUUAUGUCAAGUUGAAGGAUUAAGAUAAAUCAAUUACAAAUCCAAACAAAACUUAUGAGUGACAUUUUAGUAUUAAGCAAACCUACCAUAAUUAAUCAUCCAGUGAUAGGUUUGUUUUCAAUUAGAGUAAUGAUAGAUAUCUCAAAAUAUUUUAUCCCAAAUGGUGUGUCAUUACUUGAAUAGUAGGUAAUUCUUUCAAGAUUUGAGUGAAUUAAUUGUAUUAUCUCUUCAAUCUAUUGAUAAAUACCAUAUCAUUUGAGAUAAUUUUUUAAGAUAAAAGAUUUAGGAUGUGUGGCACUACUCAUUAAUUAUGCAACUUAAAUGCAAUUUUUUUAAAACCAUUUAUUUUCAUUAAAUUUUGAGCCAUUAAUGAAAUAAAUAUAAGUAAAGCUAUUUGAACCUACUCAUUUUCUCACUACAUCAUUUAUUUAAUCAAAUUAAAAUUUAAUUUUAAAAUAUAAUUCAUUAAAUUAUUUGUUUGACUUUGUUCUCUCUCUCUCUCUCUCCCUUCCUCUCUCAUUCUCUCCAACCAUUUUUUUUUUGUUUACAUAGACUAAAUAUUUCAAUUAACAAAUAAAAUUGUUAUAAAGAAUAACAAAUUUAACCAUAGACACCAAUAUUAAUUAAUAAACAAAAAAAUUGAAGAGUGAUAGAAUUAAAGUCUGUUAUACCACAAUUUGCUUUACUUUUAUAUUUUUAUUUUAGUGCGGAUAUGAUGUAGACAUUAUUUUAGGAUUUUAUAAUUUUUAUUAUUUUAUCGUUUUCUAUUUUAAUUAUAGUCAACUAUGGUAUAUGUCUUAGUUUUUUUAUUUCUAUUAAAAUUGUGAUUUAGUUUUUCUUUUUAAGUUAACUUAGUGAAGUAGGUUUAUUAUAUUAUAAAUCAAAAUCUUAUUAUUGUAACUUCAACUAUUGAUCAACUAAUAAAGCCCUUUUUAAUAAUUCCCUCUAAAAUUAUUUAUUAAAAUCUCUCUUGCAAAGUUAUUUAGAUUAAAACGUCGUCUAAUCUCGCUUUAUGCGUUAUUAAAAUCUCAUUGAGCCAUUGUUAGAAUGAGAUCUACUCACGUUUCGAUUAGGACGUAAACUAUCCACAUUACCUUAGCCAGUAUUAGAACAAUAGCUAAUAUUUCCGACCUAUCAAUUCCACUUCCGCUAUUCCAAUUUGUUAGUUUGUAUUAGAGUGGUUCAAUGCCAAUUGCACAGUUUUCCUGGCUACCCAUAUCCAUCCCCACCAAAUCCAUCAUUGUUUAUGCAACAAAAAAAUAUUACAAAAUUACAAAACCUUAGCAGCCGCCCACCGCCAUUUCCACUCUCCACUAAUAGUUCAUCAUUGGCUAAUCCAUCUACCAAACUCAUUAGCCACUACUGACCAAACCUUAGCCACUCCUGCCAUCAAUCGCCGCUUGUACCUACUAUAAAUCAUCUAGACCUAAAAAUUGGGAGCAUCCACCAGCUGCCACCGUGAAACCAACCAUCUUCACUGUCAACCAACACCACCACUAAACUUGCUAGAUUCCACUGGUCAUAACUUGACAAAACCCACCAAUGAUCACCGCCAUAAAUCGCCACAACGCUAACCCAAAACCCGGGCUUCACCUAGCACCACCGCAAACGCCACUUUCUCAUUGUCGAUAUCCAAAUCGCAAUUGAAAUCUCUAACAUGAAUGAAGCACCACAUAUGCCAAUUCAAGUCAACUUUUUGACCAAACCACCGUGAAUCCAGCCAAUCCUCGGCCAUUGUCGAGUUUCUCACGACCAUAUCUAGCAAAUCUAACCACUAAGGUCACCAGCCCCAGCGAAAGAAACUCUAAAGGAUAACUUUAAUCUUAGGUGUUCAAGUAAAAUGGUAAUUUUAAUCUUAUGACAUCAACAAGAUUCUAACGAGCUAAGAUGACAGUGAAUAAUUAAUAAACUCUAGGUGGAUUUCUACAAAGAAAAACGUUUCUGUGUAUUUUUAAAAAAGACCCAAAGACUACAUGGUUAGUGGAUAAUUUCCUUUUUUGUUCUUAUUUUCUACUAUUAUUAACAAUAAAAGUUUUUCAAUAGUAAUUGUUCCAACCAUUAUAACAAUUAUUAUUGUUAUUGCUGUUGUUGUUGUUGUUGUACAACAAUUGUGAAAUUCUAUCUACACAACCCAGGAGGGCGGUGAAUUGGCUAUUAAAAUUAUACUUACAAAAAUACAAAACAAAUUAAACAAAUGCUUUAAGAAAUUUAUAAUAGCAAAAUUAAACAAUGAAUGCAAUUAAAAAAAUAAAGGAGAAGAUAACAAACAAACGAAUUUUUAUGUGUUUCGACAAAACUCGCCUAUGUUUAUGCCGCCGAGCAAACUAAGUUUGAGGAUUCCACUAUCCAAACCUUCUCAGGCUCCAAGAUUUUACAAUUGACUUUUAAUGUGUCAAUAAACUUUUAUAGUAGUAAUGUGUACACAUACCUCUUUCCCCAAGUGUUUCCCACACUUAUACUCAUAAAAUUUUGAUAUUUAAUUGAAGAUUACAAAGAUUAAUCUCUAUAAGAGUGUAUAAGCAAAUGAUAACUCAAUAAUGAUUUAAUGCAUGUAGAUAAGUAAAAUGAAAGCUCAAGAUUAGUUGUAUGAACAAGUUUUAACUUAAUUGGGAUUGAAAAAGUUGUUAGAUUUGAGUUUGAUUUGGGUUCUUCUAGUUUAAACAAUCAAACUAGUCAUAAUUGACUUUUUGAGGACCCACUGGAUUGCUGCUAAAAUAAAGAAGUUAGUUGCUAUAUUGAUGUGGCAAGUUACCGUUACAAAUAAAAUUUAAAAACUUUUUUGCCUAAGCAAAUCGUCGCCUGAUUUAAAUGGUUAGCAGCUAUGUUUUUGGACCUGAAGCAGUUAGCCACUAUUCGUUAAGUGGUUAGUCGCUACUGUUUCAAAAUUUAUAGAUUUAAACUAAAAGUUCCUAAAAUUAUACUAUGGCCUAAAAUUUUGAAAUAUUUACAAAUAGGUCCACUUCAAGAAUUUAAUACAUUACUAAUUAAUUUCAAAGUUCUCAAAACUUUUCAGUCCAUAAAUUUGAAAACAAUUAAUUUUAUAAAAUCAUUUUUACUUACGUUUAAAACUUUUAUAUUAUAGAAAAUGAUGAUUUAAUUUGAAAAUUGUAUGAAAAAAUAUCUUGAACUCUUAAAUACUAAAUCAUGCAUAAAUUAAAUCAUAUUAGCUUUACAAGAAAUAUAACUAUGAAGAUUGCUUAAGCUAGUACCUUUAGUAUUCAUCCUUGAUUGUUGUUGUCUAUUGAGUGACUUGAAAUUGAUCUCACUUGAAUGAUUUUUGUCCUUCAAGAACUUGUCAGAUUGUGAGAAAUAAAUUUAUCAUUUUACCUUAUGUGGUUUGUUAUCAUCAAAAUUAAGGAUCAUAUAGCCGUUUACCCCAACAAUCUCUCCUUUUUUUAUGAUGACAAACACCCUAUGUAUUUUGACAUUUCUAUUGCCCCUGAGUAUAUGACAUAAUUCAAAAAAUAUAACCAAAUAUAUAAACUCACUCCCUCUAAGUACAUGAUCCAUAUAAUUGUACAACAUUUGUAAACUCUCCUUGAGUGACUCAGAAAGUAACUAAAAUACUACAAACACUCAAUCAACCCCCAUGAGCCAAAAACAUGUCAAAACACUUCAAAAUACAUGUCAAUAUCUUCUCCCCCUUCAUCAUGAAAAAUCACUCCUCUAUUAUACAAAUAUUAUCAAUAAUUAUCCCCUACAAAGAUCAUCAAUCGAAAAUCCACACAUGACCAUUAAUCAAGUAUCCAUAUACAUAAUCCAUAAUCAAUAAAGAUAAUCCAUAAAGAUAAUUAAUAAAGAUACCACAAUCAAUAACUAGAAUGCAUAAAGAUAAUCCAUAUCAACUCAAGUAUCUAUAAUGCAUAAGUAAAAUAAAAUCCAUCAAGUAUCCAUAAUGCUAAAAACGAAAAUGCAUAUGAUAAAUAAUGUCGGUGCAUAAAACAAGGAAGCAAAAGAGAUAAAAGAAAAUCACUGAUGAGGCAGCAAACAUGAUAAUAAGGAUGGUGGCGAAAAUUUGAGAGCAAUGAAAAUAAGCUGGUGAUGGUCUAGAAUUUGUUGUUGUUGAAGAAAGAGACGCUGCUGCUCAGAAAGAAAAUGAUCCUGGAAUGCUGCGAACGAUAUCUUAAGUUCGUUUUACUGUUCGGAUAUGGAACGCACUUUAUUCAACAACUGCUGGAUUGGGUUAUUGGGAAUGGCUGAAGAUGAUGAUGGUGGAGCAUCAGAAGGCCAAUGUAGAGCUUGUGACCUCAGGGAAGAACUAAGAUCAAGAACCCAGUAAGGGGAAGCACAUCGUUAAAGAUGCAAUGAUAAAAAAGAGCCAGCUUUGUGGGUUUUCUCAACAAGUUCUAAUUUUUAACCUAUUGGUCAUCUACCCACCCAAAUCCUAAGCUAGCAAUGACCUCAUCCCUUAACUCCUUGGGUUCAUCAUGAGAUGGUUCAGCUAUAGGGACCCAAAAAUAUUGAAGGAUAUGGGUAAUGACACUACCAACCGAAAAGGAUAGGUUUCCUAUACUCAGUGUAUUAAGCAUGUGCUGAAUGAUAAUAUUCUCACAUUUAGCUUUUACCCUCAAGGAUGCUAUCUAAUAAAGUAACAUCUAAGCGUGUAACCUCAGCACCAUGUCCCUUGUGAGGACUGAUCACAAGCUGAAGGACAUUAUGUAGGAUCCGAACUUGAAGAGGCAACACUUGUGAUCUAAGAGAGGAGUUAAAAAGCUCCAUGGAUAGAUCAGAUCACCUACAUAUGUUUCGAACAUCUAUGUUUCAAAUAUCAUCUACAACUAAAUACCAGGGAUAAUCAAUUUUAAUCCUAGAUGUAUACAAAUGCAACCUAUCAUCUAGGAUUCAUGUUUAAAUCUUCUACAGUAAACUUAAUAGGAAUCCCAAUAACAUUAGUAAUAAUCAUGUUGGCAAUAUUUGUAGAAAUAAGCAUGUUCGAAUAAAAUACUCGUACCAAAUUAGGACAAAUAUGUUCCUUAAGAACUAAGACAUUUGUCCAACCCAAUUCAGCAAGUAAAGUUCUAAGAUUUUUGCUACAACUUGAAAAAUUUUCUAAUUAAUCAAGAUUAACAUAUAUAGUAUGGGAGGACUGACCUUGUCAUAAAUCGAUCAGAGAAUCAUUCCAUUGAGGCAGAUUUGGGAAGUGGGUGGAAAUGAAUUUCAAAAUGUCUUUAUGAAUCUUUUUUUUUUUACAUUUUAGGCAUAUGCUUACCCUUGGACUUCUCACCACUAGCCAUUAAGAAAUUAUCAAAAUGUGUCCAAAAUUGCACAAAUUCGAGUUCACAAAGUUUUUAAAGAAAUAGAUGAUUUUGAACCGAUUAAAAUGUUCUUUGAGAAGAUCUAAGGAAUGUAUGGGUUUAUUUUGGUCGAAAAUGGUCAAAUAAUGGUUCAAAUUUGAGAAUGUUGAAACUGGUGACUUAGGCUUUAAGAUUUUGAGAGAAGAAUGAUUAGAUUGUGUUUUAAAAGCAAAUGUGUGAAGAUUAAUUGAUGGGAAAUGAUUUGGAAAGUUUAAUUUGACACAAAAGUGAUGUAAAAAUGGAAGAUUUUAGAGAGAGAGUAAAAGAAAUGAGAGAUGACAGUGAUAGAGAGAGGGUAACAACUGAAAGUAGGAAAAAGAAGAUGAACAACAUUUGAAAAUGUGAAGCCAGCUAGCCUCUUGAAGAAAGCGGUUAACCGUUUCAUUUUUAGAAACCAAGCAAUUAACCGUUUACUUUGAGCCGGCUGGCCAGCUAGUUUCUGCCUCACAAUUGGCUAGUCGCUUGUGGUUAACGGUUAGCUAGUUCCUCUAAAUUUUGCAUGAUUUUGCUUUUUGGCCAAAAUUUAAUUAAUUUUGAGACCAUUUUGUGAUCCCGAAGUAUUUCAAAAGCCAUUUUUAAUGCAUAAGAUAUGAUGAUAAAUAUUCAAAGAAGUAAAUUCAAGCAUAUAAAACAUUAAAAUCAAGUUUUUAUCAUACAAUCAAUCAAGAUAGAAAAUCAAGCAAAUUUGUAGUCUCAAUAUCAUGCAACGAAAUAUUGAUGUGAAAAUGUCAUCAUUCCAAACUCAAUCCAAAUCUUUGAAAACUAUUCUUCACAAAAAGGCUUUGUAAAAAUAUCAACAAGUUAUUUUUCUAUAGAAACAAAUUCUAAAGCAAUAUCUCUCAUUUGAACAUGAUCACGUGAGAAAUAAUGCCUAGUUUCAAUAUGUUUGGUCCUAGAAUGUUGAAUGAGAUUCUUUGACAAAUUUAUUGAGCUAAUAAUUUAUAUGAGUUCCCUUAGACCAAGAUCAAUUGUUCCUCAUAAAUAAUGAAAAAUUAUUUUAACCGCAAGCAAAUGAGAUUCUUUGAGAUAUGGUUGAAAUCAUGCACACAAACAUACACUAAAGUAAUGUCUACUAGCAGUAAAGUAAAGUAAAGAUAUGAUCAUACCUCGAUAUCUUUUGAUACAACAUCUUUACUUUUUUUAUCCUUAUCGAGCUUGAUUGUAGUACUCAUUGGAGUGUCCUUAGUCCUGAAUGCAAAAUCUUUUGAGUAGAUCUCUGAAAUACUUGGCUUGAUUAAUGAAUUCUUUUUUUCUUUUAAAUUUUAAGUCCAAGAAAGUACUUCUAUUCUCCCAUCAUGCUCAUCUCAAAUUCUCUACUCAUGCAAGAUGAAAAUUCCUUACACAGAAACUCAUUAGUAGAACUAAAGAUAAUAUCAUCAAUAUAAAUUUGAACAAGUAUACCUUGAUCCUUGUAUUUAACAAAUAGAGUAGUAUUCGCUUUACCCAUUGAAAAACUAUUUUCUAAAAGAAAUUUACUAAGUCUAUCAUAUCAUGCUCUAGAUGCUUACUUUAAACUAUAUAAAACUUUGGACAACUUGUAAACAUGAUCCAAAAACAUUUUUCGUUUUUAAAAUGAGGGGGUUGUUUCACUUAAGCUUCUUCAUAAUACAACUAUUUAGAAAGGUGCUUUUAGCAUCCAUUUAAUAUAAAAUAAAAUCAUUAUGAUAUGCAAAUAAUAAAAGCAUGUAAUGGAUUCUAAUCUAGAUACAUGUGCAAAGGUUUCAUCAAAAUCAAUUUCUUCUUUUUGGUUGCAUCAUUGAGCUACUAAUCUAACUUUAUUCCUUACAACCACACUAGAUUCAUCGAUUUUAUUCAUAAAUACCCAUUUACUGCUUAUUACAGAUUGAUGUUAUGGUUUAUGAAUAAGUUUCCAUACAUUGUUUCAUUCAAAUUGAUUUAACUUUUCUUGUAUUGCUAUAAUCCAAGAUUCAUCAUUUUCCACAUCUGAAAAAGAUUUUGGUUCAACUUGAGAUAUGAAUACAGUAUGUUCACAUGUAUUUCUAAGUGAUUAUCUAGUAGUUAUACCUCAUGAAGGAUCUCCUAAGAUUAAGUCUUAGGGUGUGAAGAGACAUACCUUAGCUCCUUGGAGCGUGUUUGUGAAUUACCUUCAUUUUGAAUCUGUUUAACUUGUUCUUCUUGUUGCUUAUCUUGAUUUUUACCUCGUAAAUCAUCUUGUUUGUCUUUUAAAGACUUUUUGUUUUGUAACUCUUCAUAUGCAUCAUCAUCAACAACAACUUCCUUCAUAGAAGAAAAGUUAGAUUCAUCAAACAUAACAUGUAUAGAUUCUUUAGUGACCAAGGAUCUUUUAUUAUACACUCUAUAAGUUUUGCUUGUAUUUGAAUACCCAAGAAAAAUAUCAACAUCAGAUUUUAGAUUAAAUUUACCAAGAUUGUCUUUUGUAUUCAAUAGAAAACAUUUGCAACCAAAAACUUUAAAAUAGUCAAUGUUUUUUCUAUUUUUCCAAAGCUCAUAAGGAGUUUUAUUUAGGUAAGGUCUAAUCAAUGCACGAUUUAAAAUAUAACAAACAAUGUUGACGGCUCCAACCCAAAAAUAUUCUAGUAAAGCAUUUUCAUUUAACAUGGUCCUAGCCAUUUCUUGGAUAGACCUAUUCUUUCUCUCAACUACUCAAUUUUAUUGUGGAGUUCUUGGUGACAAGAAUUGAUGCUCAAUGCCAAAGUUAUUGUAAAAAUUUUCAAAAUAUAAUUUUCAAAUUCUCCACCAUGAUCACUUCUAAUGCAAGAAAUAACAUAUCAUUUUUUAUUUUGAACCUUUUUAUAGAAAUUUUGAAAGCAUUAAAGGUGUCAUCUUUAUUAGUUGAGAGUAAUACCAUGUGUAUAUAGAAUAAUCAUCUAUAAUUAUAAAUGCAUAAUAUUUACCACUUAAACUAGCAUAUUUAGAAAAUUCAAACAAAUCCAUGUGAAAAAGUUAAAGUGGUUUUGAAGUAGAAAUAUGAAUUUUAUUUUUAAAGGACGUUUUAUUUGUUUUCUAAAUUGGCAAACUUCACAAAUUCUAUCUUUUUUAGAACCAAUUUUUAGAAGACCUAUAACCAAAUCAUUUUAAAAAAAUUUUGAAAUCAAAUCCAUGCUCGCAUGACCUAGUCUUCCAUGCCAUAUCAACUAUCAUCAUGUAAUGUGAAAAAAAUAUUUAUCAUGAGUUGAUACACUAUCUAUAUCAAUGGUGUAUACAUUAACACAUCUUUAUCUAACAAAUAAAACUUUGCCAUCACAUGCAUUUUUAAUAACACAUUUUGUUUUAUAAAAAAUAACUCUAUAGCCUUUAUUACAUAAAAAUAACUUUGUAACCUUUAUCACACAAUUGACUAAUACUAAGCAAAUUCUAAAGCAAUAUAUUUCAUUUUUCUUUUUCAAAUCAUUUACAAGUAAACCUUUAUUCUUAGAUGAAACAUUUUGUUUUUUCUUUAAAAGAUGCAAUUUCUUCACAAAUACUUCUAGGCACUUAAUCUUUUUAUUCAAAGUGUCAUUCUCAUUUAAAAGUUCUACUUUUUUCUUUCCAAGAGAAACAUUUUACAUUUCAAUCUUCUUUAAAUCUUUAUGCAAUUUAGAGAAUACUUCAAACAACUCAUCCUAAGAGGUUUACCUCAUCAAGUUCAUCUUCUAUAAUCAUCUCCUAUAACCAUAAGUGCCAAAUUUGACACUUCAUGGGACUACUCUUCAUCUAUAGUCUCCUUAUCGCUAUCAUCCCGUGUUGCUACCAUGGCUUUCUUCUUUAAUUUUUUGAGAAAAGGACAUGCUAGUUUUAUGUGUCUAGGCUUCCUGCAUUUAAAGCAAGUAAUUGCCUCCUUCUUCUCUUUCUGAUUUUUGAAUUUCCUUCGCUCGAUGGAUUUCUUGAAAAUUAUUUUGAAUUUUCCAGCUAUCAUAGCCAUGUCUUCAUUUUCGAUCUCACUUUCGUUGUCACUUCUAGAUCUUGAUGCUUUUAAGGAAAUACUCUUCUUCUUCUCGUCUUCAUUAUAUUUUUUAGUUGUCAAAUCCUUUUCAUAAGAAAUAAAUGAACUAAUUAAAUCAUCAAUAGAUAAAGUAUCCUUGGCUUCCUUAAUGGCAAUUUUCUUAGGUCUCAAUUCUUUUGGUAAAGACCUACUGAUUUUUUUUACCUUCUCGCUGUUUGAAAAGGUUUUUCUAAGAGUUCCUAAAGUGUUUAUAAUGUCUGUUAAUCUAGUGUAUAUAGGAUUAACACUCUCAUUUUGUUCCAUUUAUAGCAAUUCGUAUUGCCUAGUAUAUUUACUAAUUUUAGACUAUUUGACUUGAUUUGUAGCUUUAUAAACGACUUUAUGUUUUUUCCAAAUUUCAUAAGCAUUGGAACAACCUUAAACUCUAUAGAAUUCUUUUUUAUCUAAGGCACAAAACAAAGCAUUCAUGACUUUGAAAUUAAGAGAAUCUUUUCUCUUUUCCGACUCAUUCCAUUCUUGUGAAGGUUUUAGAAUUUCUUUCCCUUCUUCAUUUUUAGCAGUAGGCAUGAAUGGACCAUCACAAUCAACUUCCUAUAUUUCAUAAUAUAAUGCUUGCAAAUAAAUUCUUAUCAUAAUUUUCCAACAUAGAUAAUCAUUCCCAUCAAAGAAUGGUGAUCUAGUAAGGGAUUAACCUUCCCCAAAUCUGGGAUCAUUUUGGAUUACUAUGGAUCUUUUACUCUAGAUGGUUAAGUCCUAACAAGAGAACUUCCUCUGAUACCAAAUGAAAUUCUAGCUAAGCAACCCAAGAGGGGGUGAAUUAGGUAUUAAAAAUUAUACUAACAAAAACACAAUACAAAUUAAACAAAUGCUUCAAGAAAUUUAAUAAUGGUAAAUUUAACUAUGCGUGAAAUUAAAAAGAUAAGGGAGAAGAUAACAAACACAUGAAUUUUUAUGUGGUUCGGCAAACCCGCCUAUGACUACGCCUCCAAGCAAUCCAAACUUGAGAAUUCUACUAUCCAAACCUUCCAAGGCUCCAAAAUUUUACAAUUGACUUCUAAGGUGUCAAUAAACCUUUACAAGUAAUUAUGUAUACACACACCUCUUUUCCCAAGUGUUUCCCACACUUAUACUCACUCAAUUUUGAUAUUUAAUUGAAGAUUACAAAGAUUACACUCUAUAAGAGUGUAUAAGCAAAUGAUAGCUCUAUAAUGAUUAAUGUAUGUAGAUAAGCAAAAUGAAAGCUCAAGAUAUAUGAAUAAGUUUUAGCUUAAUUGAGAUUGAAAAAAAUUGUUAGAUUUGAAUUUUAUAGUUUAAACAAUCAAACUAGCAAUUAUUGGCUUUUCUAGGGACUUGCUGGAUCGCCGUUAAAAUGAGGCGAUUAGCCACUAUGUUGAUAUGGUAAGUUACAGUUGCAAAUCAAAUUUGAAAACUUUGGUUCAAGCAGAUUACCACUUGAUUUAAGCGGUUAGCUGCUAUGUUUUUGGACUUGAAGUAGUUAGCCGCUAUUGGUUAAGCGAUUAGCCACUAUUGUUCUAGGAUUUAUAGAUUAGACCUAAUUUUUUUGAAAUUAUAUUACGACCCAAAACGUUUGAAAUAUUUAUAAAUAUGUCAAUUUCGAUGAUUUAAAACAUUAUUAGUUGAUUUCAAAGUUCUCAAAACUUUUCAAUUUAGUCCAUAAAUUUGGAAAAAGCAACUAAUUUUAUAAAAUCGUUAAAACUUUUAUAUUAUAGAAAAUGAUGAUUUAAUUUAAAAAUGUCAUGAAAAAUAUCUUGAGCUUUUAAAUGUUACAUCAUGCACACGUUCAAUUAUACUAUCUUUACAAGAAAUUUAACAAUAAAGAUUGCUUAAACUAGUACCCUUAGUAUUCAUCCUUGAUUGUCAUUGUCUAUUGAGUAUCUUGAUCUUGAUCUCACUUGAAUGAUUUUUGCCCUUCAAAAACUUGUGAGAUUGUGAGAAAUAAAUUUACCAUUGUACUCUAUGUAGUUUGUUAUCAUCAAAAUCAAGGAUUAUAUAACCAUUUAGGCCAACAAAAUAUUAUAAUAAAUAAUAAUUAUUAUGAUAAAAAAUUAAAGAUAUUUUGUAAUUUGUAACAACUCAUCGUGAUUUUAAAAUAAAAUAAAUAUAUCAAUGAUGAUAUAAUUUAUUUUAAUUUUAAUUUUUACAAUUUAAAUAAAUUAAUUAAUUAUCAUUCCAUAUUUUAAUUCCAACUCAUUCCAUUCCAAUUCAUUCAUAUUUUAAUCAGUAUAUCAACUACCCCCGAGCAAUGCCCGAAAGACAUUGAGGCAAGGGCCACAGAAAAAUAUGCACUUGUUAGCUUAGCGUUGGUGUCAAGUUUCUUUAGCAUUUUAAAUUCAUAAAAGAACUUAUAGUGUUUCUUCAUCCUUUGGCCUUUUCGGUGUUUACUUUCUGGAGUGAGUGUCAGCAGUGUGAAUUCCUCCCACUCCAGUGUUUACUUCACCAUUUUAAGGAGGGAUUGGGAAUCCCACUCCAUGGACCCCACUCAUUUUUGGAGUGGGGAGUGUGAGUGGGACUCCCAUGGGAAACCCACUCCCACCUCUCCAUUUUCUACUUUUAUUUAAUUAAAUUUAAUAUUUUAUAUUUAAUAAAAUAAAAUAAAAUAAAUAAUAUUAUUAUAUUAAUAGAGAAUUAAUAAUAUUACUAUAUGCUAUCUUUAUUUGAAGAUAUCAUAUUAUUAUAUUUAUUUAAAAAUAAUAGUAUUAUAUUUAUUUAAUAUUAAUAAUUAAUAAUAAUAAAUAGUUUAUUCUAAGAAAAUAUUAAUUUUGUACUAAAUAAUAUUAUAUUAUUAUUUAUAUAAUAAUAAAUUUAAUAUAAUAAAAUAAAAAAAUAUUUCAUUUUAUAUUUACCUUCCUUUUUUAACCCCCUUUUAUUAAAUUUACUAUAAUUAUAUUUAAUAAAAUAAAAUAAAUAAUAUUUUAUUUAUUUAAAUAAUAUUAUUAUAUUUAACUAAAUAAUAAUUUGGUUUGAUUCUAAGUUUAAAUUACUUAAAAAUAAUAAUAUUAUAUUAAUAGAGAAUUAAUAAUAUUACUAUAUACUAUCUUUAUUUGAAAAUAUAAUAUUAUUAUAUUUAUUUAAAAAUAAUAGUAUUAUAUUUAUUUAAUAUCAAUAAUUAGUAAUAAUAAAUAGUUAAUUAUAAGAAAAUAUUAAUUUUGUACUAUGUUCAUAGUAAAAAUGUUUCAUUUACAUUGCUCUUAUCAAUAAUUUUUAAUUUAUAUAAUUAAAAUUAAAAUUAAUAAAAAAUUAUGAUGUACAUAAUUAAGAAUAUUAAUAAUUAUUAUAAAUUUACAAAUAUAAUAAAAUAAAUGUUUAUUCAUUAAACAUAUUUUUUUAUUAACUUUGUAAUUAAAAACUAUAAUUCUUUAAAUAAAGGUAAAAUUAUAAUUUGAAACUAUUUACUUCCAAUCCAAGAUAAAGUAAACACAUAAAUUGGAUUAUAAUUUUCAUUCCGUGCUUAUAUUCCAGUGUAAGUAAACAACUUACACCCACUUUUACUCCAUACUCUCAAUCCUAAGAUUUCCACUCUUCAAGAUUCUCAGUCCAAUCCAAAAUGUAAACACUAUCUAUGGUAAUUGUUCACGCAACUAUUUUAAUCGAAAAUAUUUUAAUCGAAAAUAUUUUAAUCGAAACUAAUAGACCUUUCAACAAUUUUAAUCGAAAAUAAUAGACCUUUUAACAAUUUUUGCGGAUUCUGGCAAUUGUUCAGGCAACUAUUUUAAUAGAAAAUAUAUAUGGCUCCAUAAACAAUGAUUAUCUCUUGACAGCUGUUCUGGACUCGCUAUUUGUACUGAAAUAGAAGAUUAUCUCUUGAUGAUUAUUUAAUUGAAAAGAAUUUGUCGUUUAUAUUUGUUCACCUGGCCUUUGGAUGAGGAUCACAUGUUUUAUGACAAUCGUAAUGUUACUAAUGUAAGUCAAGCAAUUAUUUUUAAAUAAUGAUAUUAUAAUUAAAAAUCUAAAAACAUUUAUAAUACUUAAAGACUAAUUCAGAUUAUUAAUUUUUUUAUAUGACUUCAUUAUUAGCUGACAAAUAAUUAAAAGGCCAUAGAUCAAUAUUUUUAGGUCCAAUUUUUAAUUUAAUAUGACACAACUUGUACUUUCAUUCCUAUACUAAAGUAUAUCGAACCUACUAAUAAUUAAGAAAUAUAUAUAUUCAACACAUAUUUGUUAGAAAGAUUAUCUACUAAUUAAUCAUUGAUUACGAGAUUAAUAUAUUGAAAUUCAGAACUUUUUUUUUUCCUUCUGCAGUUUAAAAAGGAGUCGCCCUCUUGAUCCCCGUAUUCGUCAGCUUCUACUCUUUGCCUUCAAUUCUCAGUCAAGAAAACCUCUCCUGAUUUUCGUCUUUUGAUCUCAUACACACUUUGCUUCUGUUUAUCGUGGUCACUGCUCGUGCUAGCCGUUUUCUUAUUUAUCUUUGUUCCCUUUUUCCAUCAGCUCUUUGCAUUUUCAUUGGAUCAAGCAACCCUUUUCUUGAUUCAAUUUUCUGAUCUCAAAAACACUUUGAUUCGCUUCUGUUACACUGAUUUUCCCCUUGUUUUGUACAAAUAUCAUUUCUUUUUUCAACUUUGCC